rnacentral:lncRNA from 1 species
GGUCCGAGCCGUUCUUCUUGGUGGACGUCUGCCCCUGAGCGCCCUGGCCUGAGGUCUUCUUUGCUAUUUUCACUGGAAGAAUCUGCAGCCUUGAAUUGGGGUCGGUUCCGAAGGUCUCGGCAAGGAGCUGGUAGCUCUCAACGAGCUCCAGCUGACGAGCAACAAUUUCUGAACACCUUGGGAGGAGUUCGACGGGCUCCCCGCCCGGGAUUACAAUGUAUUCAAUUGCCAGCCGGGCCUCCUGAAUGGUUGCAGAGUAUAAUAUAGCUGUUAUGCAACUACUAUGAUUUAUCUCACCGUAAGUAGAACAAGUAAACAUAGCACACUACGAACAGAACUACUAGCGGUUUAAAGUCUCAGAAGGAUGGGAUGAGUAAAUGCAAUGCUUAUCGGUAAAACACUGAUAUUGGUUUUGACUGUAUUCUGCGAGAAUAUAUUGUUUUGAGUGAAAUUUCAGAGAGGAUAUAGAUUUGUUUUCCUGUGAAGUGGUGGGGUUUCACAAAAUAUGGAAGUAGGAUGAGUGAGCUUUUCAUGUAUCAGGAGCAGACUAUCCAACCUAUUUCCUAUUCGCACUCUAUUUGCGCCAGUAUGGUGGACAGAAAGGGAAAUGAAAUGAGAAAAUAAUGUUGCAGCGAAAGGAGAUUUUAUAGUGUUUGUACAAGAGAUUACCUCCAAUGCAUCAAUUUCCUCCAAUGAUGGCUUCCGUUUCGGAGCAUCAUCUUCAAUCUCUAUCUCUCCUUCCAAAACUUUAGGUUGCUUGCGUGAUGGUGCAUUAAGCUUAUCUCUUCCAACAAUCAUUUUGACAGCCUUUACUAUCUGAGCCAUCGUAUUUGUCUGCAAUUUAUAAGGCACAAGACUGUUAGUACAGGUGAAGACCUUAUUGCUCUGGAUAUCACAAAAAUAAAUUUAUCAUGAGAUGACCUUAACAACAAAUAUCGGAAGCUUGUGGUACUUGGCAACAUUACGAAUCCAUGGAUUCUGCUUCAUUUCAGAACUUGACGCGAGAAUCACAUUGGCCGCCUCAAUGUCAUCUGUUAUGUCUAAUUCAUCCUCAAAACCCAUCACUGUUGCUACUUGCAAGAUAUCAGCUUCUGAAACCUGAAAGCACAAAAAAGAAGCAACAUCAGCUUUAUGGUUUUACAGUUAAAUACAGUACUAUAAUAUUGCAUAGCACAAAAUUCAGUCUUCGACAUCCGUGUAGGAAAAUACAGGGACUAUUAAGACUUGAUGGUUGGGACAACUGAGGUGCUCCAAAGAAAGCAUUCUUUAAAAUACUAGUUACAUUUUUUUUGUGAGUUCUGUAAUUUGCAGAAAAUGAAGUAUACAACUCAGAAAAGAACGUAGCCAGUAUCAAAGGCCAUGGGAGAAAUGUUCAUCCAGGUACUAAGGCACACAGCAUCAAUGUAUAUAAUAUUAUAAUUGCACAAAUUUAUAAUCUAGAGAAACAUCAUUUGUAUCUCCACUUACCUGGUAAGUGUAAACACGUACUGGAGGCCUUCCAGCCACAUAUGUUUUGCCUUUUGUUUUCUUUGCAUAACCAAAAUCACCAUUGACAUUAUCGCCUGAUGGGAUGCUGUUGUUUGUUUGCCUGGAGGAACCAAAAUCAUCGGCGAAUUUAUCUUCUGGUGUGACCGCCCUGGUGACCAGAUCUUCCUGAUACGCAGGUAAGUGUUCUGAUUCAGACACUCUNNNNNNNNNNNNNNNNNNNNNNNNACUCUUUCAGAUAUCACCAAAGAUCCUCCUGACUCGGCGGCCUUGCUAUUCAUCAUGCGAGCUUCAAACUUAGGAGGCUUCCCUGUACCAAAGAGAUGGAAACUUAAUUCAGAAACCAGAAGAUAUCUACAGAUCCUUCUAAUGAGUAAUGAGUAUGUGCUAGGAGUUGACUGUGAAGAUCUUUACUGUGAACUAGUCAGUUACCUGCAAGAAUAGCAUCAACUGUAGAUUCUAACUUGUAGUGCACUCGACAUUCAGUCUUAGAUACCAUCUCAACAGCACAUGAAAAUGUUGGGGGCCCUUUUCUCUCAAGAAUUGUUUUUUGAACUUUCCGCUUCUUUGCCUCUUCAUCUCCAAGAGUCACACUCUGUAUAACGAACUUACAUUGUUAUUUCACUAAUAAGUAGUUCUUUUUUUCUUGAUGCAUACUCAAAUGUGUGUCAUACUAAUAAACUAUUCUAGUCAUUCUUGGUGUUGAAAUAUUAUUAAAAUAAUCUACAGCCCCAAAUUUUAUUUGAACUCAAUAUUGGAUGGUUAUCUGAAAACAAAUAUUACUAUCCUUUCGAAUGUAAAAUACACCACCAAGGCAUGGAACCUCGCGGGGUAUUUAGGAAGACAAUGAGAUACACCGGUUUGACCCCCACAUAAUAAAUCAACAACGCUUGAUCCGCCCGAGAAGGAUCAAACUCAGGUCGACACAGAGACACCACUGUGCUUGGAAAACCCAGUUCUCAUGUCUUUUGGAAUCUAAAAACAACAUUAGGAUAACUAUAACAAGCUUCCGGAUCGACUGGUUGACUAUUGCGCCUUAAUCUGAUGUUCAGGAAGAUGCUAAGCUUCAAGAACAUAAGAGAAACUGUUGGAGGACAGCUAGCAGAAAAGAAAAUAAGUUCACCUCAAUCCCACCAACAAGCAUUUGCAAGCAAGGGUUCUUAAUUAUGCUGUCAAUUGUCACCCCAUGAGCAGUUCCAACAAGUUGAACGCCUCUUUGAGCAAUGGUGCUGGCUGCCAUUGCUUCAAGUUCUGUACCAAUCUCAUCGAUCACAAUAACUUCCGGCAUGUGAUUUUCAACAGCCUCAAUCAUCACCUACACAAACAAUGUUUCAUAUGUAUCAUCAAGCAUCCAACAGUAAGGUAUUAAACAAAGACACUCUAGAAGAUUCUGCAACUAUAUAUGAACCAUAUGAAAGAAUAAUGAGAACCUACGUUAUGCUGCAUCGUAACUUUAGGAACUUGCAUUCUCCUAGAGCGCCCAAUGCCGGAGUGAGGUACAUCCCCAUCACCUCCUAUUUCAUUAGAUGUGUCCACUAUGAUCACACGUUUGUUACCCUCAUCUGCCAGGAUUCUAGCUAUUUCCCUGUAUUAUUGAAAGCAUUUGAAAUUGUUAGCAUCAGAUUGCAACACGCACCGAUUUAUAUAUCUUUGGUCUUCUCAGCCAUGUUACUGAGUUAAUAUUCACGUAACAUGCAUUAGCAUUACAUGAUGACAAACACCGCUGAUCAAAGAACUGAAGUUCCACUUUUACGUUUGUAGGUGAUGUACCUGAUCAGAGUGGUCUUCCCUACUCCAGGGGGUCCAAUCACCAAUAUGGAGCCGCCUCCCACCACCAGAUCACGGAUCAUCUCCGCGCUGCCCGAUAUAGCCCGUCCGACACGGCAAGUGAGGCCAAUUAUGUGAGCCUUGCGGUUCCGGAUGGCGCUGAUCCGGUGCAACGAGUGGUUGAUCCCGGAUCGGUUGUCCUCGGAGAAAUUGCCCACCUGCAAAGAGAGGAACCGAUCUUCCAAGUGAGCAAAACUAGCAUCUCCAGCUCCACAGAAGCAACUUUCAUACUACAGUAGUAUUGGGGAUCUCCCAGAUGAGGAAAGCAAGCAUCUCCACAGAAGCAACUUUCACACUACAGUAAAAGUAUUGUUACUGCAACAGAGCCAAGCCAAUUUUGGGGGAUCGCAGUCGCGGGCAUCACGGUGGUACUGGUAAUCAAAGAAAGAAAGGUUGACGACAUGACGGCACCUUGGAGACGGCCUGGCGGAGGUCGUCGGCGGUGACGGGCUGGUCGGAGAUGACCCAGUCCCCGGAGGGGAACCGCGCGAGCGGGCGGCGGCCGAGGUCCAUGACGACCUCCACCAGGUCCCAGACCUCCGGGUGCAGCGCGACCCGCCGCAUCCUCGCCGGCACCACCUCGAGGAACGCCUCCAUCUCACCCCUGGCCCCGGCCCGCGCCUCGGGCGCCGGGGUGGCGACUGCCGGGGACACGGACGGCGAGGCGGGGCCCGAGGGCGCCGCGCCGCGCCACGGCACGCACCGGUCGCCGGACGNNNNNNNNNNNNNNNNNNNNNNNNNNNNNNNNNNNNNNNNNNNNNNNNNNNNNNNNNNNNNNNNNNNNNNNNNNNNNNNNNNNGGUGGAGGUGGGAGCAGAGGAGGAGGGGAAUCGGAGGCGGAGGAAGGAAGAUUCCGGGGAAUACUGCGGCUGGAGGUGGAGUGGUCAGGCGUGGAGCAGGAAGAGUGUUGGAAAAGGCGGGGGCCUCUUCUUGGCCGUUAACCUUCCUCCCGCCUUGCGAGAUGGAGCGAUAGACCACGCCCAUGGACCGCUGUGGUCGCUCAGUCGUGCGGCAUAUGCUAGUACUCUGCAAACACCGGAUAUCCACCUUGUUAGAGGAUCAAGAAUGCAAAAAAAAUUUGGUUUCAAAAAAAGAAUGCAAAUUUGAAGGUGUAAAAACAGGAGAGGUAUAAUUUACAUCUUAAAAAUAAAUGCUUUUUACAAAUCUGAAAAAAAAGGCAACUUCAACAGAUGAUGCAAGAUGCAGAUGUAAAGGUGCAACUUCAGUAGGUGAUGCAAAAUAGAGAUGUAAAACCGGUGACCAGCCGACACGGCUAAUGUACAGCCGCAUUUCAACAUUUAGAUACCAAUUUGCAUCAAAUUUCUACCGACACAAGUUCAUCAUCGUUCAUAGUUAAAAUAAUAUUUCACCGUGAGGUGUUUUAGAAGAAUUGAUCCUCAUGUCCUGUUCAAAUGAGAAUGNNNNNNNNNNNNNNNNNNNNNGAGGAUAUAGGUUUGGAUGUGGAGAUGAGGGGGGGGGGGGGGGGGGGGGGGUAUCCUUUACGGUGUGAGACAAAACACCUUAUAAAUUAUUUCAUGUACCAAGGGUAAGUACAUCUUGCAGCUGGGUGGGCGGGACAUUAAAAAAAUUGGGGCUUGCUGGUUGUUUAUGGGUCUGCCCAAAGAGGAGUUCCUCGUGGAACUUGCUGCAAUGUGUAGCAACAUGACCAUGACAUAUAUUGUGGACGGGGACUUAAAUAUUCUUAGGCAUUGUGGUGAGAAGAACAAGAAUAUGGUUAGUAGUAAGUCUAAUGACCUUUUUAAUUCCAUCAUCAAUACCCUAGCUCUCAUAGAGAUUCAUAUAAGUGGGGGGAAUACAUCUGGAAUAACAAUUAGGCCCACCCUACUUUGGAAAAGAUGGACCACAUUCUCAUGUAUGAGAGUUGGGAAGACUUGUUCCCUCUAGUCUCUCUCAGGAAAUUGGUGCGUGAGCUUUCUAACCUUAACCCUCUACUGCAUGCUAUCCUCGGGUGAACAUGGGCAUGAAGCUCCUAAACCUAGUGAGUUUCGUUUCGAUCUUACUUGGGUUAAAGAUGAAAAAUUCCUACCCAUUGUUGAGAAAAUCUGAUCCGGAAAAGUCAACUCCCUAGACCCCAUUGAUACCGUGAAUAUCAAGUUGAAGAGGUUUAAGACCUAUUUCAAAAGGUGGGGAUCAAAAAAAUUUAGGCAUGAUAAGAAAAAGAAGGAGGAUCUUAGAGUGGAAUUAGCUAUGUUGGAAGAGUCAGAGGAAGAGGGUCCUUUGACCCCUGAUCUAUACAAUAGGAAAAUUAAUAUUAACUUUGAAAUACAUGAGCUGCCAGUAAACGAGGAGAUGUUCUGGUUACAACAAUCUUAUGAACGAUGGUUGUUCAACGGUGACUUGAGCACUGAUUACUAUCAUAAGAUAGCUAAUGGGCGCAAAAGGAAGAAUACAAUUAAUUCCCUGAAAUCUAGGGAUGUUGAAAUAGAAGGUAUUGAUAACCUGAUUGAGCAUGCAAGAUAAUAUUAUAAGACCUUAUAUGGUCUUGCACCUCGAAACAUUUUCCAUCUAGAUCCUAAUACAUGGUCAUAUGAUACAAAAUUUAAAUUCUAAAGAUAAUAAUGACCUUUUUCGUGAGUUCACGAAAAUAGAAGUGAAUGAAUCCUUUUUGCUAUGGCUUCUAAUAGUGCACCAGAGAACAACAUUCCGGUGGAAGUUUAUCAGUCAUGUUGGGACAUAGUAAAAGAUGAUAUUAUGUCCCUUUUUACCCAUUUUCAUAAAGGGGUUUUGGAUGUGCGGCAUAUUAACUAUGAUGUUAUUAUGCUCUUGCCAAAAACUUCAAAUGUGGAUAAGAUCCAACAAUUCAGACCUAUCUAUUUGUUGAGAUGCCUGUAUAAACUGAUCACUAAAGUAUUGGGUAGGCGCGCGGAGAGGUAUGCUGGUAAACUGACCAGUUUUUGCCAAAAUGCAUUUAUGAAAGGGAGGAACAUUAUGGAUGGUGUUCUUUCUCAUGAGAUCUUAAACUAUACGCAUGUGAAGAAAAGGGUGGGGAUUGUGUUGAAACUCGACUUUGAGAAGGCUUACGAUAAGGUUAACUCGGAAUUCUUGCUUGAGUGUCACAAAAUUCGGGGUUUUAGUGAUACUUGGUGUGGCUGCCCAAAAUGGCACUGUGAGUAUUAAACUUAACAAUUGCGUAGGGGCAUACUUCCAAAGUGCUAAAGGUCUUCAUCAGGGUGACCCUCAGUCUUCGUUUCUGUUUAACCUAGUUGUUGAUUGUCUCGCUAAAAUGAUUACUAAUGCACAGGAAAAAAAUGUUGGUUAGCCUAGCACCUGACCUUAUCCCCAUGGGGUGGCUGUGCUGCAAUAUGCGUAUGAUACAAUCAUAUGCUUGGAGCAUGAUAUUGACAAGGCAGUUAACCUAAAGUUAUCGGUUUAUAUGUUUGAGAUGAUCUCAGGACUUAAAAGUGAACUUUCAAAAGAGUGAAAUCUUUACUAUUGGUGGUGAUGAAAAUGUGAUUAGAGAAUAAGCGAACGUGUUCAAUUGUGACAUAGGUACUUUCCCCCAUCAAAUACCUGGGUAUGCUUGUGAGCUACUAGAUACUUAUAAACUCGGACUGGGAGUUCAUUCUGGAUAAAUACCUCAAUAGAUUUCAGGCUUGGAUUGGUAAUGCCGCAUCUAUGGGAGGUAGGCUUACCCUACUGGAUUCGGUCGUUACUGAGAUUACCCUUUACCAUCUGUCUAUGUGGCUUAUGAAUAAAAAUUCCAUUGAAAAGCUUGAUAAACAUAGAAGGAGAUUUUUCUGGCAAGGAUGUAACAAGAAGAUAAGAUAUUACCUUCUUAAAUGGAAUAGGUAGAUCCAAGGACAAGGGUGGUCUUGGAGCAAAAGACCUUCGGAAGAAGAAUAUUAGUUUGAUUGUCAAGUGGUGGUGGAAACUUGAAACUCGAGAGGUUGUAUCGCAAGAUAUUGUGCAUGCACGGUACCUUAAGAAUAAAACUAUGGCUUCUGCGGUACCUAGAUUUUCAGACUCCCCGUGUUGGAAAUCCCUUCUGAAAAUUAAGAGUCUUUAUAUGCUUGGUAGGAAAAUUGAUUUUGGGUCUGGUAACAUUAACAGAGUUUGGAAAGAUUCUAUCAAUGUUUUCCCCCCAUUUCAGGUACAAUACCCCGUGUUAUAUGAGAUUUGUUAUGCUCGGGAUUGUACUAUGGAGAAAUUCAGUCCAAUUGACACUACCACUCUGUUUAGGAGAAGGUUGACUCCUCACUUGCAAAGACAGUGGGUGGAUAUGUGUGAUACCAUAUCUGACAUCUAGUUGAUUGCGACUAGUGAUCGAGUGUUUGGGGGGGGCUUAGCAAAAAUGGCAAUUUUUUCACCAAAUCUAUGUAUAAAUAGUAGGAGAGCCCUCUUAGUGGAUUUCAUUAUAUAUGGAUUUGGAAAGCAAAAAUUCCUCUCAAAAUAAUUUUUUUGUGGCAAGUGUCGCAGGAUGCAAUACUUACUAGACAGGUUAUGAAAAAGAGGAAAUGUCCUCAAAAGCCAAGUUGCUCCUUUUGCAGCAAUGAGGAAACUUCUGGGCAUCUGUUCUUCACCCGUCCAGUGGUCAGAGUUGUGUGGAGAUCUGUUGGGGUGGUAUUGGGUAUUGAUUGUUGUCAGAAUAACUACUGGCAGUAUUUUGCAUGGUGUCACGCUUUCCUCCCUAGAGGAGAGAAAUAUUAUAUAGUUGGCAUGGCGACUGCUUGCUCGGCAAUAUGGCUUGCUCGUAAUCGUGCCACUUUUGAGAAGGAACAUAUCAAAACUCCUUUUGAAAUUGUCUUUUCUAUGUGUUCUUUCUUGCCUUAUUGGGAAGGGAUUCAACAUGGAGACGUUGGUGGAGAAGUGAGAACUGGUGCUGAGAUGAUUAGAUCAAGCACGGUGCAUCUGAUGAAGUUAUGCAACAACGUGAUGUGUCGGGUCGUGGGAGAAUAAUCAUGCUUCUUCGAUGUUGUUGGAGAAUGUCAUUUUGUCUUAGUGCGUGCAAAUUUAAACUUUUGACUUUUCAGUCUGUAAUAUUUAGGCUAGCCUGAAGAUUGUUAUUGUGCUGUAAGGUUUUCGCCCCAUGGCAUUCGUCACGAUGUCGGGCGAGCGUAGUGGCGGUUUCCUAGCAGUGCUCGAACUCGCUUCCCCUCCCCCUGGAAUGUUUCUUGAAUAUAUUUCCGUUCAUUUGCAAUGGAAAGGGGCAUGGCCUGGUUCAAAAAAACAUCAUUCAUAUUUUGAGAUGCUACAACUAAAACUGCAUCUUCUCAAACAAAGUUCAUGAUCAAACAAAUUAAAAUGCACAUAAAACAUCAAACAUACGAGUCAAUUUUCGUCUUCUCCGUUGUCACUAAUGACACCGUGGACGGUGGUAUGUUCAUCAUCGUCAAUGGCUCCUUUGUAGACCUUUUGAUCCAUUGAAUUCUUGUUACCAUGGAUUCCACCAAAAGCACAUUCAUUGCCACCUCCCAUUUCAUUCACAUUGCCAUCAAAGCCACCUCCCAUGCCACUCAUCAUGUUGCCGCCAAAGCCACCUCUCAUUCCACUCAUGUUACCACCGAAGCCACCUCCCAUGGCACUCAUGUUGCCGCUGAAGCCAACUCUCAUGUCACCCAUGUUUCCACCAAAGCCACCACUCAUGUCACCGAAGCCACCAUCCAUGUUGCCACCAAAGCCACCUCCCAUGUUGCAAUGCAUCAUUCAAGUCACCUCCAUCAUGUUCAUGUAGCCGUCCAUUCCUCAUCCCAUGACACCUCUCAUUCUUCCUCCCAUCGUGCUCCUCAUGAGCAUUUGCUUCUUCAGGGUCAUUUCAUCAUGACAAAGCCCGACAUACGCCUUUGACUUGGGAUCAAGAGUUAAUGUGCACAUGAACAUGAACUUGAGUGCUUUCUCUUCGACCAUCUUGAAAUCUUCGGUCGCCUCCAACCUUUCUUGGGUUGUCGUUCUCUUCUCCUCGGCCACCACUCUCCCCCACUCGACUUCUCUCCUCUAAUUUAUUUAUUUUAGCUUCAAAGUUAUUUUUUCUUCGGCAUACUCUUUCCUCACAAUGGCAAUGGUGUCAAAUCCUUCUUUAAUAUCAUUAACUCCAGCCCUGGAGCCCUUUACUUUUUUACAUCCAUAUGGCUUAUAUGAUUUAGUCGCCGAGUGUGGAGUGAGAUCCAUCUCUCUUUGCCAUUGCCAUCUUCAUCAUCCUCCACGAGACCAUGAGCACAUUUUUUUUCUUCGAGGCAUCAUAAACUUCUCUUGUUUUCCACUUCUCCUCAUCCUUGAGAUCUUUGUAGCAAUGAUGGAAAGUGAAAUCUCUUUGUUUCUUCUUCCUUUUCUCUCCAUUGUUGUUCCUCCCUCGAAACAAUCCUUGCGCAAUCAUUUCUUACAACAACAAACAAGAUGUCAUCAUUAAAUUAGAGAACAUUUGACUUUUUGCGCAAUGUUGAGAGAAUACAAACAAGUAGAAAAUGAUCACCAAAUCACUUUCAACGCAACCACUCGGAUUCAUGCGCUCAACAUUUGACAAGCAACCAGACCACUUUUAGCAUUCGACGUUGAUGGUGCCCCAACAUUGAUGAAUUGUGCCCCUUCACCGAAAUUAUUCGCUAGUAUUGCUCUCAUUGAAGUACUCCUUGAUGCAUUGCCAGUACGUAUCACGGCUUGGUCACUCCCAACGGAUGCAUCUUGAGAGAUUUUCUUUCACGCAUAGCAAAUCAACACAUCUUAGGGGGUGUAUAAUUUGUGGUUCUACCCUUCAGAAAAAAGCCCUCUUCGUCCAUGUCAAGAUUAUUGUUAUCAAAUUGAGUUUCAUAUUCUCGUGAUGCAUACUCUUGAGAGAUAUAAUCAUCAUUUGACACAUGUGUUGCUCGCAUGAAAGCUUCAUCGUCAAGACUACAAAUGAGCGUACACAGAAUCAAUCUCACAUUCUAUCCUUACCGGAAAUUGCAAGAACAAACACGUGCACGACAACAAGGAAAGUUUUUUUUACCUUUUGAACAUUUCACCGAAUAUGUUGGAUGCGCUGGACGUCAGUGUGACCACAUCACCUUCAUGGCCGACGGUGGUGGAGGUGGGGCCCUUUAGCCGGAGAAGGAAACCAUGGCCACCGUCGUCAGCCAAUCGCCCGCCGCAUCCUCGUCCGGCUUUGAAAUUUUGGGCGACUGAGGUUGAUUCACUGCUAGGUUGCACCCCCGCCUUGCCUGUUGCUUCACGCUUUGUUAGGGCAUAGUUUAUGCCUAAGUAAUUUUGGUGAUUGAUGACAGUACCGCAAAGGACUAAUUGUGUGUGUUAAGAUUUCAGAUAACACAUGCCAACGGCACAAGACGACUCGCCCCCUCUUUCCAUGGAACAUAAGCUCGGUGUACUCUACGAUUCUCCUUCUUUGAGUCAUAGGAACGCCGUACUAUUAAGAGGGGACCCGUAGUGGAAAGGUUUGGGUGGAAUCAAUUUUGCACGCACACACUUUAUCUCCUUUCCCCUUGCCUGCAACUUUGGAGUGGCUCCCGCCUUUGUGUUUAUCUCAUCUAAGCAAAUGGUCCCUGAGCGGUAGUACCGCUGUGCCUAGCGUUAGUACCGCUAGCCCUAGCGGUAGUACCGCUUUCCCUAGCGGUAGUACCGCUGCAGCCAGCGGUAGUACCGCUAGCUGGCGGUAGUACCGCCCCUGGUCAGCGGUAGUACCGCUCCAGGAGCUUAGUACCGCCUUCCUAGCGGUUGUACUUCGACGGACCUUUUUGCGAAGACUUUCUUGACGGUGGAUGGCUCGGUAGUGCCUAUGCACUACCAUGGGCUCAGCGGUAGUACCACUGCAGCCAGCGGUAGUACCGCUGGAGUGCCAGCGGUACCGCUGCAGCCAACGGUAAUACUGCUGGAGUGCCAGCGGUAGUACCAUUGCAUCCAGCGGUAGUACCGCUAGGCACGGGUUGUGAGUGGGAAAACGGUUGGAUUCCCCCCCACUAUAUAAGGGGUUCUUCUAGCUGUGGAACCUUAUCUCUUACCCUCCCAAGCUCCAUUGUUUCUCCCUAAGCUCAAAAGUGCCCGAUCUCUCUCCCUAGCCAAUCAAACUUGUUGAUUCUUUAGGGAUUGGCUGAGAAGGCCUAGAUCUACACUUCCACCAAGAGAAAAGUUGAUUCCCCCACCAAUCCCUUGCGGAUCUUAUUACUCUUGGGUGUUUGAGCAUCCUAGAAGGUUGAGGUCACCUCGGAGCCACAUUCCAUUGUGGUGAAGCUUCGUGGUCUUGUUGGGAGCCUCCAAGCUUUGUGUGGAGUUUGCCCCAACCUUGUUUGUAAAGGUUCGGUCGCCGCCUUCAAGGGCACCUAUAGUGGAAUCGCGGUACCUUGCAUCAUGUGAGGGCGUGAGGAGAAUACGGUGGCCUUAGUGGCUUAUUGGGGAGCAUUGUGCCUCCACACCGCUCCAACGGAGACGUACUUCCUGUCAAAGGGAAGGAACUUCGGUAACACAUCCUCGUCUUCAUUGGUUCCACUUGUGGUUAUCUCUAACCUUUACUUUGUGUAUGCUUAUGUUGUUGUCUAUCUCUUACUUGUCUUAGUAGCUCUUGUUGUUAGAUUCAUUACGGUUCACCCCAUUGUUGCUAUUAUUGUGAACCCAUAUGUUGUUUACCCUAACUUGCUAAGAUUAAUUAAAAAGUGGUCGUUGCCUAUUCACCCCCCUCUAGUCAACCAUAUCGAUCCUUUCAAUUGGUAUCAGAGCCACGUCUCUUUAUUAAGGGUUUAACCACCCGAAGAGUAUGGAAGAUGAUGAGGGAGUUCCCCGUGCACAAACCGAGGGCAUGGACUUGACUUCGAUCACAAGGGACGACUUGAAUACGGCUAUGGCCGCACUCAAGACGUCCAUGACGAACGAGGUCAAGACCAUGCUUAAAGAGUUAAUUGAGGGAAUUAGGAACUCUCCCAAACCGGCAUUGGUGGUUAAACCCACCACCACAGAUUCGGAGGCUGAUUCCGUCAGGGAAGCGGCUAAAGAUAUGCAACCUUCCCAACCUCUCGAAAAUAAUGGAAAUGGGACGUAUGCAUCUGUUCCACCACCCUUGGUCUAUGGAGGACCGGUUCCCACACCGCGUCUUAAUCCUGUUGGUCCUCCUCCUAAACUUGUAAAAGGUGAUUUUGCUAACCGGGUAUUUUCUAUUAAGUCUCAUUUGAAUCACAGCUCAACAAAUUUGUGGAGAAUCAUCGAGCAAGGAUAUUAUCCCCAUGAUCCAAGCAACCUCACUCCAAGAGAAGAUGCGGACAAUCAAUACAAUCACUCUGCUAUGUUUAUUCUCCAGUCUGCAAUGCCACCUGAAGAUCUUCCUCACUUGCGUCCCUUCACUUUGGCCAAGGAUUGUUGGGAGCACAUUAUGGUGUUGUACAAGGGAAGGUCAAGCAUUCAACGGUCCAACUAUGAAGUGAUACCUGAUAAGGCCGAUGAGUUUGUGAUGAAGGAAGACGAGGACCCUCGUGAUUUCUAUCGGAGGGUGACUGCUAUUGCUGUGGCACUCAAGGACCAUGGGAGCAAGGAUGUGGAUGAUACAUGGGUCAAGCGCAAGUUUCUCAAAGCCAUCAUGCCUUUCAAUAAAGCCAUGUCAUAUGUCAUUCGUCAGCGACCAGACUUCCACUCCUUGUCUUCGAGUGAGGUGUUGGACGAAUUCAUUGCAAUGUCAAUCAUGAACGAAACAGCUGACAAUGCACUUGCUCGUGUUCGCUCAAAGAUAGCUUCUCUCAACCUUGCGUUAAAGGCAAAAGCAACGUUUGAAGAAGAAGAAGAGGAUGAGGAAGAGGAGAGAUGCCCUCAAGACACGAAGUAUGCCUAUCAUGAGCACAUGGCUCUUGCAUCAAGGCAAUUCUGGGGGAACAAGAGGAAUUCAAGACCCACCUUCACCAAGAACAACUCGAGUGGGUUCAAACCCAAGCAACGAGUGAGGACAUGCUAUAACUAUGGUAACGUGAGUCCCUUCGUGGCCGAAUGUCCCUAUGAGAAAAGGGAAGACAAUGGGGGAAAGCUCAUUCGCAAAGACAAAACCAAGUCAUUUCCAAUCAAGAACAACUUUGUGAAGAAACCUCACCCAAAGGGGAUGGUGGCCCUUGAAGAGUACCCUUCCGAUGAUGAUGAUGAUGAUACAGUGGCGACGACAACGGUUGCUAUUGCCACUCCCUCUCCCCAGAAGGUGUCUCUCUUCAACGCCCCCAACGAGAACCACAUCACCAAGUGCCUCAUGACAAAAGGUAUCAAUCAGGUAACCCCCAUCAUUAAGACCAACAUCGCUACUGCUCCUUCAUUGUUAAAUUGUGUUGAUGAUAGUGAUGUUGGGGAACUUAAUGAGCAUGAUCUUGACAAGUUUCUGUGCACUAUUAAGGGAGAAUCCAAGAAGCACUUUGUUGCUCUCUUGGAACAACUGGGUGAGGCCAAUGACCUCAUCCAGUCUCAUGAGGAGACCAUCUCCGAGCUUCAGGGACACAGUCGUGAAUAUGCCGAUGAAAUUGCUGAAUUAUCUAUUGCUCUAGAAAAAGAGCGCACUCUUCGUUUGGCUCUUGAGGAGUCAUACAACGAUGACUGCGCUAAAAUGCAAAAGAAACUAGAUCAUGAUACUGUUCUUACUCGCAUGCUUAAGUCUGAGAAGUAUGCUCUUGGGGUUGGCCAUGACAGACUCAAAAUGGAGUUUGACACACUUGACAAGGCUCACAAGGUCUUGAAAGGUGUUCAUUUCUCUCCGAAAGAGUCUCAUGAUCAACUCCAAGCAAAGCUUACCAAGGAGAUCUCUACUUGUCCUCCCUUUGUGUUAAUUGAUAAUGCUUGUACAACUAAUCCUUGUUGUGAGCAUGUACAUCUUGUGGAGGAAAAUGCCAAGUUAAAGGAGAAACUUGAGAAGGGCCUUGUGACAUGCAGACAAGGUGAGAAGAGCCUGAACAACCUCUUGAGCACUCAAAAGGGUGUUGUAGGAAAGGAGGGACUUGGACUUACCUCAAAGUCAAAAGGAAAAAGUAGGAACAGGAACAAACGAUCCCCUACCCUCAUGGACAACUUUGUCAAAGAGGGCGAAGGGACUCAGGAGGUGAACAGGAACAAGGUGGACGAUGGUAACGUCAAGAAGGGCAAAACCAUUCCUACUAACACAGCCGACAAACUCAAUUCUUCCUAUGUCUUAUGUCGUGCUAGUGAUGGGCAUGUUUAUGCCAGAUUUGUUGGUUCCUACCAUGAGUCCAUUGAAUGGGCUAUCUGGGUUCCUAAGACCCUUUUCUCUAACAUGAAAGGACCCAUUAAAAAAUGGGUACCUAAAACCAAGCCUUGAUCUAUUGCAGGAGUUUGCUUCCGGUGGGGUGUCAUGGUUGCUCGAUAGUGGAGCAACAAAUCAUAUGACCGGAAGCAAGGACUUAGUGGUGGAUGUCCAUCCUUCUCCAUCUAUGCCCACCCAUGUCCAAAUCGCCGAUGCAUCCUCGUCAAAAGUAUUGGGAUUUGGUAAGGUGGUCAUCUCUCAAGAGUUAUCUAUUGAGAAGGUCAUGCUUGUUGAGUCUCUUGCCUACAAUUUACUUUCAGUUCGUCAACUUGCAAUUAUGGGUUUUUCCACAUUCUUUAAUCUUGAUACUGUGGUCCUCCUGUGGAGCAAGACUCUUAAAGUAGCCUAUGUUGGAUAUGUCGAAAAUGGUCUUUAUGUGGUGAACUUCUCAAAGUGACCCACUAAGACCGUGACGUGUUUAAUGGCUAAAGUUGAUGUGGGCUCGCUUUGGCAUCGCCGACUAGCUCAUGUCAAUAUGAGAUCUUUGCAAAGUCUUCUAACAGGGGACCAUGUUCGUGGACUAACAAAUGUGAGCUUUGCUAGAGAUCGUGCUUGCAGUGCCUGCAUUGAAGGAAAGAUUCAUGAAACUGCUCAUCGUCCAACAACUCUCAUUUACACUAAGAGGCCAUUAGAGCUCCUACAUAUGGAUCUUUUCGGCCCUCCAUCAUUUGAUAGUCUUGGAGGCAGAAAGUACUGCUUGGUGAUUGUUGAUGACUACUCAAGAUACACCUGGGUAUAUUUGUUCAAAAGGAAGAGUGAGACUCAACAAACUGUCCUCAACUUUGCUAAUGAAGCUCAACGUCAACAUGAAGCAAAGAUCUUGAUGAUUAGAAGUGACAACGGCACCGAGUUCAAGAACUACACCUUGGAUGAGUUUCUAGGUGAUGAGGGAAUAAAACAUCAAUAUUCAGCACCAUAUACCCCUCAACAAAAUGGCGUGGCAGAAAGGAAGAACCGGACCUUGAUGGACGUUGCAAGAACAAUGAUGGCGGAAUUCAAAUCUCCAUAUAACUUUUGGGCAGAGGCCAUCAACACAACAUGUUAUGCGUCCAAUCGGCUCUAUAUCCGCAAAGGCUUGAACAAGACUCCAUAUGAGAUUCUCACUGGAAACAAACCCAAUCUCAAGUACUUCCAGGUAUUCAGUUGUAAGUGUUUCAUUCUCAAGAAAGGUGCACGCUUAGCUAAAUUUGAUUCUAGAGCACAUGAGGGCAUCUUUGUUGGUUAUGCUACAAACUCUCAUGCUUACCGUGUCCUCAACAAGUCCACCGGACUCAUUGAGGAGACGUGUAACGUGGAGUUUGAUGAAAAUAAUGGCUCCCAAGUGGAGCAAAGUGGUCUUUGUGAUAUAGGUAAUGAAAUUCCUCCCCAAGCCAUAAGAAGAAUGGGGAUUGGUCAAAUACUCCCCAUUGAGGAACCCCUUGUGGCCGAAGAAGAAGGACAAUGCUCUACUCAAGUGGAGCCAUCACCCCGCAAGCCCCACACGCUUCCGAUGAACAAAGAGAAGACUCUCAACAAGAUGAACAAGCUCAAGGUCAAGAUGAAUUGCCCAACAAUGAUGAUGUGUCCCAUGAUAUUCAAGAACUUACCCAAGGUUCCGAACCUGCUCAUGAUCAAGAUCAAGUGCAACCACAAGAUCCAGACCAAGUAGAAGCACAAGAUCAAGAUCAAGAGCAACCACAAGUACAAGGACAAACAAGUGAACCUGCUCAAGUCAAAAGUCAAGAUGAUCAGGAUACUGUCUCACAAUUCCCUUCUGCAGCACCAACAGCUGGUGCCAAGGGAGGCUCAAGAUGCAAGGGCAAGCAAAGUAAACAAGUUGAUGCUCCCCAGUUAUCCAAUGAAGAACUCUUGGAGCGUCGAGCAACCAAGAUUGCGAACAAGCUGAGAGUCAAGUCACAUCUUAUGAAGAAUGUACUUGGCAGUUUAAAAAAAGGGAGUAUCCACCCGUCAACAGAUUUGGAAUUAUUGUGAGCAUCACGCGUUUGUUUCGUAUUGUGAACCUCAACAGGUAGAGGAAGUGCUCGAUGAUGAGGAUUGGCUUAUGGCCAUGCAUGAAGAACUUAACAACUUCGAGCGUAACCAAGUCUGGGAUUUAGUGCCAAGACCAACAGAGGAACAUAAUGUCAUCGGGACCAAAUGGAUAUUCAAAAACAAGCAAGAUGCCAAUGGGAUCGUGAUUCGAAACAAGGCAAGAUUGGUGGCUCAAGGCUACUCCCAAGUCAAGGGUAUCGACUACGGUGAAACCUUUGCCCCUGUUGCUCGUCUAGAAUCUAUUCGCAUGUUGCUUGCAUUUGCUUCUCAUCAUAAUUUCAAAUUACAGCAAAUGGAUGUGAAAAGUGCCUUUCUUAAUUGUCCUUUAAAUGAGUUGGUCUACGUGAAACAACCCCCGGGAUUCGAACAUCCCAAGCUCCCCAAUCAUGUGUACAAACUUAAUAAGGCACUCUAUGGCCUUAAACAAGCCCCACAUGCGUGGUAUGAGUAUCUUACUGAGUUGUUACAAGAUUGUGGGUUUGAAAUUGGGAAGAUAGAUCCCACUCUUUUUACUAAGAGGGUUAAAGGGGAUUUGUUCAUAUGCCAACUAUAUGUUGAUGAUAUUAUCUUUGGUUCUCCUAACAUUUCCUUCAAUGAAGAAUUUGCUGCACUAAUGACCGAGAAAUUUGAGAUGUCCAUGAUGGGAGAGUUGAAGUUCUUCCUCGGUUUCGAGAUUAAACAAGGCCUAGAAGGGAACUUCAUCAAACAAGCCAAGUACACUCAAUACAUGCUCAAAAGGUUCGAGCUUGAAGAUGUCAAGCCGGUCAAGUUCCCCAUGCCAACAAGAUGCAAGCUUGACAGUGAUCCCAAUGGUAAAGCAGUGGAUCAAAAGGUAUAUCGCUCCAUGAUUGGAUCCCUCCUUUACCUUUGUGCAUCUAGACCAGAUAUUAUGUUGAGUGUAGGGAUAUGUGCACGGUUUCAAUCUGCACCAAAAGAAAGUCAUUAUAUGGCUGUUAAGCGAAUCUUUCGAUAUUUGGCUCAUACCCCAAACUUUGGCCUAUGGUAUCCCAAAGGAGAAAACUUCAACCUAGUAGGCUAUUCUGACUCAGAUUGGGCAGGAGAUUGUGUGGAGAGGAAGUCAACUUCUGGAGGAUGCCAAUUCCUUGGUCGCUCACUGGUAAGUUGGUCUUCAAAGAAGCAGAAUUGUGUCUCACUAUCAUCCACCGAAGCUGAGUAUGUGGCAGCUGCAAGUUGUUGUGCACAAUUGCUAUGGAUGAGGCAAACUUUAAAGGAUUACGGUGUCACUUGUGACAAAGUGCCUCUUCUAUGUGACAAUCAAAGUGCUAUCAAUAUUUCCCUCAACCUAGUGCAACAUAGCAAGACCAAGCAUAUUGAUAUUCGCCAUCACUUCAUUCGUGAACAUAUCAAGCUAGGUGAUAUUAAGGUUCACUUCAUCCACACAAAAGAGCAACUUGCAGAUAUUUCACUAAGCCCCUAGAUGAAGCAAGGUUUCGGGAGUUAAGGCAUGAGCUAAAUAUCAUUGAUUCAAGUAAUGUGGAUUGAAGCUAGGCACGUUGCACCUUACUAUGCAUUCUAUCUUAUUCUAGAUGUAGGCAUGGACAUAGGGGGAGUGUUGUUCUCUCAAUGAACUCUUCCUCCCCCCAUUAUGCAUAAAUUGAUCUAGUCUUUCACUUUAGCCAUUACCAAAUGGCACUUGUGCUUCAAAGACGAGCGUUGGUCAUGAACCCAAGGAUAAUUCUUCGCGGUGUCAUACCUUUGUCUCAAACAUAGGUGGCCUCGGCCACCGCCCCCACCUUUCUCUCAUAUGGAAGAAAGGAUACAAAAUGACAAGUCAGUAUAUCUUGCUGGUGCUAUCUUCUUAUUUUCACUAACUUGUCAUUUGCCCACGUAUUUCUCAUCUCCUAUGUCUGUGUGUGACAUUUGCAGCGGUACUACCGCCAGGGGUAGCGGUACUACCGCCAGGACCCCAGCGGUACUACCGCCAGGGGUAGCGGUACUACCGCCAGGAUCCCAGUCUACCACGACCUAACUAGGACUUUUUAGGGCUGUCUCAAGGGAGAGCGGUACUACCGCUAGGACCCCAGCGGUACUACCGCUGCAGGCAGCGGUACUACCGCCAGGUAGCGGUACUACCGCCAGGACAAAAGCGGUACUACCGCUGGCCCGUACCCCUUGGGCUAUAUAAAGGAGGGGGAGCCCGUUUUUUCUUGCCUCUUUCUUCUUCCUCGUGGCUCCUCCCUCCCCAACCCGGAACUCCCCCUAUUUGGAUAUCUAUCUAUGGAGCCCCUUCUCUCCGUUGAGUUGGAGGGUUUGCUCCACUUCUCCUUCCUCCACCAAGUGCCAUGGACUCCGGUAAAGCUCCUCCCUUUAUUCUCUUGGUUGAUGUUUUCUUGUUCUAGGGUUAGGAGCAUUGGUGAUCUGGAUCCAUGUCUAUGGUAUUGUGCUUUGUUCUUGGAUGGCAUGAAGGAGAUAUUCGAGGGGAGUGUAGGUCCUAUGACUCAUUGCCUUUAUAUUGCCAUGCCCUAGGUUCUUCAUGUUUUAGAUCAAGCACUUCUUCUAUUUUGGAUUAAAUCUAAAACUUGAAUCCUCUUGACUAGGCAUGUCUUUAUUUAGAUGAUUCUUGUGAUCCUCAUGUGUUUAGGGCUGUGGUGGUGUUCUUGGUGAUUAUACACAGUACCCAUGGCCCUCGUAAAUCCAAUCUAGUCGUUUCUAUGGGUCCUUUUUCAUAUUCAGAUCUGAAAGUCAACCCCCUAGCGGCACUACCGCCAGAGGUAGCGGUACUACCGCUAGGACCCAUGGCCCUUGUAAAUCCAAUCUAGCCGUUUCUAUGGGUCCUUUUUCAUUUGCUUGGCAAUGUGAGUUUACUUUUAUGCCUCUUUUUGUUCAUUGCCUUGAUUGCUUUUGUUGCUCUUUUUCGGUGUGUGUCUUGUGUGCCACAGGUGGUGCUCACCGCUCGAACCCCCCAUGGGACACCCAGUCGAAACAUUAUUGCAAUCCAGAGGCUCUAGAGGGCUCCGCCACUUCCGGUCUGCAACCCUAAAAGAAUUCUUUCAAGAAGACAGCUCACAAGGACAAGGGGGUCAACGUUCGCACUAUGCCCCCUAAGGACUUUCUGCGGUUCCGCACCAAAAAUCACUAUCUCCAAGAGAAGGCUGUGAUCAAGGAUGUCGAGCAUGUUUGGUCAACGGAUCACUGCAGGAUCUAUCGCGACAUCAUCAAGCACUUCAAGAAGAGUUUUGUUCCAGUUCAGUGGAUUGACUUGGCUCACCUUCAGCGGAACCUGGAUUACUUUGGUGACGCUCUCUACUUGAUUGACAAGCUUGGCAUUAAGGAGAUCAUCUCCUUCAAGAAAGACUUUGAUCUAGAUGUUGUCGCCCAAUUCUAUGUCACUGUUCACUUCUCGCCUGAUGACGAGCGCACCAUGGUUUGGAUGACUGGUACUCAGAAGAUGACAGGUUCCUGGCGUGAAUUCAUGGCGUUUCUCAAGGUCGACUUUCAGGGAGCUGACACUCCAAUUGGGUCGCGUCCUCAUGCUCCAGCUUCCACUGAUAGGGCCCCCGCCAAGGACAGGCUGCAACAACUUUAUGUGAAUAAAGGUGUGCUACCCAAGCAUCUGGAUAUCAUGCAUCGGAUCUUCCGCAACACCCUUUUCCCUCGCAUUGGCAAUUUCGACGAGGUGCAUGGUUCUCUGGCUGAGAUGCUUCUACUUUGUGAGGAGGCUAUGACUAAGGAGUCUGCCCCUCUCGAUAUUUCUGACGUGAUGUUCACUGAGCUCUGGAACUGCAUCAUGAUGCGCAAGGUUCCCAUCUACGGGCCCUACUUGUUUGCCUAUAUUCGCCAGAAGUGGCACGACACCUAUUUGCUUGAGGAGUUCCACCUUCAGGCUAGUUACUUUGUGCACGAUCCUACCAGGCUCCGUAUGAAGGACAAAUGGGCCAACCCAUCAACUUCAUCUCAGCACAUGGACACUGACAUAGAGACUGCUGCUGACAGAGGCACCGCUUCUCAGUCCCGCCCUUCUGCUAUGCCAUCUUGGGCAGUGAAACUACAGGAUAAAAUGAAGACUCUCUUCUGUAUGUAGGCUAAGGGACAGUAUCAGACUCAUGUGGCCUAUAAGGAGAACCGUCAGAGGCACAAGCGUGUCCUGAGGACACUUGAUGUUGAGAUCUCCAGCGGCUCAGAGGACGACAUCACUCCAGAGUCUGCUUGGAUGCGGGCUCAAGGUUAUCAGUGGUCUGAUGCAGAGGAGGAGGAGGACAAUGAGGAGGAGCAGGACGAUCCGGAUGCCACGGACGGGUCUGGGGAUGAUGAGGAUGAGGAGUGACCACCUGUGUCUUUAGGUGUGCCCCUUUUUGAUGUCUUGUGCCAAAGGGGGAGAGAGUCUAGGAGCUGGAUUUGAGAGUUGAACUUUGCUUAGCUUUGCUUAUCUUUCGUGUUUGCUUUGGACUUAAUUUGCUUUUAUUUGCUAUCUUUGCUUUGUGUGAUGUGAGACUUGAACUAGUGUGAGAUUUAUUUCCAUCAUAUGCUGUGAGUCAUAUGCUCCUUAUUUUUAUAUAUCUCUAUCUUUUUGUUCACAUAUUAUUCACUAUGCAAAUCCGGUAUUGUCAUCAAUCCACCAAAAAGGGGGAGAUUGUUAGGGCAUAGUUUAUGCCUAAGUAAUUUUGGUGAUUGAUGACAGUACCGCAAAGGACUAAUCGUGUGUGUUAAGAAUUCAGAUAACACAUGCCAACGGCACAAGACGACUCGCCCCCUCUUUCCAUGGAACAGAAGCUCGGUGUACUCUACGAUUCUCCUUCUUUGAGUCAUAGGAAUGCCCUACUAUUAAGAGGGGACCCGUAGUGGAAAGGUUUGGGUGCAAUCAAUUUUGCACGCACACACUUUAUCUCCUUUCCCCUUGCCAACAACUUUGGAGUGGCUCCCGCCUUUGUGUUUAUCUCAUCUAAGCAAAUGGUCCCUCAGCGGUAGUACCGCUGUGCCUAGCGGUAGUACCGCUAGCCCUAGCUGUAGUACCGCUGGAGUGCUAGCGGUAGUACCGCUGCAGCCAGCGGUAGUACCGCUAGCUGGUGGUAGCACUGCCCCUGGUCAGCGGUAGUACCGCUCCAGGAGCUUAGUACCACCUUCCUAGCGGUUGUACUUCGAUGGACCUUUUUGCAAAUACUUUCUUGGCGGUGGUUGGCCCGGUAGUGCCUAUGCACUACCAUGGGCCCAACGGUAGUACCGCUGCAGCCAGUGGUAGUACCGCUGCAGCCAGUGGUAGUAGCGGUAGUACCGUUGCAUCCAGCGGUAGUACCGCUAGGCACGGGCUGUGAGUGGGAAAACGGUUGGAUUCCCCCCCCCCACUAUAUAAGGGGUUCUUCUAGCUGUGGAACCUUAUCUCUUACCCUCCCAAGCUCCAUUGUUGCUCCCUAAGGUCAAAAGUUCCCGAUCUCUCUCCCUAGCCAAUCAAACUUGUUGAUUCUUUAGGGAUUGGCUGAGAAGGCCUAGAUCUACACUUCCACCAAGAGAAAAGUUGAUUCCCCCACCAAUCCCUUGCGGAUCUUAUUACUCUUGGGUGUUUGAGCAUCCUAGACGGUUGAGGUCACCUCGGAGACACAUUCCAUUGUGGUGAAGCUUCGUAGUCUUGUUGGGAGCCUCCAGGCUUUGUGUGGAGUUUUCCCCAACCUUGUUUGUAAAGGUUCGGUUGCCGCCUUCAAGGGCACCUAUAGUGGAAUCACAGUACCUUGCAUCGUGUGAGGGCGUGAGGAGAAUACAGUGGCCUUAGUGGCUUAGUGGGGAGCAUUGUGCCUCCACACCACUCCAACGGAGACGUACUUCCUGUGAAAGGGAAGGAACUUCGGUAACACAUCCUCGUCUUCAUUGGUUCCACUUGUGGUUAUCUCUAACCUUUACUUUGUGUAUGCUUAUGUUGUUGUCUAUCUCUUACUUGUCUUAGUAGCUCUUGUUGUUAGAUUCAUUACGGUUCACCCCAUUUUUGCUAUUAUUGUGAACCCAUAUGUUGUUUACCCUAACUUGCUAAGAUUAAUUAAAAAGUGGUCGUUGCCUAUUCACCCCCCUCUAGUCAACCAUAUCGAUCCUUUCACGCGUCCACCGUGUGGCUUGGCGUUCCGCUGCUUCUUCGCAGAUAGCUUUGGCGCGGUGGCGACCGGACAAGGUGGGGUAAAUCUGAGGCGGUGGCACGGAGGCGAAGGCGAAAUUGGGGACCGUGGUGGAGUCGCCGACGGCUCCGGCGAGGUGGGUCAGACCAUCAGCGACGAAGGAGGAGGACACGGUGGGUUCAUCGCAGUCGGCCAUGGCGGUUGAGGGUAUCGGGCACAAGACAAACGAGUGACAAGCAGGUGGGCGGGCGAAAGCCGGAUGAAGGUAGUUGGAUAGGUUGCACGCGACCAACCGUUUUACACAUCCUGUAGGUGGAGAUAUAUAUUUGCAUCUCGAGGUGUUUUAUUUUACAUCUCCGGGAGGCGGAGAUGCAAAUUGCAUGUCGAGGCAACACCACCGCCUCACCGAUGACGAGUAGGGACUAAAUCUUAACUGAAAACCUCACCUACUACCAUUGGUAUGUGUGGGGACUUCGACUUACUAGUCGAGAAUCGCCGUGCUCAGUGAUCCCAGAGAUCAAUGCUCACCGAACACAGAUACCGAAUAAUAGAGUCUUACAUCCAAGUACUGAUUAUUACAACACAUGAUCGAAGUGUCAAGUUCACAAGACAGGGCUUAAGGCCAAAUCACUCGGAUACACUAAUAGAGGAAAGCAAAGGGCUAAACGGGUGCCCAUGCCAUCAAGCCUACACCGACAGGCAUUCUGACUUGGAAGCGUCCUAGUUCGCAGGGGCGUCUCCGAAGACAUACUCAUCUCCAAACUCCGGUCCUUCCAUGUCUGGUCAAUAACAUAACCAGACGCAAGCCACUGAGUACUUUGAAUGUCCUCGCAAAUAGCCCACGAUAUAAUCAACGAAAGUGAAGGAUAACAAUAUCAUGCAUCUUUAGUGUAACUCACUUGGGUGGAAUGAUCAUAAAUAUGCAUCAAGUUAAAGAAUUACUUUUGAAGAACAGGUUACAUAUAUCAAUAUAUCCGUCGAGGGCUGAACCAUCUGGGUUCACCCUAUAUGCCAAGUCACCGAACUUGGUCAUAUCAUUGCUAUCAUAGCAAUACCUUUCUCAACAGCACACACACACUUGGUUUAUGCGGAAACAACUAGACGUAGUUUAAGCAGGAUUACCCAACUAUCCUUGACCAUGGACAUGGCUAUUUGAAUAGUUUACACUCUGCACAGGUAGUACGCUGGACCCACGAGAUCCGAGAAACUUCCGUGUCAUCCACGACUUGCGGUAUAUCUCAUACCCGAGGUAAGUACCCGAUCAAUGCCUUUCCCCUGACGAUACUAGACAAAGAGGUCCACUCGAUUGGUACCCAACCCACAUGUUGUACAUCUUACGAGCACCAACUCUGGACUGUACCAACCAUGCGGGGACCAAUAGUGUGACUGGAACUCAUAAAAAUGGCAUAGUCGUCCUACCCGGGACGACCCCAUCACGAGAGUGACCACACAUCACUCCCGCCACUAGUAAUGUGGCUCUUUGCUAGCACCGACCAGAGUAAUUAACAUAGCCCCGUCCCAUAAGGGUUAAGGUGGUCGUACUGGUAAGGUUGGGACGGUCGACACAUCACAAAUCUAUUCCCAUUUCCAAAACCAUACUCACACAAAUACCGGGUGCAUCACUUCAGAAAAAGUGACCACCUAACUCAUCAUCACCCUCGAGCAUUAGUGGCACCCGACGGGGUUUUCAUAAACUCUUGCUUUAUGUCAUUAACAUGCUCAGGAUAAUACUACUUCUAUCUUUACUUGUCAACAUGGUACUAGCAUGACCCUCAAGGGGUAGAGUCAAGCUCAAUGCAGGUGCUCCGGGGGAGCCUUCGGUAUAAUCAUAUCAAAUGAUUACCGGCAUUUAUGAUCAUAUGCAACAGGAAUACUUGCUAUUUUAACAUGCAAAGUAACAUAUGCUCAGUCAUGGUCAAAGGGCUGCUUGCCUUGGUCAGCUAAGUAUCCGGGGUCUUCGAGGUCUUCCGCUCCGAUUCCCUCGUCACACGGAUUUUCUAUCGUCAAUAAAACAGUAAAUAAGAAAUAGCUCACACAGAAACAGACCAAACAGAAGCAAAACUAUUACUGAUAAAUCUAAGGUAUCAUUUAAAAAAUAUUUGCCUUAGUUUUCCUUGAAGGAAUAUUUUUGAAAUCAACCAAACAGAAGCAACACUAUUUCAAUCUAGUCCUUUUUAUUAAUAUAAAAUAGAAUAGUUGUUGGAAAAAUUCUCCCAAACAUAUUAUUAAAUGCUACACAUUUUUAGAAAAAUAAUAGUGGAAGAAUUAUAUUUUUAUACUGGUUAAUUGUUUUUAUAAACAUCUUAGAAACCAGGGUUUAAAAAGAAAAGAAAACACAGGCUAACUCCCGGCCUGGCUCGGCCCAGAGCUGGGCUGGCCAUGGCCAGCCGACGCGCGCGCGCCGUCAGGUUUGAACCUGACGCGCGGGGCCCUGUGGUCAGCGGCCGAGGUCAGCACGGGGGGGGGGGGGGCUGGGCCACCGACAGGNNNNNNNNNNNNNNNNNNGAGGCUAGGCCACCGACAGGUGGGGCAUAGCCUGUCGGGGUCGUCUCCUACCUCUGGCCAAAUAGGAGGAGGACGUCGACGAGGUUGCCAACGCGCUCAUGCCCCAACGAGCACUGGAAUGGGUUCACCUUGUUGCCGCCUACCUGUUGGUGGUCGAAACAACGACGGGGAGGCAUGGGUUCGCCAGCGACGAGGAGGCCGUGGCGGAGGAGCUUCAGGAGGUGGUUGAGGGGGUGGCUAGAGACACAGAAAAGCUCGGGCGAGUUGGGGGAAAGCUUCCUGGGAUCGAGGGGGUUAGUUUGGUGGUUCGAGGGGCGCAAGAUUNNNNNNNNNAGGGAUGCACGAGCCAUCGUGUAGCCGGAGAUCGACCGGAGCUCCGAGGUGGAGGGGCCUCAGUCGAUCUCGAGCACCGGGGCUCUGCUAGUUUGCUGGGGUGGCUAGGGAGGUACUAGUGAUUGUGGUGAAUCUAUCUGAGGGGUGCUGGAGCGAGGGGGGUGGCUAUUUAUAGGCCCGCGACGGUGAGCAGAUUCGAGAGCGCUGAUGACUCACCGUGCUGUGCAUGGGGGUACAGAGAGAGGCUAGGUUCAAAACCACGGUCUCAGGACGUGGUUUUGGACUGCCCGAACCAUCUGAAGUAGAGAGAGAGAGGGGAGUCAAGCAUUCGUGGCCGCGCAACCUUGGCCGGUUGUGGUGCGCGCGGGCACGCGUCGCGCGAGCUCUAGCGCGGGGGAGGAGGGGCCCUGAGGCUUGCUCGACGCAGAGGGGUUGUCGGGGAAGAGGUUGGACAUCUCGGGGGAGGCUGGAACUGGCUUAGGGCGUCGCCCCCACCUCGGUAACUCCCUGUAGCACGCCCAGAGCGCAGUUUUGGCAUGCCACGGCAUGCUGGUGUGCUCUGAGGCACUUUGGACGCGUCUAGCAUGUCCUGGCACUGGCUGGGGGUGUGGCUAGCCGUUUGGUUCUUGUGGGAGCUUCAGCUGGUCAAAGGAGGCUAGAAAUACUGGUGCUGUCAGUCAUGAACUGAGAUCUAAAUUGGGGUUUUUGGCCUUUCUACUUUGAACGAGUGAGGGGCCAGUUGACUGGGGUUAGACACAGGUGCUGGCCACUUAAUCUAUGAGUUUGAAGCAAAGGGGUUUGGUUUAGCUGUGGCUAAGGUGGCUUUUUCCUAUCUGUCAGAAGGUGUUCGACAGUGGCUUAAGUGGGUUGCACCCCACCACUGGUGCUGCAACUUAACAGGUUUGGGUUUGGUGGUAAACCAUGGAGUCUCACGAAUUUUGAGCUCCAAAGGACAAGUUUAGCUUUGUAAACUUGAAAAUACUCCAAUAUGACCAUAUCUGUCCCUUCCAAAGGGAGUGUGGGCAAACUCAGUCCCACAAAUCCCAUUUUUGGUGUGGAACCCUCAUUUGAGGUAUUAGGCACUCGUGCAAAGUUUCAGCAUCAUUGGACAAACUUUGCUAUGUAGAGUUGCUCUAACUUGAUUCUGGAAAGACAGGGUUUUAGGGUUAUUUGGGGUCCUUAUUCACCUUUGAUCAAGGAGAAACUUUAUGUGUAUAGCAAACAAGGCUUAGGGAUAUCACUCGAAUUUUCUUGGAAUUUAUUGAGAAUAUUUCCUUUGGAAAUAUUUGAAAAUGCCAAAACAGACAAAAAUAGCUUUCAUACUUUUAUUCAAAAAAAUAUAAUAUAAAAUGGGGUUUAAAAUCCUAUGUAUGGAAAAUAUAUGUCCUUCUGAUCCUCUCUAAAUUUAAUCAGAUUUUUCUAAAGCAGAAAAGUAUUUUUCCAUGAUGGAAUACCAAUUCUGGCCUUAGAAAUGGACAGGUUAUUUAAUUAGGAAAAUAAUCACAAAAAUAAUUAUUUUUGUGGUUUUGAAAUAUAAAGAUAGGUAAAAAUUAGAUUACCAAAUAUGAGUAGAAGCACUGCUUGCUAUCAAGGACAUGUAGUGUAACUCAAGGUGGUUUUACCUUGGUCAGAAAUAAGCAAGGGUUUUUGGAAAUCAGUAUAAUACCAAAGACUUUAGGGUUUUAAUCCUCACAUGAUCAUGCAUACAAGCAUAACAUGUCAAUCAUGGCACUCACAACAUUAGUUUCGAAAAAGUUUUAACAAGCUCAGAAUUUCACAAUACAAACAAGUGAUAGCAAAAAUAGGGUGUGACAGGCCUAUCCCCCUUAUAAGACUCUCAUCCCCGAGAUUCCUAAGCUAGGUGCUAAAAAGGUCUGGAAACUCAGAUCGGAGAUAGUCUUCACGUUCCCAUGUAGCUUCGGCUUCGGUGUGGUUGCUCCAUUGAACCUUGAAAUACUUGAUAGUGCGCCUCCUGGUGCAUCUUUCUGCUUCGUCCGGUAUGCGAAUGGGCCUCUCGCGGUAGGUGAGAUCAGACUGAAGGUCAAUGGCCUACUGAUCAAUGUCCUUGCAAGGAUCAGAACGACUUGGCGCUUGGAGACACUUCCGAAGUUGUGACACGUGGAAAACAUUGUGCACACCCGAAAGUUCCGUAUGUAACUCCAACUGAUAAGCGACCUCUCCGCGCCUUGCCGUGAUCUUAAAUGGCCCAAUGAACCUUGGAGCGAGUUUCCCCUUAACGCGGAAACACUUGGCUCCCUUGAGAGGUGUGACAUGGAGGUACACUAGGUCUCCGAGAUUGAACUCCACAUCACUGCGGCAAGAGUCCGCAUAACUCUUUUGUCGUGACUUGGCUGCCUUCAGAUUUUCUUGGACUAGUUGCACCUUCUCUUCUGCCCUUGCAAAACUUCUGGUCCAAAAAUCAGCCUGUCUCCGGUUUCAGACCAGUUGAGCGGGGUGCGGCAUUUCCUUCCGUACAGUACUUCGAACGGGGCCAUCUAGAGACUGGACUGGUAGCUGUUGUUGUACGAAAACUCAGCAAACGGCAGACAGUCUUCCCAUUUGGCUCCGUGCGCUAGGACGCAUGCGCGGAGCAUAUCUUCGAGUAUCUGAUUCACCCUUUCCGUCUGUCCUCCCGUUUGCGGGUGGAAGGCGGUGCUAAAACAGAGCUUGGUACCGAGGGCCUCUUGAAGUUUCCUCCAAAACCUUGAGGUGAAUUGCGUGCCUCGGUCAGAUACAAUCUCCUUGGGAACUCCAUGAAGGCUUACUAUGCGCUCGAUAUAGACACUAGCCAACUUGUUCCCGUCAUAAGUGGUGUUGACAGGGAUGAAAUCGGCCACUUUGGUCAAAUGGUCGACAACAACCCAUAUCGAGUUAUGGCCCUUGCUAGACCUUGGUAAGCCGGUAAUAAAAUCCAUCCCUACCUUGUCCCACUUCCAUUCCGGCACCUUGAGAGGUUGUAGCAGCCCUGCUGGUCGCUGAUGCUCAGCCUUAACUUGCUGACACACAAUGCACUUGGCCACAUACGUCGCAAUCUCCCUCUUCAUGUCGUGCCACCAGAAUCUUCCUCAGAGAUCUUGAUGCAUCUUGGUACCACCGGGGUGAAUGUAGUAGGGUGUAUUAUGUGCUUCCUGCAGGAUUAAAUCCUUGAGUUCAGCCUUGUUGGGUAUGCAUAAACGUUUCCCAAACCACACCACUCCUUGAUCAUCCUCCAAGAACCCUGGGGCCUUGCCUUCUUGAAUCUUCUUCUUGAUACCUUCAAUGAUCUUGUGACCCUUCUGGGCUCCCUUGAUGUCAUCUUGUAGCGUUGGUUUGACUUCGAGGUUAUCUAGGAAUCCAGAUUCCACUAGUUCCAACCCGAAGUUCUCCAAUUCUUCAUAUAAGGCGGGCAACCUUUCCUUAAGCAUGACGUUUAAGGUGCUGGUCUUACGGCUCAAGGCAUCAGCCACUACGUUUGCCUUACCGGGGUGAUAUUGAAUGCUGAGGUCGUAGUCCUUGAUUAACUCCAACCAUCUCCGUUGCCUCAUAUUCAAUUCCCUUUGGGUAAAGAUAUACUUUAGACUCUUGUGGUCAGUGUAUAUUUCACACCGCUUCCCCAGAAGGUAAUGUCGCCAUGUCUUCAGAGCAUGCACUACUGCUGCCAAUUCGAGAUCAUGGGUGGCAUAGUUCUCCUCAUGCGGGCGCAGUUGCCGUGACAAGUAUGACACGGCUCUGCCAUCCUACAUUAGAACCCCACCUAGCCCGGUCCUUGAGGCAUCGCAAUACAUCACGAACUCCUUGCUGAUAUCUGGAGUGGCCAAUACCGGGGCGGUGGUUAGCCUCUUCUUCAAUUCUUGGAAGCUUGCUUCACAUUCCGGUGUCCAUUCGAACUUCUUGCCUUUCUUCAAGAGCUGAGUCAUAGGUCGCGCGAUGCGAGAGAAUCCUUCUACGAACUUGCGGUAGUAUCCCGCGAGUCCGAGGAAGCUCGUGACCUCCUUCACGUCGAUUGACGAUUCCCAGUUGGUUACCGUGGUAAUCUUAGAGGGAUCAACUGCCAAUCCACUUGCUGUCAUGGUAUGACCCAGGAAUCCAACUUUGUUCAGCCAAAACUAGCAUUUGCUGAACUUGGCAUACAGUUGGUGCUCUCGAAGCUUCUCCAAUACUAACCUCAAGUGUUGCUCAUGCUCUUCUUCAGACUUGGAAAAGAUUAAUAUGUCAUCAAUGAAUACGACGACAAACUUGUCUAGGUAUUCCAUGAAGACCUUAUUCAUGAGGUACAUGAAGUAAGCUGGGGCAUUAGUCAAUCCAAAGGACAUGACAGUGCAUUCGUACAGACCGUACCGGGUCACAAAUGCCGUCUUUGGUAUGUCUUCGGGUCGAAUCUUUAGUUGGUAAUAUCCAGAUCGGAGGUCGAUCUUGGAGAAUACCUUAACUCCAUUUAGUUGGUCGAACAAGUCUUCGAUCUUGGCGAGUGGGUACUUGUUCUUGAUCGUGACCUCAUUGAGAGAACGGUAAUCGACGCAAAGUCGGAUUGUCCCAUCCUUCUUGGACACGAAGAGAACAGGUGAUCCCCAAGGUGACGCACUCGGACAAAUAAAACCUUUCCUGAGUUGCUCAUCCAGUUGCUUCUUCAAUUUUGCUAGCUCUUCGGAUCGCAUCCUGUAAGGCUUCUUAUAGAUAGGCCUUGACCCGGGCAUGAGUUCGAUGAUGAACUCGAUGUCUCGGUCAGGAGGCAUCCCUGGUAGCUCAUCGGGAAAGACGUCCGGGUAUUCACAGACUAUUGGCACUCAGUCGAGUCCUUCCUUUGACAGGCCGUUGACUCGUGGUACACGAGCGGGUACUGGCUUAGAGACAUACUUGACUUUGACCCCUUGGUCACUUGUCAUGGUAAUGGCCCUGUUGGCACAGUCCAAGAUGCUUUGAUGCUUGGCCAACCAGUCCAUGCCGAGAAUUACUUCUAGGCCUUGCGACUUAAGCACAAUGAGAUCCGCUAAGAAGCUCGUCCCAUUGAUAACUAUCCCGACCUUCCUACACCCUAGGUUGGUCCUCAAAACUGCUCCCGGGGUUUGAAUUGCCAUAUGCCCACGAAGCAGGGUAGGUUCUAGACCACAGUUUUCCGCAAACUUUUGUGUAACAAAAGAAUGUGAAUCACCACAAUCAAACAAUACUGUUGCUGGGGUAGAGUUGAUGAGGAACGUACCCAGAAUGCAGUCCGGGUCUUCCUGUGCCUCUUCUGCAGAAAUGUGAUUAAUCCGCCCCUUGUUGUGAUACUGCUGAUUGCGGGGAGCCUGGUUCCUGCCUGGUGCUCCUUGGCCUGGAUUUGGCGCAUUGGGGCGCGGAGCAUCGGGUUUCUUGUUGGGGCACUGCCUGGAAUAGUGCCCUGUUUGUCCACACCCGAAAUAGGUAACUUGUGCUGGAUGGUUGGUCUUUCCCCCACCGUUGUUUGGUGGAGUGCUUGCUGGCUUGGCGUUGACUUGGUGCUGAGGUUGGUAAUUCUGGCAAAAUGUCGGAUGCUUGUAUUGUUGCUGCUGAUAGUUGGGUCUUGCUGGGGCUGACUGCCAUGGUUGUGGAUUCGAGCUAAUCGUUCCUCCACUACCCAUUAGCUUGCGCUUACGGGUGUCGUCCAUUGCACGACGCUUGUCUUCCAACAUAAGAGCCUUAUUAACCAGGUCACUGAAGGUCCGACAUUUACAAACAACCAGGUGAUACUAGAGUGACUGCUGCAGUCCUUCCAUAAAACGUUCCACCUUGGAAGCCUCCGUGCUGACAUCUUCAGGUGCAUAUCUUGAUAGGAGGUUGAACUUCUGCAAAUACUCGUUGACAGAUCCACUGCCUUGCCUUAAGGCUCGGAAUUCUCGCUUCUUAAUGGUCAUCAUUCCUGGAGGAAUGUGAGCGGCGCGGAAUCCAUCCUUGAACACGGCCCAAGUGAUGACUGGCCUGGCUCGCAUGAUCUGAAAUCCAUCCCACCAGGCUCUGGAUGUGCCUCCGAGACAGUGAGUUGCAUAGAGGACUUUCUCGUUGUCAUCAGUGCACUUGACCAGCGCAAGAAGGUCUUCAAUAGUGCGGAUCCAGUUAUCGGCAUCCAAGGGUUCAGUCGUCUCCGCGAAUAUGGGUGGCGUAGUCCACAUAAACUCAGAGAGAGUUGAGCGACCGUUGCCAUUACCGUUCUGCGGCGGGUGGUUCACCAAGGUUUGAGCCAGCUGCCGGGUAGCGGCAUUGUUGGCUUGACGCUCCUCUCGAAGAGCUUGAAGGAACUGAGCCAUGGUCAAGCUUUCAGGGGGAGGUGGUGGCGGUGGAACAUCGUCUUGCUGCGCGUGGUGAUCUCCAGCUUGAGCUUCCCCUUCGGUUCCCUGCUGCUGUCCUGAAGAGGCAGAGCCGGGGUUGCCGAAGGUGCUGUUGCGACUUGCAUUCACCAUCCUGUCAGGGGAGCAGACAGGUCAAUAUUUGCCAAACUGGUUGUACUCUAAAGGGAUGACGUACUAGUAAAGGGGGGGGGGGGGUCUGGUGUUGUGCUAAUGGUUUGAAAAGAACUACUGCAUUAAAUUUUAAAACAAGUGAUGUAGUCGCUCACAAGCUGCAUAAGGCAGAAUGCGACUUGCAUCCAACAGGUUCACACAACGCCCGGGGUCAUAAAAUCCUGAUACAAGAACUCCUAUGCUCGGUACAUCCUACGCCGGCUCUAUGGGAUCUUCAUCUUCAUCUUCCUCUCUAUCUUCAUCUUCAUUAGUGCUUCCCUUCCUCGAGGGAGUAGGGGAAGGAAGCGGACCAUCUCGACGUCUCUUGGUUAGCGAGGUAACGAAGAGUUUGGUGUACUCUUCUGCGGUUAGGCAACGACUCUGAAGAGGAACGACCUGAAGCGGGGGUAUUCCUCCUCGGAAAGAAAAUCCAGGUGAUAUUACGGGUUCUCCUUCUUUCUUCACCUUGCGGUUCUUCAUCUUCUCCAUACGAAGUAGGUCCUUGACUUGGUGCAGCUCUUGGUGGAUGCUAGUCGACUCCUUGAUCAAAAGAUGUGUCAAGGUGUCUGAGGAGAGACUAAAGUAGGUCUGAAACCUUAAUGGCGUCCCGUCCUCGGAUGAGGGGUUGAGUGUCCAACUCCCGUCUACCUCAUCUUUAACAAAAGGUAGGUGACAAGUAGCUGGCUCGUCCACCAUCUCAGGAAGGAUGUCGCGGAGUUGCACGAGUGCCUCUCAUGCUGCAGUCUCCACGGCCAACAUCAGAUCCUCCAUUUCUGGCCCUUCAAAGAACUAGCUAGUUGGGGAGUCGUUAGCCUUCACUAUCACGUCCACGUGAUACUCCUUGGUGUCGGCGUUGACCCAGUGUUCGUGAUAGAGGAAGAUGGGCGUGCGACGCACUUGACACUUCUCGAGGCUACACUCAAAAGCAGAGGAAAGCCCGUUUCCAGAAGCAUCUCGGGUACGACGGUCAUCUACAAGGUGUAGAGGAGAGGGUUAGAAAUAUGUAGUGGGUGCGGUUCUCGGUCAAUCUAUGUGCACUAAUCGUUUCGGUUAUCGUCCAUGCUACCUAAGGCUGUUGGAAAUAUCCCUAGAGGAAAUAAUAAAUUAGUUAUUAUUAUAUUUCUUAGUUCAUGAUAAUCGUUUAUUAUCCAUAAUAUAAUUGUAUUGAAUGAAGACUUAUAUACAUGUGUGGAUACAUAGACAAAACACUGUCCAUAGCAAGCCUCUAGUUGGCUAGCUAGUUGAUCAAAGAUAGUCAGGGUCUUCUGAUUAUGCACAAGGUGUUGUUGCUUGAUAACUGGAUCACGUCAUUAGGAGAAUCACGUGAUGGACUAGAUCCAAACUAAUAGACGUAGCAUGUUGAUCGUGUCAUUUUGUUGCUACUGUUUUCUGCGUGUCAAGUAUUUGUUCCUAUGACCAUGAGAUCAUAUAACUCACUGACACCGGAGGAAUGCUUUGUGUGUAUCAAACGUCGCAACGUAACUGGGUGUCUAUAAAGAUGCUCUACAGGUAUCUCUGAAGGUGUUCGUUGAGUUAGUAUGGAUCGAGAGUGUGAUUUGUCACUCCGUGUGACGGAGAGGUAUCUCGGGGCCCACUCGGUAAUACAACAUCACACACAAGCCUUGCAAGCAAUGUGACUUAAUGUAAGUUGCGGGAUCUUGUAUUACGGAACGAGUAAAGAGACUUGCCGGUAAACGAUAUUGAAAUAGGUAUACGGAUACUGACGAUCGAAUCUCGGGCAAGUAACAUACCGAAGGACAAAGGGAAUGACAUACGGGAUUAUAUGAAUCCUUGGCACUGAGGUUCAAACGAUAAGAUCUUCAUAGAAUAUGUAGGAUCCAAUAUGGGCAUCCAGGUCCCGCUAUUGGAUAUUGACCGAGGAGUCACUCGGGUCAUGUCUACAUAGUUCUCGAACCCGAAGGGUCUACACACUUAAGGUUCGACAUUGUUUUAUGCGUAUUUGAGUUAUAUGGUUGGUUACCGAAUGUUGUUCGGAGUCCCGGAUGAGAUCACGGACGUCACGAGGGUUUCCGGAAUGGCCCGGAAACGAAGAUUGAUAUAUAGGAUGACCUCAUUUGAUUACCGGAAGGUUUUCGGAGUUACCGGGAAUGUACCGGGAAUGAGGAAUGGGUUCCGGGUGUUCACCGGGGGGGCAACCCACCCCGGGGAAGCCCAUAGGCCUUGGGGGUGGCGCACCAGCCCUUAGUGGGCUGGUGGGACAGCCCAAGAAGGCCCUAUGCGCCAUAGGAAGAUAAUCAAAGAGAAAAAANNNNNNNNNNNNNNNNNNNNNNNNNNNNNNNNNNNNNNNNNNNNNNNNNNNNNNNNNNNNNNNNNNNAUGCGACUAGGAAAGAAAAUCAAAGAGAAAAGAAAAGGAGGAGGUGGGAAGGGAAGGAAGGACUCCCACCCACCAAACCAAGUCCAACUCGGUUUGGGGGGGGAGCCUUCCCCCUUGGACUCGGCCGACCCCCUUGGGGCUCCUUGAGCCCCAAGGCAAGGUCCCCUCCCUCCCACCUAUAUAUAUGGAGGUUUUAGGGCUGAUUUGAGACGACUUUUCCACGGCAGCCCGACCACAUACCUCCACGGUUUUACCUCUAGAUCCCGUUUCUGCGGAGCUCGGGCGGAGCCCUGCUGAGAUUAGAUCACCACCAACCUCCGGAGCGCCGUCAUGCUGCCGGAGAACUCAUCUACCUAUCCGUCUCUCUUGCGGAUCAAGAAGGCCGAGAUCGUCGUCGAGCUGUACGUGUGCUGAACGCGGAGGUGCCGUCCGUUCGGCACUAGAUCGUGGGACUGAUCGCUUGACGGUUCGCGGGGCGGAUCGAGGGACGUGAGGACGUUCCACUACAUCAACCGAGUUCACUAACGCUUCUGCUGUGCGGUCUACAAGGGUACGUAGAUCGAACAUCCCCUCUCGUAGAUGGACAUCACCAUGAUAGGUCUUCGUGCGCGUAGGAAAUUUUUUGUUUCCCAUGCGACGUUCCCCAACAGUGGCAUCAUGAGCUAGGUUCAUGCGUAGAUGUCUUCUCGAGUAGAACACAAAAGUUUUUGUGGGCGGUGAUGUGCGUUUUGCUGCCCUCCUUAGUCUUUUCUUGAUUCCGCGGUAUUGUUGGAUCGAAGCGGCUCGGACCGACAUUACUCGUACGCUUACGAGAGACUGGUUUCAUCGCUACGAGUAACUCCGUUGCUCAAAGAUGACUGGCGGGUGUCAGUUUCUCCAACUUUAGUUGAAUCGGAAUUGACCGAGAAGGUCCUUGGAUGAGGUUAAAUAGCAAUUCAUAUAUCUCCGUUGUGGUGUUUACAUAAGUAAGAUGCGAUCCUACUAGAUACCCAUGGUCACCACGUAAAACAUGCAACAACAAAAUUAGAGGACGUCUAACUUGUUUUUGCAGGGUAUGCUUGUGAUGUGAUAUGGCCAACGAUGUGAUGUGAUAUAUUGGAUGUAUGAGAUGAUCAUGUUGUAAUAGUUAAUAUCGACUUGCACGUCGAUGGUACGGCAACCGGCAGGAGCCAUAGGGUUGUCUUUGAACUAACGUUUGUGCUUGCAGAUGCGUUUACUAUAUUGCUAGGACGUAGCUUUAGUAGUAAUAGCAUGAGUAGCACGACAACCCUGAUGGCGACACGUUGAUGGAGAUCAUGAUGAUGGAGAUCAUGGUGUGCCGCCAGUGACAAGAAGAUCGUGACGGUACUUUGGUGAUGGAGAUCAAGAAGCGCAUGAUGAUGGCCAUAUCAUGUCACUUAUGAAUUGCAUGUGAUGUUAAUCCUUUUUGCACCUUAUCUUGCUUAGAACGACGGUAGCAUUAUGAGGUGAUGUCUCACUAAAAUUUCAAGACAAAAUUGUGUUCUCCCCGAAUGUGCACCGUUGCGACAGUUCUUCGUUUCGAGACACCACGUGAUGAUCGGGUGUGAUAGACUCAACGUUCACAUACAACGGGUGCAAAAUAGUUGCACACGCAGAACACUCGGGUUAAGCUUGACGAGCCUAGCAUGUGCAGACAUGGCCUCGGAACACAUGAGACCGAAAGGUCGAGCAUGAAUCGUAUAGUUGAUAUGAUUAGCAUAGAGAUGCUUACCACUGAAACUACUCUCAACUCACGUGAUGAUCGGACUUUCUCGACUCACGUGAUGAUCGGACUUGAGAUAGUGGAUUUGGAUCAUGUACCACUCAAAUGACUAGAGAGAUGUACUUUUUGAGUGGGAGUUCUUAAGUAAUAUGAUUAAUUGAACUAAUUGUCAUGAACAUAGUCUAAUGGUCUUUGUGAAUUACGAUGUUGCUGGCGCUAUAGCUCUACUGUUUUUAUAUGUUCCUAGAGAAAAUUUAGUUGAAAGUUGAUAGUAGCAAACUUUGAAGAGGAUUGUCCUCGUUGCUGCGCAGAAGGCUUAUGUCCUUAAUGCACCACUUGGUGUGCUGCACCUCGAGCGUCGUCUGUGGAUGCUGUGAACAUCCGACAUACACGUUUCUGAUGACUACACGAUAGUUCAGUGCAAAAUACUUAAUGGCUUAGAAGCAAGGCACCGAAGACGUUUUGAAACGUCACGGAACAUAAGUGAUGUUCUAAAGAGAUGAAAUUGUGAUUUCAUGCUCGUGCCCUUGUUGAGAGUUACGAGACCUCCGACAAGAUUCUUUGUCCACAAAGUAAAGGAGAAAAGCUCAAUCGUUGAGCGUGUGCUCAGAUUGUCUGAGUACGACAAUCACUUGAAUCAAGUGGGAGUUAAUCUUCCAGAUGAGAUAGUGAUGGUUCUCCAAAGUCACUGCCACCAAGCUGUGAGAGCUUCGUGAUGAACUAUAACAUAUCAAGGAUAGAUACAAUGAUCCUUGAGCGGUUCGCGAUGAUUGACACUGCGAAAGUAGAAAUCAAGAAGGAGCAUCAAUAGUUGAUGGUUUGUAAAACCAGUAAGUUUCAAGAAAGGCAAGGGCUAGAAGGGAUACUUCGUGAAACGGGAAAACAGUUGCUGCACUAAUGAAGAGACCCAAGGUUAAACCCAAACCCGAGACUAAGUGCUUCUGUAAUGAGGGGAACAGUCACUGAGGCGGAGCAACUCUAGAUACUUGGUAGAUAAGAAGGCUGGCAAAAGUCGAAAGAAGUAUAUUUGAUAUACAUGAUGUUGAUGUGUACUUUACUAGUACUCCUAGUAGCAUGAGGGUAUUGGAUACCGGUUCGGUUGCUAAGUGAUUAGUAACACGAAAUGAAAGCUACGGCAUAAACGGAGACUAGCUAAAGGCGAGGUGACGAUACGUGUUGGAAGUGUUUCCAAGGUUGAUAUGAUCAAACGUCGCACGCUCCCUCUACCAUCGGGAUUGGUGUUAAACCUAAAUAAUUGUUAUUUGGUGCUUGCGUUAAGCAUGAACAUGAUUGGAUCGUGUUUAUUGCAAUACGAUUCUUCAUUUAAAGAGAAUAAUGGUUACUCUAUUUUCUUGAAUAAUCACCUUCAAUGGUUUAUUGAAUCUCGAUCGUAGUGUUACACAUGUUCAUGAUAUUGGUGCCAAAAGAUACGAGGUAAUGAUGGUAGUACCACUUACUUGUGGCACUGCCGCUUGAGUCAUGUUGGUAUAAAUUGCAUGAAGAGGCUCCAUGCUGAUGGAUCUUUAUACUCACUUGAUUUUGAAUCACUAGUGACAUGCAAAUCGUACCACAUGAGCAAGGCCUUGUUUUCAUUGAGAUGAAAUAAGAUAGUAACUUGUUGGAAGUGAUACAUUUUGAUGUAUGCAGUCCAAUGGGUGCUGAGGCACGCAGUGGAUAUCAUUAUGUUCUUACUUCAAUGACGAUUUGAGUAGAUACUAGAGUAUUUGCUUAAUGAAUCACAAGUCUGAAAUGUUGAAAAGUUCAAUUCUGUUUCGGAGUGAAGUUCGUCGUAACAAGAGGAUAAACUGUCUACGAUAUGAUCAUAGAAAUGAAUAUCUGAGUUACGAGUUUUGGUACGCAGUUAAGACAAUGUGGAAAUUGUUUCGCAGUUCAUGCUACCUAGAACAUCAUAGUGUGAUGAUGUGUGUGAACGUCAUAGCCACACACUAUUUGGUAUGGUGCAUGCUAUGAUGUCUCUUAUCGAAUUACCACUAUCGUUUAUGGGUUAAGCAUUAGAGACAACCGCAUUCACUUUAAAUAGGGCACCACGUAUUUCCGUUGAGAUGACACAAUAUAGACUGAGGUUUAGAGAAAUCUAAACUGUCGUUUCUUGAAAGUUUGGGGUUUGGACACUUAUGUGAAAAAGUUUCAGUCUGAUAAGCUCGAACCCAAAACGGAUAAAUGCAUCUUCAUAGGAUAUCCAAAAUAGUUGGGUACAUCUCCUAUCUCAGAUCCGAAAGGAAAGUGUUUGUUUAUAAAAACGGAUCCUUUCUCGAGGAAAGGUUUCUUUCGAAAGAAUUGAGUGGGAGGGUGGUAGAACUUGAUGAGGUUAUUGAACCAUCACUUCGACCAGUGUGUAGCAGGGCGCAGGAAGUUAUUCCUGUGGCGCCUACACCAAUUGAAGUGAAAACUGAUGAUGGUGAUCAUCGAGCAUCGGAUCAAGUUACUACAAGCCUCGUAGGUUGACAAGGUCGCGUACUACUACAGAGUGGUACGGUAACCCUGUCUUGGAGGUCAUGUUGUUGAGCAACAGUGAACCUACGAGUUAUGGAGAAAGCAAUGGUGGCCCCAGAUUCCGACAAAUGGCUGGAAGCCAUGAAAUCCGAGAGAGGAUCCAUGUAUGAAAACAAAGUGUAGACUUUGGAAGAACUACUUGAUGGUCAUAGGACUAUUGAGUAAAGAUGGAUCUUUAAAAGGAAGACAGACGAUGAUAGUGAUACGUCACUAUUAAGAAAAGCUCGACUUGUCGCAAAGAUGUUUCUGACAAGAUCAAACAGUUGACUAUGAUGAGACUUCCUCACUCGUAGCGAUGCUAAAAGUCUGUUAGAAUUAUGUUAGUAGUUGCUGCAUUAUUUAUGAAAUAUUGCAUGUAGGAUGUCAAAACAUUGUUUCCUCGACGGUUUCCUUGAGCAAACAUUGUAUGAGAUACAACCAUAAGGUUUUGUCGAUCCUAAAGAUACUAGCAAGUAUGCAAGCUCCAACAAUCCUUAAAUGGACUGGUGCAAGCAUCUCGGAGUUGGAAUAUACACUUUGAUGAGAUGAUCAUGGAUUUUGGGUUUGUACAAGGUUUAUGAGAAACUUGUAUUUCCAAAGAAGUGAGUGGGAGCACUAUAGAAUUUCUGAUAAGUAUAUGUAGUUGACAUAUUGUGGAUCAGAAGUAAUGUAGAAUUUCUGUAAAGCAUACAAGGUUGUUUGAAAGGAGUUUUCAAAGGAAUACCUGGAUUGAGCUACUUGAACGUUGAGCAUCAAAAAUCUAUGGAGAUAGAUCAAAAGCGCUUAAUGGAAGUUUCAACAAGAUGCAUGCCUUGACAAGUUUUGAAGGAGCUCAAAAUAGAUCAGCAAAGAAGGAGUUCUUGGUUGCGUUGUAAGGUGUGAAUUUGAGUAAGACUCAAAACCCGACCACAGCAGAAUAAAGAAAAUAGACAAAGGUCGUCUUCUAUGCCUUAGCCGUAGACUCUAAAGUAUGCCAUGCUGAGUACCGCACCUGAUGUGUGCCUUGCAGCAAGUCUGUUGAGAGGUACAGAGAGUGAUCGAUGAUUGAAUCACUAGCAGCGGUCAAAAUUUAUCCUUAGUAACUGAUGGACUAAGGAAUUUUUCUCGAUUAUGGAGGUGGUUAAAGAGUUCGUCGUAAAGGGUUACGUCGAUGUAAGCUUUGACACUAAUCCGAAUAACUAUGAGUAGUGAAACGGAUUCGUAUAGUAGAGUAGAUAUUUGGAGUAUUUCCGAAUAGCACAUAGUAGCAGCAUCUAUAAGAUGACAUGAAGAUUUGUAAAAGAACACAUGGAUCUGAAAAUUUCAGAACCGUUGACUAAAACCUCUCUCAUAAGCAAGACGUGAUUAGACCCCAUAACUAUAUGGGUGUUGGAUUCGUUGGAAUCACAUGGUGAUGUGAACUAGAUUAUUGACUCUAGUGCAAGUGGGAGACUGUUGGAAAUAUGCCCUAGAGGCAAUAAUAAAUUCGUUAUUAUUAUAUUUCUUAGUUCAUGAUAAUCGUUUAUUAUCCAUGCUAUAAUUGUAUUGAAUGUAGACUUAUAUACAUGUGUGAAUACAUAGACAAAACACUGUCCCUAGCAAGCCUGUAGUUGGCUAGUGAGUUGAUCAAAGAUAGUCAGGGUCUUCUGAUUAUGAACAAGGUGUUGUUGCUUGAUAACUGGAUCACGUCAUUAGGAGAAUCAGUGAUGGACUAGUUCCAAACUAAUAGACGUAGCAUGUUGAUCGUCUCAUUUUGUUGCUACUGUUUUCUGCGUGUCAAGUAUUUGUUCCUAUGACCAUGAGAUCAUAUAACUCACUGACACCGGAGGAAUGCUUUGUGUGUAUCAAACGUCGCAACGUAACUAGGUGACUGUAAAGAUGCUCUACAGGUAUCUCCGAAGGUGUUCGUUCAGUUAGUAUGGAUCGAGACUGGGAUUUGUCACUUCGUGUGACGGAGAGGUAUCUCGGGGCCCACUCGGUAAUACAACAUCACACACAAGCCUUGCAAGCAAUGUGACUUAAUGUAAGUUGCGGGAUCUUGUAUUACGGAACGAGUAAAGAGACUUGCCGGUAAACGAGAUUGAAAUAGGUAUACGGAUACUGACGAUCGAAUCUCGGGCAAGUAACAUACCGAAGGACAAAGGGAAUGACAUACGGGAUUAUAUGAAUCCUUGGCACUGAGGUUCAAACGAUAAGAUCUUCGUAGAAUAUGUAGGAUCCAAUAUGGGCAUCCAGGUCCCGCUAUUGGAUAUUGACCGAGGAGUCACUCGGGUUAUGUUUACAUAGUUCUCGAACCCGCAGGGUCUGCACACUUAAGGUUCGACGUUGUUUUAUGCGUAUUUGAGUUAUAUGGUUGGUUACCGAAUGUUGUUCGGAGUCCCGGAUGAGAUCACGGACGUCACGAGGGUUUCCGGAAUGCUCCAGAAAUGAAGAUUGAUAUAUAGGAUGACCUCAUUUGAUUACAGGAAGGUUUUCGGAGUUACCGGGAAUGUACGGGGAAUGACGAAUGGGUUCCGGGUGUUCACCGGGGGGGGGGGGGGCAACCCACCCCGGGGAAGCCCAUAGGCCUUGGGGGUGGCGCACCAACCCUUAGUGGGCUGGUGGGACAGCCCAAGAAGGCCCUAUGCGCCAUUGGAAGAAAAUCAAAGAGAAAAAAAAGGAGGAGGUGGGAAAGGGAAGAAGGACUCCACCUUCCAAACCAAGUUGGAUUCGGUUUGGAAGGGGAGACCUUCCCCCCUUGGCUCGGCCGACCCCCUUGGGGCCUCUUGAGCCCCAAGGCAAGGCUCCCCCUCUUCCCCCUAUAUAUACAGAUGUUUUAGGGCUGAUUUGAGACGACUUUGCCACGGCAGCCCGACCACAUACCUCCACGGUUUUACCUCUAGAUCGUGUUUCUGCGGAGCUCGGGCAGAGCCCUGCUGAGAUUAGAUCACCACCAACCUCCGGAGCGCCGUCACGCUGCAGGAAAACUCAUCUACCUCUCCGUCUCUCUUGCUGGAUCAAGAAGGCUGAGAUCAUCGUCGAGCUGUACGUGUGCUGAACGCGGAGGUGCCGUCCGUUCGGCACUAGAUCGUGGGACUGAUCGCGGGACGGUUCGCGGGGCGGAUCGAGGGACGUGAGGAUGUUCCAGUACAUCAACCGCGUUCACUAACGCUUCUGCUGUGCGGUCUACAAGGGUAUGUAGAUCGAACAUCCUUUCUCGUAGAUGGACAUCACCAUGAUAGGUCUUCGUGUGCGUAGGAAAAUUUUUGUUUCCCAUGCAACGUUCCCCAACAAAGGCUUCCUAUAGUCAGGAUGGCUCUGAUACCAGCUCUAUGGGGACUGCGACUUACUAGUCGAGAAUCACCGUGCUCAGUGAUCCCAGAGAUCAAUGCUCACCGAACAUAGAUACGUACCGAAUAAUAGAGUCUUACAUCCAAGUACCGAUUAUUACAACACAUGACCGAAAGGUCAGGUUCACAAGACAGGGCUUAAGUCCAAAUCACUCGGAUACACUAAUAGCGGAAAGCAAAGGGCUAAACGGGUGCCCAUGGCAUCAAGCCUACACCGACAGACAUUCUGACUUGGAAGCGUCAUAGUUCGAGGGGAGUCUUCGGAGACAUACUCAUCUCCAAACUCCGGUCCUUCCAUGUCUGGUCAAUAACAUAACCAGUGGCAAGCCACUGAGUACUUUGAAUGUACUCGCAAACAGCCCAUGAUAUAAUCAACGAAAGUGAAGGAUAACAAUAUCAUGCAUCUUUAGUGUAACUCAUUUGGGUGGAACGAUCAUGAAUAUGCAUCAAGUUAAAGAAUUACUUUUCAAGAAUAGGUUACAUAUAUCAAUAUAUCUGUCAAGGGCUGAACCAUCCGGGUUCACCCUAUAUGCCAAGUCACCGAACUUGGUCAUAUCAUUGCUAUCAUAGCACUACCUUUCUCAACACCACACACACAAACACUUGGUUUAGGCGGAAACAACUGGACGUAGUUUAAGAAGGAUUACCCAACUGUCCUUGACCGUGGACACGGCUAUUCGAAUAGUUUACACUCUACACAGGUAGUACGCUGGACCCACGAGAUCCGGGAAACUUCUGUGUCAUCCACGACUCGCGGUAUAUCACAUACCCGAGGUAAGUACCCGAUCAAUGCCUUUCCCCUGACGAUACUAGACAAAGAGGUCCACUCGAUUGGUACCCAGCCCACAUGUUGUACGUCUUACGAGCACCAACUCUGGACUGGACCAACCAUGCGGGGACCAACGGUGUGACUCGAAGUCAUAAAAUUGGCAUAGUCGUCCUACCCGACACAACCCCAUCACGGGAGUGACCACACAUCACUCCCGCCACUAGUAAUUUGGCUCUUUGCUAGCACCGACCAGAGUAAUUAACAUAGCCCCUUCCCAUAAGGGGUAACGUGGUCAUACUUUUAAGGUUGGGACGGUCGACACAUCAUAAAUCUAUUCCCAUUUCAGAAACCAUACUCACACAAAUACCGGGUGCAUCACUUCACCAAAAGUGACCACCUAACUCAUCAUCACCCUCGGGCAUUAGUGGCACCCGACGGGGUUUUCAUAAACACUUGCUUUAUGUCAUUAACAUGCUCAGGAUAAUACUACUUCUAUCUUUACUUGUCAACAUGGUACUAGCAUGACCCUCAAGGGGUAGAGUCACACGGAUUUUCUAUCGUCGAUAAAACAGUAAAUAAGAAAUAGCUCACACAGAAACAGACCACAAAAUCAUUUUAAAAAUGUUCUUUAUUACUGAUAAAUCUAAGGUAUCAUUUAAAAAUAUUUGCCUUAGUUUUCCUUGAAGGAAUAUUUUUGAAAUCAACCAAACAGAAGCAAAACUAUUUCAAUCUAGUCCUUUUUAUUAAUAUAAAAUAGAAUAGUUGUUGGAAAAAUUCUUCCAAACAUAUUAUUAAAUACUACACUUUUUUAGAAAAAUAAUAGUGGAAGAAUUAUAUUUUUAUACUGGUUAAAUGUUUUUAUAAAAUUUUUAGAAACCAGGGUUUAAAAAAAAAGAAAAAUGGGCUAACUCCCGGCUUGGCUCGGCCUAGAGCUGGGCUGGCCCAUGGCCAGCCGACAGCCUGCCCAGGCGCGCGCGCCGUGAGGUUUGAACCUGACGCACGGGGCCAUGUGGUCAGCGGCCGAGGUCAGCGCGGGGGAGGAGGUUGGGCCACCGACAGGUGGGGCACACCUGUCGGGGUCAUCUCCUACCUCUGGCUAGAGAGGAGGAGGAGGACGUCGACGAGGUUGUCCACGCGCUCAUGCCCCAACGAGCACUGGAAUGGGUUCGCCUUGUUGUCGCCUACCUGCUGGUGGUCGAAACAACGACGGGGAGGCAGGGGUUCGCCGGCGACGAGGAGGCCGUGGCGGAGGAGCUUCGGGAGAUGGCCGAGUGGGUGGCUAGAUACACGAAAAAGCUCGGGCGAGUUGGGGGAAAGCUUCCUGGGAUCGAGGUGGUUAGUUUGGUGGUUCGAGGGGCGCAAGAGCUGUCGUGUAGCCGGAGAUCAACCGGAGCUCCGAGGCGGAGGGGCCUCGGUCGAUCUCGAGCACCGGGGCUCUGCUGGUUUGCUGGGGUGGCUAGGGAGGUACUAGUGAUCGUGGUGAAGCUAUCUGAGGGGUGCUGGAGCGAGGGGGAGGGCUAUUUAUAGGCCCGCGACGGUGAGCAGAUUCGGGAGUACCGGUGACUCACCGUGGCGCGCAUGGGGGUGCAGAGAGAGGUUGGGGUCAAAACCAUGGUCUCAGGACGUGGUUUUGGACUGCCCGAACCAUCUGCAACAGAGAGAGAGAGAGAGAGAGAGAGAGAGAGAGAGAGAGAGAGAGAGAGAGAGGAGUCGAGCAUUCGUGGCCGCGCAACCUUGGUCGGUUCUGGUGCGCGCAGGCACGCGUCGCGCGAGCUCUAGCACGGGAGGAGGGGCCCUGAGGUUUUCUCGACGCAGAGGGGUUGUCGGGGAAGAGGUUGGACAUCUCGGGGGAGGCUGGAACUGGCCGAGGGCGUCGCCCCCACCUCGGUGACUCCCUGUAGCGCGCCCAGAGGGCAUGCUAACUGGUGCGCCCUGAGGCACUUUGGACGCGUCUAGCGUGUCCUGGCACUGGCUGGGGGUGUGGCUAGCCGUUUGGUUCUUGUGGGAGCUCCAGCUGGUCAAAGGGGGCAAGACAUACUGGUGCUGUCAGUCAUGAACUGAGAUCUAAAUUGGUAUUUUUGGCCUUUCUACUUUGAACCAGUGAGGGGCCAAUUGACUGGGGUUAGACACAGGUGCUGGACACUUAAUCUGUGAGUUUGAAGCAAAGGGGUUUGGUUUAGCUGUGGCUAAGGUGGCUUUUUCAUAUCUGUCAGAAUGUGUUCGACAGUGGCUUAAGGGGGUUGCACCCCACCACUGGUGCUGCAACUUAACAGGUUUGGGUUUGGUGGUAAACUAUGGAGUCUCACCAAUUUUGAGCUCCAAAGGACAAGUUUAAGUUUGCAAACUUGAAAAUACUCCAGUAUGACCAUAUCGGUCCCUUCGAAAGGGAGUGUGGUCAAACUAAGUCCCACAAAUCCCAUUUUUGAUGUGGAACCCUCAUUUGAGGUAUUCAGUAGCAGUGGGACAAACUCGUAGGCAAUGGAUCGGUGAUUUGUUGGAUGAGAUUCAUCAUGCAAUAGUUAUAACACAGAGAGAUAUGUGGCUAGCUCCCGAUCGUCAAUGUGAUGUAGGCAUGCAUUCCGUGUGUAGUCAUACGUGCUUAGGGAAAAGAACUUGCAUGACAUCUAUUGUCCAUCCCUCCCGUGGCAGCGGGGUCCAAAUGGAUACUACGGGAUAUUAAGGUUCUCCUUUUAAUAAAGAACCGGACUAACGCAUUAGCACUUGGUGAACACAUGAACUCCUCAAACUAUGGUCAUCAUCGGGAGUGGUUCCGGUUAUUGUCACUCCGGGGUUGCCGGAUCAUAACACAUAGUAGGUAACUACAACUUGCAAGAUCGGAUCUAAAACACACAUAUAUUAGAGACAACAUAAUAAGUUCAGAUCUGAAAUCAUGGCACUCGGGCCCUAGUGACAAGCAUUAAGCAUGGCAAAGUAGUAGCAACAUCAAUCUCAGAACAUAGUGGAUACUAGGGAUCAAUCCCCGUCAAAACUAACUCAAUUACAUGAUAGAUCUCAUCCUACUCAUCACCGCCCAGCGAGCCUACGAAUAGAUUACUCACGAACGAUGAAGAGGAGGCCGCGGCUAUAGGGCUUGUGGCCCACUGGCCCGUCCCCUCGGGUGGAUAUUUGCCCAGGUAUUUUUCAUAUUUCCCAGAAAUAUUCUCUGUAAAUUUUCAGGAUGUUCCGAGAACUUUCAUUUCUGCACAAAAACAACACCAUGGCAAUUCUGCUGAAAACAGCGUCAGUCCGGGUUAGUUCCAUUCAAAUCAUGCAAAUUAGAGUCCAAAACAAGGGCAAAAGAGUUUGGAAAAGUAGAUACAAUGGAGACGUAUCAAUGUCCUACUAGAAGUAGGAUUGGAGGAGGACUCCUAUAUCAACUCCCCCAAGCUUAAAACCUUGCUUGUCUUCAAGCAACUCAGUUGACAAACUGAAAGAGAAAGAAAAACUUUGACAAACUCUGUUUGAUCUUGUUGUUGCAACUAUGUCUAACUCAUAACCAGAAUUUCAGCAAGAUCACAAGUUAACCACAUAAGCAACUGACACAGAGGUCUCACGGUAAACUAAUAUCAAUGGCAUAAUCAGCUAGCGAGCAAAUAAUAAUGAGUUUCAGAUACCAACAAUUCAAUCAAAACAAGCAUGAAGCAAUAUGAAUAGGUGGUAUCUCGCUAGCUCUUUCUGAGACCGCAAAACAUAAAUGCACAGCACUUUCAAAGAUCAAGGGCUGACUAAACAUUGUAAUUCAUAGCAACGAAGAUCUAGUCAUAGUCAUACUCAAUAUCAAUCAAAAGCAAAGCAUAAAAAUGACAGAGGUGCUCUCUAAUUGGUGCUUAUAUAAGAAGAGGAUGACUCAACAGGAAAAUAAAUAGACAGGGCCUUCGCAGAGGGAAGCAUUGAUUUGCAGAGGUGCCAGAGCUCAAGCUUUGAAAACAGAGAUAAUAAUUUUGGGUGGCAUGCUGUCAUUGUCAACGCAAUGACCAAGAGUUCUCAAUAUCUUCCAUGCUACUCAUGCUAUAGGCGGUUCCCAAACAGAAAAGUAAAGUUUUAACUCCCCCACCACCAAUCAAUCACACUCCACGGCUAGCCGAAUCCUAGGAUACCGUCCAUACUAACAUCAAUACGGGGGGAGUCUUGUUUUACAGUUAUGUUUUCGAUUUAAGCGUGGAACUGGGCAUUCCAAUUACCGGCCCCUUUCUUGUGAAUGACAGUGAAUAAACACAUGUCGAGGAUAACACGCCUAACAUGGAAGAUACCAAUAGCCCCCAGUCACCACAUGAGCGGUUUGGGCAAGCAAAAUUUACUUGGAACGGCAGGUAGAUACCGCAAAUAGGUAGGUACGGUGGACUCUCCUGGAAAAACUUUUGGGUUUAUGGAAGUGAAUGCAUAAGCAGUAUUCCGCUUAGUACAAGUGAAGGCUAGCAAAAAGACUGGGAAGCAACCAACUAGAGAGCGACAACAGUCAUCAAGAUUCAAUGAGUUUGACUAACAUUGAGUGCAAGCAUGAGCAUGAUAUAAAUCACCAGGAACACGAACAUCAUAGAGGCUAUAUUGAUUUUGUUUCAACUACAUGUAUGAACAUGCGCCAAGUCAAGCCACUAGAAUCAUUCAAAGGAGAAUACCAUCCUAUCAUACUACAUCAUAGUCAUCUCAAAAUCUAUGUUGGCAUUCAAGACAAACCAUUAUAAGCUCCUAGCUAAUUAAGCAUGGCAUCAGAAACUAUGAUCUCUAAGUUGUCAUUGCAAACAUGGUUCUCUCUCAACAAAGCUGAAUCUGGGACAACAAGCUAGUCAUAUUUACAAAAACAAAAUAGAUAGAGUUCAUACCAGCUUUUCCAGUCUCAGUCACUUCAUCAUAUAUCAUCAUUAUUGCCUUUCACUUGCACGAUCGAACGAUGUGAACAAUAAUAAGAGUGCUCGUGCAUUGGACUAAGCUGAAUCUGCAAGCAAACACAAAGGAGAAGACAAAGUAAUAUGGCUCUUUAAAAAAUGAACAGGUAUUGCAUGCGAGAGCCACUAAACAUUGUUACCAUGGUCUUCUACCUCGACUCAAAGAAAAAGAAAACUAUUUACACGGGAAAGCUCCCAACAAGCAAAAGAAGAAAGGAAAAUCUUUUGGGGUUUUCUCAAAAGGACACAAAACAAGAAAACAAGAAAACGAAAAUAAACUAGCAUGGAUAAUACAGUGGCAAAGUGUAAACACCGACUAACAAAGUGAAUGCAUAAGCAUGAAUGUAAAGUUGGUGCAAACAUGUACUCCCCCAAGCUUAGGCUUUUGGCCUAGCUUGGUCUACUCCCAAGGCUGGUCCGGGUGAUACCCAAAAUCAUAAUGUGGGUUGUACGGGAGCGCUGCAGCCACUGCAUGAAUAGCUGCUUCGCGGAGACGAGAAGUCUCAGCCUCCCUCUCAUACUCCUCUACUUCUCCAAUGGUUAUGUAAUAUCUUCGUUUAACCUGAAAGUCAAAGAAGGCAGGAGCAGGAAGCGUAAUAUGAAAAGCACGCUGUCGGUUAAAUACUAACCGGUAAACGAGGGAUUCCUCAUCCCUCUUGAGAAAUUGAUAGCGUGUCAGAGAGACACGAUCAAGGUAGGCUGUACGGAGAGGGGGAUCUCCUGAACGGAUGGGUACUCCAAGAAAUUUGCUAAGCGGGUAGCAUAAAUCCCACCAAAGAAAUCCCCAUCAAUGGCAUUAUUAUUCAGCCUCCUUGCUAUUAUAGCUCCCAUGUUGAAGCUCAUGUCACCUGUUACUGCGCUCUUAAGGAUACUAAGGUCAGAUGCGCAUAGGUGACAAUGUUCAACCUUGCCGUUAAUGCAUCUACCUAUGAAGAGGGCAAAGUAGUGCAAGGCAGGGAAAUGAAUGCUUCCUAUGGUAGCUUGCGUGAUUUCUCUAGUUUCUCCAACAGUUAUACUAGAGACAAAAUCUCUAACCAAAGACUUAGCAGGAUCAUUAAGACUACCCCCAUCGGGUAUCUUGCAAAUCCUAUUGAAAUCCUCCAAAUCCAUGGUGUAGGAUUUAUCAUACAGAUCAAACAGUAUUGAUGAGUCACGGCCAAUUGAAAAUUUAAAUCUACGCACGAAAGAGGCAGUGAGCAUAGCAUACUGGUCACAUUUAUUUGAGAGGAAUUCUUCUAACCCGGCAUUGCGGACAAGUGUAUCAAACUCAUCCUUGAAGCCUGCUUCGAUCAUGAACUCAUCGGAAGGCAUUCACAUGGCUGUACCGGUGCGUCCCUUAGUUGAUAAGGAUGGGGCUCCCGAAUAGAAAGACGGGGACCCUUCUUACUUGAGGAACCACCAUGAAACUUCCUCCUGAACAUAAUUUAUUUUUGCUGAAAAUUUUGAAGUUCAAGAGAAAAGUGAAUAAAGACCAACCACACCUUGUAGCAACUACUCCUACUAGUGCCUAGAGACCAUACCACGCGUUAAAACUACUUAGGACCAGCUAAAAUCAACAUUUCAAGCUCAAAAACAGGGUCACCAAGGUAGCAAGAAUACGCGAAGGAUAAAGCACUAGAGUAGAAACUAAUUGGACCAAUGGAGGAGUCACUUACCAAGGAGUAAUUUCCCCAAAACGGUUCGGAGAAUGGUGCUUUGAGCAAGGAGAUCGAAAAUCACAGCCAAAUGAGCAAGAACACGGGUUUGAGCUGUGAAAUGAUUUUUUCUGGAGGUAGAAGAAGAGGAUGGGAGCUGGAAUGAGUGGAGGGGGUCCAUGUGGGCCCCACAAGCUUGGUAGCCGCGGCCAGGGGGGAGGCCGCGGCUACAGGGCUUGUGGCCCACUGGUGUGGCCCCUAGGCCAGCUCUCAGUCCCAGUAUUUUUCAAAAAAUCCAAAAAAAUCAUAUUUGAUUUUCAGGACCAUCGGAGAACUUUUAUUUUCGGGGUACUUUUCUCCGGGACGCUAAAACAGAAAAUAGGAAAAACUAAACUAAAUCCAUCAUUUUUCUUCUAAGCAACAGAAAGUGAAAGCUUAAAACAGAGGUAUGUGACUCUUUGAUUCAUCCAUUUCAUGGUCAUCGAAAGAAAUCCAUCAAUGGGGUUGAUCAAAUCCCCUCGACAAAACCUUUUCGAAUCUCAAAAGGAAACGGAGAAUUGUCAAAUAGCCACUAAGUCACCUCAAUGGGGACAUGAAUCUCCAUAACAAGCAAAUCAUACUUCAUCUUAACACGAGGAAUAGGGCAUUCAAAGCUCCCAAUAAGAAUUGAUGAAGUUUUUUCAAUAGCAUUGAUGCAAUGUACUUGAUAUAGUUUCUUUGGAAAGUGCAUUGUAUGCUCAUUACCGUUGACAUGGAAGGUGACAUUGCCUUUGCUGCAAUCUAUAACAUCCCUUGCGGUGUUUAAGAAUGGUCUUCCAAGAAUGAUCGACAUGGCAUCAUCCUCAGGAAUAUCCAGGAUAACAAAGUCCGUUAAGAUAGUAACGUUAGCAACCACAACAGGCACAUCCUCGCAAAUGCCGACAGGGAAAGCAAUUGAUUUGUCGGCCAUUUGCAGAGAAAUUUCAGUGGGUGUCAACUUAUCCAGUUCAAGUCUACGAUAAAGAGAGAGAGGCAUAACACUAACACCGUCUCCAAGGUCACAUAAGGCAGUUCUUACGUAGUUUCCUUUAAUGGAGCAAGGUAUAGUGGGCACUCCGGGAUCACCAAGUUUCUUAGGAGUUCCACCUUUGAAAGUGUAAUUGGCGAGCAUGGUGGAGAUCUCAAGAUCUGGUAUCUUCCGUUUAUUAGUCACGAUAUCUUUCAUGUACUUGGCAUAUGGAGACAUUUUGAGCAUAUCAAUUAACUGCAUCUGCAGAAAGACGGGUCUCAACAUUUCAAUAAAGUGCUCAAAAUCCUCAUCAUCCUUUUAUUGGAUGGCUUAGGAGGAAAGGGCAUAGGUCUCUGAACCCAUGGCUCCCUUUCUUUACCAUGCUUCCUAGCAGUGAAAUCAUUCUUAUCGUAUCUCUUAGGUUGUGGGUUAUCAGGAUUAACUGUAGGUUCAAUCUCCACAUCCUUAUCAUUGCUAGGUUGAGCUUUAUUAUGAACAUCGUUGUCCAUAUUGUCACCAGGUCCAUGUUCAUCACCAGAUUGUGUUUCUGCAUCAGACGCGAAAUAUCAUUUGGUCCUUCAGGUGUGACAGUAUUUGGUGAACUGGCAUGUUGGUUUCUAUCCUCCUUCUUCUUCUUCUUAGGAUGACUGGGUGUAUCAGCAUUAAUUCCUUGAGAAUCUUGAUCAAUUCUCUUAGGAUGGCCUUCAACAUACAAAGGUUCCUGAGUCAUUUAGCCUCCUCUACUAAUGACUCUGACAGAGUUGUCAUUUAAUUCAUUGAGCAAGUCAUUCUGAGCUUUAAGUACUUGUUCUACCUGAGUAGUAAUCAUAGAGGAAUGUUUACUCAGAAGCUUCAGAUCAUUGACAUUUCUGUCUACACAAGCACUUAAAUGACUAAGCAUACGAGUACUUUGUUCCAAUUGUCUGCUAACAUAAUCAUUGAAACUCUUUUGUUUGGCAACAAAGUUGUCAAAUUCAUCAAAGCAUAGGCUAGCAGGUUUGUCAAAAGGAAUAUCACUCUCAUUGAAUCUACGCAGAGAAUUCACCUCUACUACUUGUAUCGGGUUAUCGAGACCAUGGAUCUCUUUGAUAGGCGGUAGAUUUUUGACUUCUUCAAAUCUAAUGCCUUUCUCUUGCAUAGAUUUCUUGGCUUCUUGCAUAUCUUCGGGACUGAGGAAUAGAAUACCUCUUUUCUUAGGAGUUGGCUUAGGAGGUGGUUCGGGAAUAGUCCAAGCAUUAUCGUUGAUCAAGAUGUUAUUCAGUACAAUUUCAGCUUGUUCUAUAGUUCGUUCCCUAAAAACACAACCGGCACAACUAUCUUUGUGGUCUCUAGAAGCAUCGGUAAGUCCAUUAUAGAAGAUAUCAAGUAUCUCGUUCUUCUUAAGAGGGUGAUCAGGCAAAGCAUUCUGUAGCUGGAUGAGCCUCCCCCAAGCUUGUGGGAGACUCUCUUCUUUGAGUUGAGCAAAGUUGUAUAUUUCCUGCAAGACAGCUUGCUUCUUAUGGGCAGGGAAAUAUUUCUCACAGAAGUAAUAGACCAUAUCCUGGGGACUACUCACACAUCCAGGAGCAAGAGAAGUGAACCAGGCUUUAGCGUCAUCCUUUAGAGAGAAAGGAAACAUCUUAAGGAUAUUGUAGUAGCGGAUCUUCUCCUCACUAGUGAAAAGGGUGGCUAUAUCGUGUAGUUUGGCAAGAUGGGCUACGACCGUCUCAGACUCAUAACCGUGGAAAGGAUCAGAUUCGACUAGAGAGAUUAUCUCAGGGUCGACAGAGAAUUCAUAAUCCUCAUUGGUGAUAAAGAUAGGUGAAGUGGCAAACUUUGGGUCAUAUUUCAUCCUAGCUUUCAGAGAUUUUCCUUCCACUUGAGAAGUAAUUUCUCAGCAUCAUAGGCAUCCUUACACGCAAGAAAAUCCUCAGCUAUCUCUCCCUCCAUAACAUAACCCUCAGGUAUAUCAGGCAAUUCAUAUCUAGGAGAGCUAGAUCUAGCAGGAGCAAAAGUGGGUUCUAUCUCAAUAGUAUCGGCAGUUUCAUAAGCAUCACGAGCAUUGGCAGUAACUCUAGCAAUAUGAGCAUCAAGGAAUACCCCUAGUGGCAUAUCAGGCAAAGUAGUAUCUCUAGCAGUAUCAAGCAUAGCAUCAUCAGGCAAAAUAGCAUCUCUAGCAUCAUCAGGCAAAGCAGUAUCAAGCAUAGCAUCAUGGAUAGCAGUAUCAGACAUAGCAUCUCUAGCAGUAUCAGGCAUAGCAUCUCUAGCAGUAUUAGGCAUAACAUCUCUAGCAGUAUCAGGCAUAGUAGCAUCAUAAGCAUCAUCAAUAGCAGUAGCAUCUCUAGCAUCAUCUAACACAGGCGACAUAUCAAGAUUUCUAGCAGGAGGUGGUGUCGCAAACUUACUCAUAACUGAAGCUGAAUCAAGUGCAGAGCUAGAUGGUAGUUCCUUACCACCCCUCGUAGUUGAGGGCAAGACUUUGGUUCUUGGAUCUUUCAGAUUCUUCAUAGUGAUCAACAGAUAUAAAUCCCGAGUAACUCAGAGAAUAUAGCUAUCCCUCCCCGGCAACGGCGCCAGAAAAGAGCUGCUUCUAGUUGCUCAACAAUUAGCAACUGUCUUGCAAUGGCCCACCAGCGUGUCGGAUCACGGCCGUUUUCGAGGGUGGAGUAUUCAACCCAAAUUUGUUGGUUCAACACGAUGGGAGUGAAAGGAUAUUCUCCAGUAUUAGCAGUUGAGUUGUCCGCUCAACCACACCUGAACGAUUAGUAUCUGCAAGCAGGGUAAAAGCAGCAAAGGUAGUAUGAUAGCAACGGUGCUAGGAAAGAAUCUGUUGACGGCAGAUUAUUCCUAAAUGAAGUAUCAAUGGCGCCAGAAAUGUAUUGUAGCAGGUAGCAGCAGUGUAACGAGUAACAGCAGUGGCAAGGAACAACAAUAGUGACAGCAGUGGCAAGUAGCAGCAAUAGCAAGUAACAGCAGCAGCAAGUAACAGUAGUAGCAACAGUAGUAACAAGAGUAGCAGCAGAGCAAGUAACAGUAGCAGCAACAGUAGUAACAGCAGUAGCAGCACAACAAGUAACAGUAGCAGCAACAGUAGUAACAUCAGCAGCAGCAACAGUAGUAACAGCAGUAGCAGCAAAGCAAGUAACAAUAGCAGUGGGACAAACUCGUAGGCAAUGGAUCGGUGAUUUGUUGGAUGACAUUCAUCAUGCAACAGUUAUAACACGGAGAGAUAUGUGGCUAGCUCCCGUUCGUCAAUGUGAUGUAGGCAUGCAUUCCGUGUGUAGUCAUACGUGCUUAGGGAAAAGAACUUGCAUGACAUCUAUUGUCCAUCCCUCCCGUGGCAGCGGGGUCCAAAUGGAUACUACGGGAUAUUAAGGUUCUCCUUUUAAUAAAGAACCAGACCAACACAUUAGCACUUGGUGAACACAUGAACUCCUCAAACUAUGGUCAUCACCGGGAGUGGUUCCGGUUAUUGUCACUCCGGGGUUGCCGAAUCAUAACACAUAGUAGGUAACUACAACUUGCAAGAUCGGAUCUAAAACACACAUAAAUUGGUGACAACAUAAAAAGUUCAGAUCUGAAAUUAUGGCACUCGGGCCCUAGUGACAAGCAUUAAGCAUGGCAAAGUAGUAGCAACAUCAAUCUCAGAACAUAGUGGAUACUAGGGAUCAAUCCCCGUCAAAACUAACUCAAUUACAUGAUAGAUCUCAUCCUACUCAUCACCGCCCAGCGAGCCUACGAAUAGAUUACUCACGAACGAUGAAGAGCUUCAUGGUGUGGGCCCCACAAGCCUGCCCACCGCCACCAGGGGGGUGGUGGCGGAGCCAGGGCUAGGCCGCGGCUACAGGGCUUGUGGCCCACUGGCCCGUCCCCUCCGGUGGAUCUUUGCGCAGGUAUUUUUCAUAUUUUCCAAAAAUAUUCUCCGUAAAUUUUCAGGAUGUUCCGAGAACUUUCAUUUCUGCACAAAAACAACACCAUGGCAAUUCUGCUGAAAACAGCGUCAGUCCGGGUUAGUUCCAUUCAAAUCAUGCAAAUUAGAGUCCAAAACAAGGGCAAAAGAGUUUGGAAAAGUAGAUACGAUGGAGACGUAUCACGGUGCGUGGCUUGGUAGUUGGUUUGUGCUAUGAAAGUAGUCCCAAAAGUGAUAGGUAUCCAAAGAGGAUACAAAAACCUCCAUCUUCAUGUGCAUUGAGUAGAAAAAGAGAAUUUUGAUUCCUCUCAGUUAGUUUUGAGACGUGGAUUUGGUAAUAUCAAAAGUUAUGUUAGUAGGGUGUUGUGAAUCUAGAAAUACUUGUGUUGAAUAUAGUGAUUCCCGUAACAUGCACGUAUGGUGAAUCGCUAUGUUAGGAAGUCGGAGCAUAAUUGAUCUAUUGAUUGUCAUCCUUUGUGUUGCGGUCGGGAUCGCGCGAUGGUUUACACCUACCAACCCUUCCCCUAGGAGUAUGCGUUUAGCACUUUGUUUCGAUUACUAAUAAAAACUUUUGCAACAAGUAUAUGAGUUCUUCGUGACUAAUGUUGAGUCCAUGGAUUAUACGCACUUUCAUCUUUCCACCAUUGCUAGCAUCUCUAGUACUACGCAAUUUUUGCCGGUGCACAAACCACCAUAUGCCUUCCUCAAAACAGCCACCAUACCUACCUACUAUGGCAUUUUCAUAGCCACUCCGAGAUAUAUUGCCGUACAAUCUUCACCGUUCCGUCUCAUGACUUGUGCCAUCAUUGUCAUAUUGCAUUGCAUGAUCAUAAGAUAGCUAGCAUGAUGUUCUCAUGGCUUGUCCAUUUUUUAUGCCAUUGCUAUGCUAGAUCAUUGCACGGAGGCAUUUCCUAUGGAGUCAUCCUUGUUCUAAGCUUUGAGCUUUGAGUAAAUAAAAUUGUGAUGAUCAUCAUUAUAGAGCAUUGUCCCAUGUGAGGAAAUAAAAAAAAGAGGCCAAAGAGACCAAAAAAAGAGAGGCCAAAGAGCCCAAAAAAAAAGAUGAGCGAAAAAGAGAGAAGGGACAAUGCUACUAUCUCCUUUCCAUACUUGUGCUUCAUAUUAAGCACCAUGUUCUUCAUGAUUGAGAGCCUCUCGCUUUGUCGCCACCAUAUAACUAGUGGGAAUUUUCAUUAUAUAACUUGGCUUGUAUAUUCCAAUGAUGGGCUUCCUCAAAAUGGCCCUAGGUCUUUGUGAGCAAGCAAGUUGGAUGCACACCCACUAGUUCUCCUUUAGAGCUUUCACAUAUUCAUAGCUCUAGUGCAUCUAUUAAUGGGCAUCUCCAUAGCCUUUUAAUACGCCGAGUUAAUGUGACCAUCUUCUCCUUUUUGUCUCACAACCACCACCACAUUCUAUUCCACCUAUAGUGCUAUAUCCAUGGCUCACGCUCAUGUAUUGCCUAAGAGUUGAAAAAGGUUUGAGAAAGUAAUAGUGCAAAAACAAUUACUUCGCCAAUUCUGAGGUUAUGCAUGAUUUAAAUUAGUUGUGUGGGGAUGAUGGAGCAUAGCGUGACUAUAUGAUUUUGUAGGGAUAACUUUCUUUGGACUUGUUAUUUUGAACCUUACGGAUCUGAACAUUCAUGUCACAUAAGAGAAGUUACAAAGGACAACUAUGCUAGGUAGCAUGCAACAUCAAAAAUUCAUUCUUUAUCACUUCCCUACUCGAGGACGAGCAGGAGUUAAGCUUGGGGAUGAUUGAUAUGUCUCCAACGUAUCUAUAAUUUUUGAUGGCUUCAUGCUAUUAUCUUGUCAAACUUUGGAUGCUUUAUAUGCUUUUUAUAUCUUUUUUGGGACUAACUUAUUAACUCAGUGCCAAGUGCCAUUCCUGUUUUUUCCAUGUUUUUGACCCUUUUCAGAUCUGAUUUUGAAACGGAGUCCAAACGGAAUAAAAUCCCCGAAAAGAUUUUUCCGUCACAGAAGAAGAUCGGGAGACUUGAGAGCCAAGGUAGGGGAGCCUCAGGGACCCCACGAGCCCCCUAGGCGCGGCCAGGGGGAGGUCGCGCCUCCCUGGCUCGUGGGUCCCCUGAGCUCCCUCUGCCCUAGGUCUUUGGUCUAUAUAUUCCCUAAAAUCCCAUCAAAAAUCAAGGGAGCCACGAAAACACUUUUCCGUCGCCGCAAGCUUCCGUUUCUGUGAGAUUUCAUCUGGAGACCUUUCCGGUGCCCUGCCGGAGGGGGUUUAGGAGACGGAGGGCCUCUACAUCAACACCAUUGCCUCUCCGAUGAUGCGUGGGUAGUUUACUUCAGACCUACGGGUCCAUAGCUAGUAGCUAGAUGGCUUCUUCUCUCUCUUGGAUCUUCAAUACAAAGUUCUCCAUGAUCUUCAUGGAGAUCUAUCCGAUGUAAUCCUCUUUGGCGGUGUGUUUGUCGAGAUCCGAUGAAUUGUGGAUUCAUGAUCAGAUUAUCUAUGAAUAUUAUUUGAGUCUUUGCUGAUUUGUUAUAUGCAUGAUUUCAUAUCCUUGUAAUUCUCUUCGAGUUGUGGGUUUUGUUUGGCCAACUAGAUCUAUGAUUCUUGCAAUGAGAGAAGUGCUUGGUUUUAGGUUCUUACCGUGCGGUGACCUCACCCAGUGACAGAAGGGGUAGCAAGGCACGCAUCAUGUUGUUGCCAUCAAGGGUAAAAAGAUGGGGUUUUCAUCAUUGGUUUGAGUUUAUCCCUCUACAUCAUGUCAUCUUGCUUAAGGCGUUACUCUGUUCGUCAUGAACUCAAUACACUAGAUGCAUGCUGGAUAGCGGUCGAUGUGUGGAGUAAUAGUAGUAGAUGCAGAAAGUAUCGGUCUACUUGUCUCGGUCGUGAUGCCUAUAUGUAUGAUCAUUGCCUUAGAUAUCGUCAUGACUUUGCGCGGUUCUAUCAAUUGCUCAACAGUACUUUGUUGACCCACCGUUUACUUGCUAUUUUGAGAGAAGCCUCUAGUGAACACUAUGGCCCCCGGGUCUAUCAUCAUCACAAUUUCAGCCUUACACUUUUACUUUGCUUUGCCUUUCGCUUUCACUUCUCACUUUGCAAACAAUCUAGAAGGGAUUGACAACCCCUUUAUAGCGUUGGGUGCAAGCUCUUUUGUGUUUGUGCAGGUACUUUGGACUUGACGCGAUCCUCCUACUGGAUUGAUACCUUGGUUCUCAAACUGAGGGAAAUACUUACUGCAACUGUGCUACAUCACCCUUUCCUCUUCAAGGGAAAACCCAACGCAAGCUCACAAGGCCGCGAGGAGAUCCUUGGCAUAUUUGCCAAGGAAGACCCUAUAGGCGUAGCCAGCAGCACGACCCCCUGAAUUGACUCAACGAGUGCAACCAGUUCUUCAGGGGGCAACGCACACUCGCGUUCGACCGGACCUGGAUCGCCUCGUACCAUCUUCACGGCACCGCCUAGACGUGGUACUAUGCCCUCGAACAGGACGAAGGCGGGAUGCCGUCGUGGGAAAGCUUCCGCGACCUCUGCCUCCUCUGGUUCGGUCCACCCGUUCGCGGUAGCCAGCUCGCGGAACUCGGACGCCUUCCGUUCCUCUCCUCGGUCCAGGAUUUUCCCGACCGCUUCUAGGCGCUGACCUACCAUGCUAAUGGCGUCUUAGCCCUCCAAUAGGCCGAGCUCUUUGUUGGCGGCCUUCCCGGCCAUAUCCACAUGGAUGUCGAGAUGCGGGGACCAUAGGACCUCCAGAUGGCCAUGUACUAUGCCGGCACGUUUGAGAAACAGGCGGUGGCCAUGCAGCAGGCAUUCUCGGCUCGUGCACCUCACCCACCCCCUCGGUAGGCCAUGUCUGCACCUAGUCGGCGACUGAUACGUCCAAAAUGCAUCACUAUUUUGUAUCAUAAUUUUUCUCUAUUCAUUGGUAUAUUUCACAUUAUGAUGAUGCACUUAUAGUGUUUUGGCUUAUUUUACACAGUUUACAACUUUCCUGUGCCGAAACAGCAGACACAGGAUUCAGCGGAGAAAAUAGCACAAAGAGUUACCAAAUCAUAACAUCUCCAACUGCUCUGAAAAUUUGAUGGAAGGAAUUUCUGAACAGAUCCCGAAGACAGGCCGAAGAAGGGCCUAAGGGGGGCCACAGGUCACCUAGGCGACCUGCUGGUAUGGGCCACCCCUAGGUCGCGCCUAGAGGCCACCUGGGUGGGGGUCCCUCUUGAGCGCUCUCCUUUGGCCUAUAUGAUCCCCUUGACCUAAAAGUUAUGGGGGCAGAAGUGUUUUCACAGUUCCGCCGCCGCUCCGCGGCGGAAACCUACAGAGAAGAAAAGACCUUACCGGCGAACUGAUUCCGCCAAAGAAAACUCCUCCUGAAAGGGGAGAUCAUCCUCAUCGUCAUAACCAUCUUCACGGGCAUCAUCGAGAUCAUCAUCACCAUCAUCACCAUCACCAGCACCAUCUCCAUCUUCAUCCCAUCACACUUCACCAUUGCAAUCGGAGUUGUACCUUGCACUAUUCAUCCCCUCUACUCUAUCGGUGUUGAUUACUCUUUUGUGGAGAAUGCUAUUGAGUUUUGUUGGAGCAUUAUUGUUAUGACCAGAUUGUUAAUCAUAUUUUCAUCACCUCUCCUCAUGAUCUCUUUUAUGUCUUGUGAGUAGUUCUGUUAGUUCUUGAGGACGUGGAAAAAGUAUAGAUGCUAGUAGUCAUAUGAUGUUGAAGUAAUAUGUGUUGAUUGAUAUUUAACUUAUGGUGUUAUUCUUCUACUGGUGUUAUGUGAACAUCGACUACAUAACACUUCGCCUUUUCAAGGACCUAGGGGAGUGCAUUGUGUAUAAAGAAUGCUUAUGGUGGGUUGCCGGAGUGACAGAAACAUGAACCCCAGUUCACAUACUUUUGCAUGAGGGAGUAUUGUAUCCUAAAGCUUAUUGCUAUGGUUAGGCUUUGCCUUAAUUUCUCUCUUGUAUUUGCAGAUGCUUGCAAGAGGGAUUAAUAAUAAGAGUGUACUUGUAUUGGCCUAGAUGGUGCACUAGUUAAGAUCAACCCACAUAACACUUAUAUCAAUACAAAACAUAGUACUAGACGGAAUAUGGUGAAAGCACUUGACUAUCUCUCUCGUGUGUCCUCAGAAACGCCUUAAUCUUUAUAAGUUUAGUCCCUCGGCUUAUCCUUUGUGUUCAAAAGUAUUGGGCCACUUGCUGCACCUCAGCACCAUUUACUUUCCUUCCAUUUAUUUCCUUGUUGCUAUUACUAGAAAACUCAUAAAAAGUUACCUUUCAGUACCUGCAGUUAUUCCUUGCUCAAGAUCACUUGUCAGUACCUUCUGCUCCUCAUUGGGUUCGACACUCUUACUUAUCGAAAAGGCUACAAUAUAUCCCCUACACCUAUGAGUCAUCUAGACCAUUUUCUGGCACCAUUGCCGGGGAGCGUUGCGCUAUUGGUAAGUGAAAUUGGAAAGGAAACAUUUACGAUGUACGUGCUGUUUUUUUGUUUUGCUAUUUCCGCUUUUUGUCCCUAUGGACAACUCUGCUCUUGGUUUGCUGCUUGUGGGGAACCGCCCCAACGCUAUUGUGGUGGAGAAGCCUCCCCCACCUACUGAAAUUUUUCCCUUUAAAAUAACAACUUGUAUUAUUGAUUGUGUCUUGGUUAAUCGAUAUGCAGGAGAUAGACAUCCAGGUGAACACUUGCUAUAUCUUUCACAACUAUGCUCCUUAUUUAAGCUUGCAGGUUUAUCGAUGGAUUUUGUUAUGAGAAAGUUAUUCUCUCUAUAAUUAAAAGAUAAGGCUUUGGAUUGGUAUAGGCUUCUUGAUGACUCUCACUUACUAAAUUGGCAAGAUCUUAUGCCUCUGUUUUGUGCAAAGUUUUAUCCUCUUCAUGAAAUACAUCGAGACAGGAACUAUAUUUAUAAAUUUUGGUCUCGUGACGGAGAAAGCAUCGCUCAAGCUUGGGGGAGAUUGAAGUCCUUAAUGCUCAAAUGUCCCAAUCAUGAGCUCUCCAAAGAAACUAUUCUUACAAAUUUUUAUGCAAGGCUUUCUCGUCAAGAUAAAGAGAUGCUUGAUGACUCCUCUAGUGGGUCAUUCUCCAACAAAAGCACUGAAGCUAAGUGCGAUCUUAUUGAAAGGAUCCAAAAGAACACUGAAGACUGGGAGAUUGACUAAAGGCAUUGAACCCGUUAUAAAUUAUGAGCGUGAUUACAUUGAGAGCUAUGUGAAAACUGAUUACUUCAAUACCUUUUCUGCUAAUAUUGGUCUUGAUUCCCAGCUUCUAAUUGAUUUUUUCAAAGACUUUGCCUCUCAUAUUAACUCUUCUAAGAAGAAGGAGGAUCAACAUCAUAAACCUUUUAAGGAUUUACCUGUUGAUAUCAAUGUUGUUGACCAUGUCUUUCCUGCAGUUUUAUAUAAAUCCCCCUUUUCCCACCAGGAUGAGGGAGCAUAUUUUGUCACAAGCAUCCUCAAUAAAAGUGAAAGAACGACUGAUGAACAUGAGGACCUGAUUAAAGUCGACCCUCAAGUUGCAUUAGUCAAGGAUCUUGUUACUAGUAAUAUUGAGGAUUCCAAAAUAAUUUUUUGUGUUGUUUCUACUAACCUUGUUACAACCAAGAAUAAAGGCCCAAUUUCAAGUACUCUAGUUGUAUGUGUUAAAAUAGGAGAUCAUAAUUAUUAUGGCCUAUGUGAUUUCGGAUCCCGUGCUAGUGCUAUUCCUUUUUUACUUUAUCAAGAGAUCAUGAAUGAGAUUCUACCAUGUGAAAUUGAAGAAGUUGAUGUUACUAUUCAGCUUGAAAACAAAUAAACUAUCUCUCCUAUUGGAAUUGUGCAAGAUUAUAAAGUUCUAUGUGGAAAGGUAAAAUAUCCUACUGACUUUCUAGUACUUGGUUCACUACAAGAUAGUUUUUGCCCUAUUAUCUUUGGUAGGCCUUUUCUCAAAACUUGUGGAGCUAUUAUAGAUUGCAGGAAAGGAAAAGUAUUUGUUGAAUUUAAUGGUGAGCCAUAUGAAUUUAAAUUCUCUAAAUUCUCGAAGCAAACUCGUGGUACUGAUUUGCCUAGUAAUGAUAAAAUUAUUGAAGAGAUUGCUUCUAUUGCUAUUCCUCCUAACGAUCCUUUGCAGAAAUUUAUGGAGGAUCACGAGAAUGAUAUGCAUAUGCAGGAAAGGAAUGAGCUAGAUGACAUAUUCUUGACACAACGUGCUAUCCUAAAGCACAACCUUCCGGUUGAGCCUUUUGGAAUUUUAUCGAAACCAAAACAAAACCCUGUGUUUGACCUUAAACCUUUUCCCAGUACGCUCAAGUAUGCUUAUUUAGAUGAAAAGAAAGUAUAUAUUGUUAUUAUCAAUUCUGACCUUUCAGGAUAUGAAGAAGAGCGGGUAUUGGAAGUCCUUCGUAAACACCCAGGCACUAUUGGCUAUACCCUUGAUGAUCUUAAGGGGAUUAGUCCAUCUAUUUUUCAACAUUCUAUCAAUGUUGAGCCUGAUGCUAAACCGGUUGUUGAUCAUCAACGACGGUUGAACCCAAAGAUGAAGGAUGUUGUGAGGACCGAAAUCCUCAAGCUUCGAGCCGCAGGUAUUAUCUACCCUAUAAGUGAUAGUAAGUGGGUUAGUCCGGUACAUUAAUUGUGUUCCCAAGAAAGGAGGUACGACUGUGGUGCCUAAUGAUAAGAAUGAACUAAUACCUCAAAGAAUUAUUAUUGGAUAUAGAAUGUGCAUUGAUUACAGGAAGCUAAACAAGGCAACCAGGAAGGACCACUAACCGCUGUCGUUCAUCGACCAAAUGCUUGAAAGGUUAUCCAAAAACACUCACUUUUUCUAUGUUGAUGGGUACUCUAGCUUCUCUCAAAUUCAUGUUAACACUGCCGAUCAAGAGCAGACCACUUUUACUUGUCCCUUUGGUACUUAUGCUUAUAGAUGUAUGCCUUUUGGUUUAUGCAAUUCUCCUGCUACUUUUCAAAGGUGUAUGUCUGCUAUCUUUCACGAGUUUUGUGAGGAAAUUGUGGAGGUCUUCAUGGACGAUUUCUCCAUAUAUGGAACCUCUUUUGACCAUUGUCUCGACAACCUUAAUAAAGUUUUGCAGAGAUGUGAGGAGACAAACUUGGUACUCAACUGGGAGAAGUGACAUUUCAUGGUGAAUGAUGGAAUUGUUCUUGGCCGCAAGAUUUCUGAAAAGGGAAUCGAGGUGGACAUGGCAAAAGUCGAAGGAAUCGAGAGGAUGCCUUAUCGAAAGGACAUCAGAGGUAUUCAUAGUUUCCUAGGUCAUGCUGGUUUCUAUAGAAGAUUUAUUAAAGACUUUUCUAAGACUUACAAACCCCUCACAAAUAUUCUCUAGAAGGAUAUUCCUUUUGUGUUUGAUGAAGAUCGUAAGGAAGCCUUUGAAGUUCUUAAGGAAGCCUUGAUAACCGCCCCUAUAGUCCAACCACCUAAUUGGAAUUUGCCUUUUGAAAUCAUGUGUGAUGCUAGUGAUUUUUCUGUUGGAGCUGUGUUAGGACAAAGGGUUUAUAAGAAAUUGAAUGUUAUACAUUAUGCUAGCAAAACCCUUGAUAGUGCUCAAAAGAAUUACGCUACUACUGAGAAAGAGUUUUUAGCGGUAGUGUUUGCUUGUGAUAAGUUUAGGCCUUACAUUGUUGAUUCCCAAGUCAUCAUUCAUACUAAUCAUGCUACUAUUAAGUAUCAUAUGGAAAAUAAGGAUGCCAAACCAAGGCUUAUCAUAUGGGUCCUUCUUCUUCAAGAAUUUUAUUUGUAGAUUGUUGAUAGGAAAGGAGCAGUCAACCCUGUAGCAGACAACCUUUCCAGGAUGGAGGAGAUACCACAUGAUCCUAUUCCGGUCAGCGAUAGUUUUCCUGAUGAACAGUUAGCUUUUGAAAGUAUGAUCUAAUUCCGAUCAUGGUAUGCAGAUUAUGGUAACUUUAUUGUUGAAAGUUUUUGCCUCCAGGUUUGACAUUCCAGCAGAGGAAGAAGUUCUUCCACGACUUGAGGUAUUACUUUUGGGAUGACCCACAUCUUUUUAGAGAAGGUGCGGAUGGAAUUGUGAGGCGAUGUAUACCUGAGCAUGUGCAGAAGGAUAUCUUGAGACAAUGUCAUAGCAGUCCUUAUGGAGGACAUCAUGCGGGUGAGAGGACCGCACACAAGGUUCUCCAGUCCGGUUUUUAUUGGCCUACUCUCUUUAAAGAUGCUAGAAAUUAUGUUUUAUCUUGUGAUAAGUGCCAGAGAGUUAGUAAUAUUAGUAGGAGAAACGAGAUGCCUAUUAAUUAUUCUCUAUUCAUUGAGCCUUUUGAUUGCUGGGGUUUUCAUUUUAUGGGUCCUUUUCCUCCUUCACACAAGUACACUCACAUCUUAGUAGUUGUUGAUUAAGUGACCAAGUGGAUUGAAGAAAUCCCCACUGAAAGUGCUGAUCACAAGACAUCUUUGAAAAUGCUCAAGGAUGUAAUCUUCCCUAGGUUUGGUGUACCUAGGUACCUCAUGACCGACGGAGGAUCACAUUUUACACAUGGUGCUUUUAGAAAAGCUCUAGCCAAAUAUGAUGUUAAUCGUAUAAUAUCUUCACCUUACCACCCUCAAACAAGUGGGCAAGUUGAGCUCAAAAAUAGAGAGAUCAAGUUGAUCUUGCAAAAGACAAUGAGCAGUUCUAGAAAGGACUGGUCCAAUAAGCUAGGAGAUGCCUUGUGGGCAUAUAGAACUGCUUACAAAAAUCCCAUGGGGAUGUCUCCGUAUAAGAUGGUCUAUGGCAAGGCAUGCCAUCUACCUUUAGAGUUAGAGCACAAAGCUUUCUAGGCUGUUAGAGAGCUUAGUGCUGACCCAAAGCUUGCUGGUGAAAAGCGUCUCAUGAACUUGACUUCUCUAGAUGAGUGGAGAAGUGAAGCUUAUGAGAGCGCAAAAAUGUUCAAAGAAAAGGUAAAGAAGUGGCCUGACAAGAGAAUUUUGAAACGUGAAUUUAAUGUUGGUGAUAAAGUUUUGUUUUAUAGAUCUCGUUUCAGGUUUUCUCCAGGUAAAUUACUUUCCAAGUGGGAAGGACCAUACCAUAUCGAAGAAGUCUAUCGCUCCGGUGCAAUCAAGAUUAAUAAUUUUGAGGGCACAAAACCACAUGUUGUGAAUGGGCAAAGACUCAAGCAUUACAUGGCUGGAGAUGCCAUCAAUGUAGAGGUGGAUGUGAUAUAGGUAGCCACUCAUGAAGAACAUAUUGCAACACUGUAUCAGACACCGACAGAAGAAGAAUAAGAAUAUGUAUGAAAUACGAUAAGGACACUUCGCGAACAUUAAUAAAAGUUCCGAAUUAUGUGUUUUUGCAAAAUUAGGAAUAUUCCGAGCCUAAGUGGAGCCGGAGAGGAACUCGAGGUGCUCCAGGCGACCUGUGGGCGUGGCCUACCUCCUGGCCGCGCCAGGAGGCCGCCUGGACUACCCGGAGUCCGUCUCCGACCCUACUUUGGCUUGUUUACCUUCCUUUUGAUGCAAAAUUGUUUGCUAUAUAUUCUCCUGGAUCGUCCCGGCUUUGUAUCUUCCGAUUCCGUGCGUUUUCUCUUUCGAUCUUGUCUUCCAGGCUAAGAAACUAUUGUUCGAGAUGUCUUCUUGUGACUCAAGCGGGGAAGACUACACGGGUCGUUGUCUCCACCGUGUCCAGCAAGAUAUCAAUCAAGGGAAGGUCACCGGAUGGGCUACUAAUGAAGAGAUAGCUGCAAGACAAGCGGAGAUGGAGCGCUUCGUGAGAGAGGAAGUCAAGAUGGUCACCACCCAGCAAGAAGGAGAUCCUUCAUCACGAGGAUCCAGCUCCAACAACCCCAUCCUCGUGGGGUUUAUUAACCCUCAACAUGAUCUUUCUCUGAACCUUUCAGAAACUGUCCCUCCACCGGGAACUCCACCUAUGUCAUCUACUAUAUCCGAAGCUUACAGAAUCACUAACCAAUUAUGUGAAGACUUUCGUGUGCUUAUAGUAUAGGUGGCCAUAUUGGAAGCUGAAAGCAAAACCCUUCGGCGCAUAAUAGCAGACUUGAAGAACAACAAGUAGGAUGAGGAGUGAAAUCUUCAUGGGUAAUGUCAUUCCCUUAUCUUGUUCCAAGCUUGGGGGAGUGCCCCGGUAUCUUUAUUUAUUUUUAUACUUUACCUUUUAUGGUCAAGUUUAGUGUCGUAUCAUGUCUAGGGAAGUUAUCUUAUGAAAUAGGUGUUUGCAUUGAGGUCUAUCACUCCUUUGUGGAGAGUCUUGUAUCCGUGAGUGUGCAGUGUCUAUGAUGGAAUAUUAAUGAGAAGUCUAUUGCUUUCUUUGCUGCACUUGGUAUUCUCUUCAUGCAAGCGAUCUUAUAUGCUGAUUCUUAUGGGAGUAUUGAUCUUACAUAUCAGGUAUGGCUUUGAAAAAUUUAUUUAAUCUUGGCAAACAUAGCAUUGGUCAUAACAACAAGCAUGAGUUUUUCUAGCAGCAACAUAGCCAAAACCUUUAUGUUCUUAUGCUUGAAGAGUUAUGCUGACAAGGAAGACAACUUGAUGUUUUAUGCCAAUUAUUCAUGUUAAACUUUAUAUUGUUUUGCAUCCAAGUCAACAUUAUUUGUUUGCUCUCAAAAUCCUUUGCUAGCCAACCCUUGCACUAAGCGGGGAUACUGCUUGUGCAUCGAUACCCUGAAACCUCCACCUUCCCAAGAGUCCACCAUACCUUCCCUAUACAUGGUAUUUCACCGCCACUCCUAAAGUAUAGUACUCAUGUGCUAUAUUUAAACCUUCAAAUAUUACUCCCUGUUUUGUGCCUCUGUUUUAGCUCAUGAGGAAGUAGUAGAUAAUUCAUGAUCUUCUCAUACUGGACAAAUUUUAUCCUAGGUUUGCAUGUUUAAUAUGCAAACCGCUAAUACCAAAAGGGACUAGCAUGAGCUCGCCCAGCUCGUAAAAGAUAAUAACAACAAACAAAACCUCCUUCACGCUUUGUUGAUGAGAAAUCAAAAAACUUUGGUAGUGAUAAACAAAGGAGACUAAGGGGAUGUGAUCGUCCCCACUUUGGGAGUCGUUCCUCAAAACUUGUCCAGCAUGAGAAGUAUUGGGCUAUUUGCUAGCAUUCGCGGACAAUAUAUGCACCUCUCAAAAGCUUGUUUUAUAAUCUUGUUGAUUUUUUUUAAAUCUCUAAAAGCUCUAGCACAUGAGUUUUCCCUACUUCCCUCUGCGAAGGGCCAAUCCUUUACUUUUACAUUGAGUCAGUAAAACCUACUUCUUUCUAUCCUAAAAAAGAGCAGACACCUUAUGUUGACAAAGAUGCAUUCAUUUAUAUUGCUUCAUUGAGAAUUGCCAUAUCACACCUUUGUUGAUAUUACCAUUAAGAUAAGUAAGUUGUUUGUUAAGCCUAGCUAAAGCAAACAUCUUCCUUUGUGUUAGUUCACUUCUUGACUAAUAGCAUGUUCUUUCAAAAAGAUUCAGUUGAUCUCAUCAAAAUAUAAGAGGAAGAGCAAAAGUUAAAAGUUACUAGUUAUUCUUUGACCAAGGACAUGUUUUCCAUGGUUUGAUGAGUUUUCUUAGCUCCACUUUUGAUUGUAAUUGAUAUUACUCUUUCAUAAGGGCCUUAUGAGUUGAGAUUGAUGCCGAGGAUGGUUGGGUUUAGUAGAGAAAUUAUGAUGCUUCUUGUCCGUAUUCUUAUUUAUCAACACUUCACUCUCUAAACUUGUGGACAGGUUUACCGAGCUCAGUAUUCGCUUGGGGACAAGUGAGGUCUAAGCUUGGGGGAGUUGAUACGUCCAAAAUGCAUCACUAUUUUGUAUCUUCAUUGAUAUAUUUCACAUUAUGAUGAUGUAAUUAUAGUGUUUUGGCUUAUUUUACACAGGUUUCAACGGAGAAAAUAGCACGAAGAGUUACCAAAUCAGAACAUCUCCAACUGCGCUGAAAAUUUGAGGGAAGGAGUUUCUGAACAGAUCCCGAAGACAAUCCGAAGAAGGGUCAGAGGGGGGCCACAGGUCACCCAGCCGACCUGCUAGCGCGCGCCACCCCUAGGCCGCGCCUAGAGGCCGCUUGGGUGGUAGGUCCCGCCUCGAGUGCUCUCCUUUGUCCUAUAUGAUCCCCUUGACCUAAAAUCUAUGGGGGCACAAGAGUUUUCGCAGUUCCGCCGCCGCUCCGCGGCGAAAACCUACACGGAAGAAAUGACCUUUCUGGCGGGCAGAUUCCACCGGGGAGAACUCCUCCCGGAAGGGGAGAUUGUCUUCAUCGUCAUCACCAUCGUCACGGGCAUCACCGAGAUCAUCAUCACCAUCACCAGCACCAUCUCCAUCUUCAUCCCAUCACACUUCACCAUUGCAAUCAGAGUUGUACCUUGCACUAUUCAUCCCCUCUACUCUAUCGGUGUGGAUUACUCUUUUGUGGAGAAUGCUAUUGAGUUUUGUUGGAGGACUAUUGUUAUGACCAGAUUGUUAAUCAUAUUUUCAUCACCUCUGAUCAUGAUCUCUUUUAUGUCUUGUGAGUAGUUCCGUUAGUUCUCGAGGACAUGGGAAAAGUCUAGAUGCUAGUAGUCAUAUGAUGUUGAAGUAAUAUGUGUUGAUUGAUAUUUAAGUUACAGUGUUAUUCUUCUAGUGGUGUUAUGUGAAUGUCGACUACAUAACACUUCGCCUUUUCAGGAACCUAGGGGAGUGCAUCGUGUAUAAAGAAUGCUUAUGGUGGGUUGCCGAAGUGACAGAAACCUGAACCCUAGUUCGCAUGCUUUUGCAUGAGGGGGUAUUGGAUCCUAAAGCUUAUUGCUAUGGUUAGGCUUUGCCUUAAUUUCUCUCUUGUAUUUGCGGAUGCUUGCAUGAGGGAUUAAUCAUAAGAGUGUACUUGUCUUAGCCUAGACGGUGCACUAGUUAAGAUCCACCCACAUAACACUUAUCAAUACAAAACAUAGUACUAGACGGAAUAUGGUGAAAGCAAUUGACUAUCUCUCCCGUGUGUCAUCUGGAACCCCUUAGUCUUUAUAAGUUUAGUCCCUCGACUUAUCCUUUGUGUUCAAAAGGAUUGGGCCACUUGCUGCACCUCGGCACCAUUUACUUUCCUUGCAUUUUUUCCUUGUUGCUAUUACUAGAAAACCCAUAAAAAGUUACCUUUCAGUACCUGCAGUUAUUCCUUACUCAAGAUCACUUGUCAGUACCUUCUGCUUCUCAUUGGGUUCGACACUCUUACUUAUCAAAAAUGCUACGAUAGAUCCCCUACUCUAGUGGGUCAUCAGCGACAGGAACUCCUGCCACGGCAACGGCUCGACCGUUCCGCUCGCUAACCCCGGCCGAGCAACUCGAGCAUCAUCGACAGGGUUAUGCUUCAACUGCGACGAGACCUACGUGCCAUGUCACGUCUGCCCCGCCCCUUCUACCUGGAGGCCUCGACCAUGCCGAGGCGGCUGCCCUGGCAUCAGCAACCUCCCUCGUGGUCUCCCUCCAUGCCCUUGCCAGCAUACGAGCAAAGAAAACGAUGCUAUUGCCAGUGCUGGUUAAUGGGGAGCGCCUUCUAGCUCUCCUGGACACGGGCUCUACACACAACUUCCUGCCUGAAACUACUAUGUGUCUCCUGGCCCUCCAGUCGACGGGCGACAAGCAGCUUCGAGUUACCGUGGCUAAUGGUGACCGUCUUCACUGCCACGGAAUUGCGCGGUAGGUUGCCAUCGUCAUCACCGAUGAGCACUUCGCCAUCACGUGCGUAGGCAUCGACUUGGGUUGCUUCGACUUCAUCCUCGGCGUCGACUUCUUGCGGACGCUCGGACCCAUCCUUUGGUACUUCGACGCCCUGACCAUGACUUUCUGGCAUCAUGGGGCGCGAAGUGCAGUGGACGGGCAAGGGUGGAACUUCUCCAGCAGUUCCCUCCCAGUUGUCGACCGCCAUCACCGACUUUGGGCCGCCCCUGUUGGCUCAUCUCUAGCAGUAGCACAUCGACCUUUUCGACGAGCCUCGGGGUCUUCCGCCCAUCCUGAUCUACGACCAUCGCAUUCACCUUCUCCCGGGGACAACACUCGUCGUCGUACGACCAUACCGCGACCCACGGCUGCACAAGGACGAGCUGGAACGAUAGUGCACGCUUAUGCUCACCUUGGGUAUCAUACGGAUUUCUACUUGACCGUUCUGAGCGCCAGUGCUCGUUGUUCGCAAGCCUGACAGCCUGUGGUGUUUCUGCAUCGAUUACCGUGCUCUCAAUGCCAAGACGUCGAAGGACGAAUUUCCUAUACCGGUCGUGGAGGAGCUCCCGGGGCGAGCUUCACAGGGCACACUUCUUCACUAAGCUCAACUUGCGUUAUGGCUAUCAUCAGGUUCAGAUGCACCGAGACGACAUUGUGAAGACAGCCUUUCGCACCCAUCACAGCCACUUCGAGUUUUUGGUGAUGCCCAUCGGUCUCUCCAAUGCACCGGCAACAUUCCAUCCCUUGAUGAAUGACGUACUCCGGCCCUACCUGCGGCGGUUUGUUCUUGUUUUCUUUGAUGAUAUUCUCAUCUAAAGUUCCCCUUGGGCAUAGCACUUGCAUCACGUCGCCAUCAUCUUCAACGAGCUUCGAGUGUAUCAACUCCACCUCAAGCGCCCGAAGUGCUCGUUUGGCACGACAUCCGUCGCAUAUCUCAGCCACGUCAUUUUAGCGGAGGGAGUUGCCAUGGACGCUGACAAAAUCAUGGCAGUCACAUCUUGGCCGACACGACAUUCACCGCGGGCCCUCCGUGGGUUCUUGGGCCUAGCAGGAUACUACCAGAAGUUUAUUCGGGAGUUCGGCCUUCUCGCCACACCACUUAAGCGACUGUUGCACCGCAACGCCUUCUCUUGGGAUGAUGAGGCAGGUACCGCCUUCCAGCCGCUCGAGGCGGCUCUUACCACAGGGCUGGUCCUUCAGAUGUCGGAUUUUGAGCAGCAGUUCAUGGUUGACUGUGAUGCAUCAGGCAUGGGCUUCGGCGCAGUUCUCCACGAGGGCCCGAGACCUCUCGCUUUCUUCAGCAGACCCUUCGCCGCACGUCAUCACAAGCUCGCGGCCUACGAGCGGGAGCUCAUCGGUUUGGUACAGGUUGUACAACACUGGCGACUGUAUCUGUGGGGAUGACACUUCAUGAUUUGCACAAACCACUACAGCCUCAAAUUUUUGUUGGAUCACCGCCUCUCCACCAUUCCGCAACAUUAGUGGAUUAGUAAGCUAUUCGGCUACGACUUCACCAUUGAGUACCGGCCAGGCCGCCUUAACAUCGUGGCCGACACCUUGUCAUGCCGCUACACCAACCCUAAUGAUGGCGUCUCAGACACUGAGGGCACUACCCUUUGCAUAUGCCUCGUGCCUUCGUUCGUCUUCAUCGAUGACAUUCGCUGAGCCAUUGCGACGGCCGCGGAUGCUCAGCUUCUUCGGCACCGGCUUGUGGAGGGAGAUUUGCCGGCGCCAUGGCGCCUGGAUGUUGGGUUACUCCUCCACGAUCGACGACUCUUUGUGCCCGAGCAUGACGAUCUCCAUCACCAAGAUCUUUGUUUGGUUCACUCAGCCGGCCAUGAGCGGGUGCAGAAAACUGUCCACCGCCUCCGUGUCGACUUCUAUCUACCCGGGGACCGAGCAUUGGUGCGUGACUAGGUGCGGUCUUGUGUGAUGUGCCAACGCAACAAGACACACACAUUGCAGCCAACCGACCUCUUACAGCCCCUUGAGGUGCCUUCGCACGUGUGGGCCGACAUCUCCAUGGAUUUUGUCGAAGGCCUUCCUAAGGUGGGCAGCAAGUCCGUCAUCCUUACGGUGGUCGACCGUUUCUCCAAGUAUGCACACUUUAUCGCAUUGGUCCAUCCCUACACUGCCACUUCCGUAGCACGGGCUUUCUUCGAUGGCAUCGUCCGCCUCCACGGGUUUCCUUCUUCGAUCGUCAACGACCGUGACCUGGUGUUCACUGGCCAUGUGUGGCGGGAUCUUUUUUGGUUGGCACGUGUCAAGUUCCGCUUGAGCACGGAUUUUCAUCCCUAGACAGACGAACAAUCAGAGGUCAUCAAUAAGGUGAUUGCUAUGUACUUACGCUAUAUUACAGGUGAUCGACCACGAGCUUGGGUGGACUGGCUCUUGUGGGUGGAUUACUGCUACAACACUUCGUACCACUCCGCCCUACAUGGCACCCCCUUUGAGGUCGUCUACGAUCGGCCUCCUCCAGCCAUCCCGCCUCUCCAGCUACGGAUGGCGUAGACUGAGGCAGCGGAAGUACUUCUUCGCAACCGCGAUGUCAUCCUUGUUGAGGUGCGGCAGCGUCUUCUUCAGGCCCAACAGUUGUCCAAGAAGUACUAUGAUGCUCACCACCGCGAGGCUGAGUUUGCGGUGGGUGAUUGUGUGUGGCUGCGUCUUCUUCACCAUUCUACGCAGUCACUUGACCCUCGUUCCAAGCGCAAGCUAGGCCCUCGCUAUGCGGGAUCCUUUUAGGUGUUGGAGCGCAUAGGCAGCAUCGCCUACCGCCUUCAGCUACCCCCUGGUGCUCGUCUCCAUGAUGUCUUUCAUGUGGGCUUAUUGAAGCCUUUCCAUGGGGAGCCGCCGGCAGCCGGACCAGAUCUUCCGCCGACCUCAAACAGACGCUUACUUCCUAAUCCAGCUAAGGUGUUGAAGGUUCAGCAAAGUCGUGGUGUGUGACGUCUUUUGAUCCAGUGGCACGGUCUUCUAGAAGAGGAUGCUACUUGGGCGACCCUUGAGGAGUUCCGCAAACAUUUUUCAGACUUCCAACUCGAGGACGAGCUAUUUGCGCACGCGGGGAGAAAUGUUAUGACCGGUUUAUAUUACAACUAGAGAAGGCCCAGUUAAAUAGAACUGGCCCACUUUGUUGGAAUUAUUCCCUAGAGCCAAUGAUGAAUAAACUUAUUAUUAUAAUUCCUGUUUUAAGAUAAUCUUUAUUAUCCAUGCUAUAAUUGUAUUAAAUGAAGACAUAGAUACAUGUGUGGAUACAUAGACAAAACACUGUCCCUAGCAAGCCUCUAGUUGGCUAGCCAGUUGAUCGAGGAUAGUCAAGGUCUUUUGACUAUAGGCAAGUGUUGUUGCUUGAUAACUGGAUCACAUCAUUAGGUGAAUCAUGUGAUGGACUACACCCAAACUUAUGAACGUAGCAUGUUGAUCGUGUAAUUUUGUUGCUACUGUUUUCUGCAUGUCAACUAUUUAUUCCUAUGACCAUGAUAUCACAUAACUCACGGGCACCGGAGGAAUACCUUGUGUGUAUCAAACGUCACAACGUAACUGGGUGACUAUAAAGAUGCUCUACAGGUAUCUCCGAAGGUGUCCGUUAAGUUAGUAUGGAUCAAGACUGGGAUUUGUCACUCCGUGUGACGGAGAGGUAUCUCGAGGCCCACUCGGUAAUACAACAUCACACACAAGCCUUGCAAGCAAUGUGACUUAGUGUAAGUCACGGGAUCUUGUAUUAUGGAACGAGCAAAGAGACUUGCCGGUAAACUAGAUUGAAAUAGGUAUGCGGAUACCGACGAUCGAAUCUCGGGCAAGUAACAUACCGAAGGACAAAGGGAAUAACAUACGGGAUUAAAUAAAUCCUUGGCACCGAGGUUCAACCGAUAAGAUCUUCGUAGAAUAUGUAGGAUCCAAUAUGGGAAUCUAGGUCCUGCUAUUGGAUAUUGACCGAGGGUUCACUCGGGUCAUGUCUACAUAGUUCUCGAACCCGCAGGGUCUGCACACUUAAGGUUCGACGAUGUUUUAUACGUAUUUGAGUUAUAUGGUUGGUUACCGAAUGUUGUUCGGAGUCCCGGAUGGGACCACGGACGUCACGAGGGUUUCUGGAAUGGUCUGGAAACAAAGAUUAAUAUAUAGGUUUGUCUCAUUUGGUUACCGGAAGGUUUUCGGGCAUUACCGACAUCGUACCGAGAGUGAUGAAUGGGUUCCGGGUAUUUACCAGGAGGGGGGAAACCCACUCGGGAGUGGCCCAAGGCCUUGAGGGUGCCGCUGUUAGAAUUAUGCCCUAGAGGCAAUCAUAAAUAAGUUAUUAUUAUAAUUCCUGUAUCAAGAUAAUCGUUUAUUAUCCAUGCUAUAAUUGUAUUGAAUGAAGACUCAUUUACAUUUGUGGAUACAUAGACAAAACACCGUCCCUAGCAAGCCUCUAGUUGGCUAGCCAGUUGAUCAAAGAUAGUCAGUGUCUUCUGAUUAUGAACAAAGUGUUGUUGCUUGAUAACUGGAUCACGUCAUUAGGAGAAUCACGUGAUGGACUAGACCCAAACUAAUAGACGUAGCAUGUUGAUCGUGUCAUUUUGUUGCUACUGUUUUCUGCGUGUCAAGUAUUUAUUCCUAUGACCAUGAGAUCAUAUAACUCACUGGCACCGGAGGAGUGCCUUGUGUGUAUCAAACGUCAAAACCUUACUGGGUGACUAUAAAGAUGCUCUAUAGGUAUCUCCGAAGGUGCCCGUUGAGUUAGUAUGGAUCAAGUUUGGGAUUUGUCACUCCAUGUGACGGAGAGGUAUCUCGGGGCCCACUCGGUAAUACAACAUCACACACAAGCCUUGCAAGCAAUGUCACUUAGUGUAAGUCACGGGAUCUUGUAUUGCGGAACGAGUAAAGAGACUUUCCGGUUAACGAGAUUGAAAUAGGUGUGCGGAUACCGACGACCGAAUCUCGGGCAAGUAACAUACCGAAGGACAAAGGGAAUGCCAUACGGGAUUAUAUGAAUCCUUGGCACUGAGGUUCAGCCGAUAAGAUCUUCGGAGAAUAUGUAGGAUCCAAUAUGGACAUCCAGGUCCGAAUAUUGGCUAUUGACCGAGGAGUCCCUCGGGUCAUGUCUACAUAGUUCUCGAUCCCGCAGGGUCUGCACACUUAAAGUUCGGCGAUGUUUUAUGCGUAUUUGAGUUAUAUGGUUGGUUAACGAAUGUUGUUCGGAGUCCCAGAUGGGAUCAUGGACGUCAUGAGGGUUUCCGGAAUGGUCUGGAAACGAAGAUUGAUAUAUAGGUUUGUCUCAUUUGGUUACCGGAAGGUUUUCGCGCAUUACUCGCAUCGUACCGGGAGUGACGAAUGGGCUCCGGGUAUUUACCAAGAGGGGGGCAACCCACCCGGGAGUGGCCCAAGGCUUUAGGGGUGGCGCACCAGCCCUUAGUGGGCUGGUGGGACAGCCCAAGAGGGCCUAUGGUGCCACAAGUGGAAAACCAAAGAGAAAAGAAAAAAAAGGAAGUGGGCAGGUGGAGAAGGACUCAACUUUCCAAUCCUAGUAAGACUAGGAUUGGAGGUGGACUCCUCCACCUCCUUGGCCGGUGCACCAAGGGAGGCUUGGCCCUCAAGGCAAGCAUCCCCACCUCUUCCCCUAUAUAUAGUGGAGUUUUGGGCUGAUUUGAGACAACUAUGCCAUGGCAGCCCGACCACAAACUCCACCGUUUUUUCCUCUAGAUCGUAUUUCCGCGGAGCUCGGGCGGAGCCUUGCUGGAAUAGAUCAUCACCAACCUCCGGAGCGCCGUCACGCUGCCGGAGAACUCAUCUACCUCUCCGUCUCUCUUGCUGGAUCAAGAAGGCUGAGAUCAUCGUCGAGCUGUACGUGUGCUGAACGCGGAGGUGCCGUCCGUUCGGCACUAGAUCGUGUCGGAUCAAGAAGGCCGAUAUCAUCGUCGCGAUGUACGUGUGCUAAACACGGAGGUGUCGUCCGUUCGGCACUAGAUAGGAUCGUGGGACGAAGAGUACGACUACGGUGAUUUGAAUCACGCAAGCUGUUCCACUACAUCGUCCGCGUUUCUAAAAGCUUGCCGUUGUGUGAUCUACAAGGGUAUGUAGAUCGGAAAUCUCCUCUCGUAGAUGAACAUCACCAUGAUAGGUAUUGCGUGUGCGUAGGAAAAAUUUUGUUUCCCGUGCAACGUUCCCCAACAGUGGCAUCAUGAGCUAGGUUCUUGCGUAGAUGUUAUCUCGAGUAGAACACAAAAGUUUUUGUGGGUGGUGAUGUGCAAUUUUCUGCCCUCCUUAGUCUUUUCUUGAUUCCGCGGUAUUGUUGGAUCGAAGCGGCUCGGACCGUCAUUACUCGUACGCUUAUGAGAGACUGGUUUCAUUGCUACGAGCAACCCUGUUGCUCAAAGAUGACGGGCGAGUGUCGGUUUCUCCAACUUUAGUUGAAUCGGAAUUGACCGAGGAGGUCCUUGGAGAGAGGUUAAAUAGCAAUUCAUACAUCUCCGUUGUGGUGAUUGCGUAAGUAAGAUGCGAUCCUACUAGAUACCCAUGGCCACCACAUAAAACAUGCAAUAACCAUUAGAGGCCGUCUAACUUGUUUUUGAAGGGUAUGCUUGUGAUGUGAUAUGGCCGACGACGUGAUGUGAUAUAUUGGAUGUAUGAGAUGAUCAUGUUUUAAUAGUUAAUAUCGACUUGCACGUCGAUGCUACAGCACCCGGCAGGAUCCAUAGGGUUGUCUUUAAACUAACGUUUGUGUUUGCAGAUGUGUUUACUAUAUUGGUAGGACGUAGAUUUAGUAGUAAUAGCAUAGCAUACACGACAACCUCGAUGGUGGCACGAUGAUGGAGAUCAUCAUGAUGGGGAUCAUGGUGUGGCGCCGGUGACAAGAAGAUCAUACCGGUGCUUGGUGAUGGAGAUCAAGGAGCACUUGCUGAUGGCCAUAUCAUGUCACUUAUGAAUUGCAUGUGAUGUUAAUCCUUUAUGCACCUUAUUAUGCUUAGAACGACGGUAGCAUUAUGAGGUGAUCUCUCACUAAAAUAUCAAGCUCAAAUUGUGUUCUCCCCGACUGUGCACCAUUGCGACAGUUCGUCGUUUCGAGACACCACGUAAUGAUCGGGUGUGAUAGACUCAACGUUCACAUACAACGGGUGCAAAAGAGUUGCACGCGCGAAAUAGUCAGGUUAAACUUGACGAGCCUAGCAUGUACAGACAUGGCCUCGGAACACAUGAGACCGAAAGGUCGAGCAUGAAUCGUAUAGUUGAUAUGAUUAGCAUAGAGAUGCUUACCACUGAAACUACUCUCAAUUCACGUGAUGAUCGGACUUGAGAUAGUGGAUUUGGAUCAUGUACGAGUCAAAUGACUAGAGAGAUGUACUUUUUGAGUGGGAGUUUAAAGUUAAUUUGAUUAGUUAAACUCUAAUUAUCUUGAACAUGGUCUAAGUCCACUUUCCUAUAUUUGUGUUGUAGAUCAAUGGCUCACGCAGUAGUAACCCUGAAUUUUAAUACGUUCCUAGAGAAAGCUAAGCUGAAAGAUGAUGGAAGCAACUUUGUAGACUACGCUCGUAAUCUUAAGUGGCUCCUAAAAGCUGGGAAGAAGGAUUAUGUCCUUAAUGCUGCGCUAGGAGAUGAACCACCCGCUACGGCUGACUAGGAUGUUAAGAAUGCCUGGUUGACGCGUAAGGAGGACUACUCAAUAGUUCAAUGUGCAAUCUUGUAUGGCUUAGAGCCGGGACUUCAAUGUCGCUUUGAACAACACGGAGCAUAUGAGAUGUUCGAGGAGUUGAAGUUUAUCUUUAUGAAAAAUGCCCGGAUCGAGAGAUAUGGGAUCUCCGAUAAAUUCUAUGCUUGCAAGAUGGAGGAGAAUUCGUCUGUCAGUGAUCAUGUGCUCAAAAUGUCUGGGUACUCCAACCGCAUGGAUGACCUAGGGAUUGAACUCCCGCAAGAGGACAUCACUAACAGAAUUCUUCAAUCACUGCCGCCAAGCUAUAAAGGCUUUGUGUUGAACUAUAACAUGCAAGGGAUGAACAAGUCACCCGGCGAGUUAUUCGCGAUGCUAAAAGUCGCAGAGUCAAAACUCCGGAAAGAGCAUCAAGUGUUGAUGGUCAAUAAGACCACUCGUUUCAAGAGAAACGGCAAAGGCAAGAAGGGUAACUCCAAGAAGAACGGCAAACCUGUUGUCAAUCUGACGAAGAAACCCAAGGUUAGACCUAAGCCUGAAACAGAGUGUUAUUAUUGCAAGGGUAUGGGUCACUGGAAGCGCAACCGCCCCAAGUAUUUGGCUAAUAAGAAGGCGGCCAAGGAAAAAUCAGGUAUAUUCGAUAUACAUGUUAUUGAUGUGUACUUAACCAACUCUCGUAGUAGUGUCUGGGUAUUCGAUACCGGUUCUGUUGCUCACAUUUGCAACUCGAAGCACGAACUACGGAAUAAGCGAAGGCUGGUGAAGGAUGAAGUGAUGAUGCGCGUUCCAAGGUUGAUGUGAUCGCCGUCGGCACAACCUCACUUCAAUUACCAUCAGGAUUAGUUAUGAACUUAAAUAAUUGUUAUUUAGUGCCUGCAUUAAGCAUGAACAUUAUAUCUGGAUCUUGUUUAUUGCGAGACGGUUACUCAUUUAAGUCAGAGAAUAAUGGUUGUUCUAUUUCUAUGAGUAAUAUCUUUUAUGGUCAUGCACCCAAUGUGAGAGGAUUUUUCAUACUGAAUCUUGAUAGCAAUGAUACACACGUACAUAACAUUGAGACCAAAAGAUGUAGGGUUAAUAACGAUAGUGCCAUGUUUUUAUGGCACUGCCGCUUAGGUCAUAUUGGUGUAAAGUGCAUGAAGAAACUCCAUUCCGAUGGGCUUUUGGAGUCACUUGAUUUUGAAUCACUUGACACUUGCGAACCAUGCCUCAUGGGCAAGAUGACUAAGACUCCGUUCUCCGGGACAAUGGAGCGUGCAAGUGACUUAUUGGAGAUUAUACAUACCGAUAUAUGUGGUCCGAUGAGUGUGGAGGCGCGCGUCGGAUAUGGAUAUCGUUAUUUUCUCACCUUCACUGACGAUUUGACUAGAUAUGGUUAUGUCUACUUGAUGAAGCACAAGUCUGAAACAUUUGAAAAGUUCAAGCAAUUUUAGAGUGAAGUAGAAAAUCAUCAUAACAAGAAGAUCAAGUUCCUACGUUCCGAUCGCGGGGGUGAGUAUCUGAGUUUCGAGUUUGGUACUCACUUGAGACAAUGCGGGAUUGUUUCACAGUUGACACCGCCUGGAACACCACAGCAUAAUGGUGUGUCCGAACGUCGUAAUCGUACUUUACUAGAGAUGGUGCGAUCUAUGAUGUCUCUUACGGAUUUGCCAUUGUCGUUUUGGGGCUAUGCUUUGGAGACAGCUGCAUUCACUUUAAAUAGGGCACCAUCAAAAUCCAUUGAGACGACACCAUAUCAGCUGUUGUAUGGCAAAAGACCAAAAUUAUCGUUUCUUAAAGUUUGGGGAUGUGAUGCUUAUGUGAGGAAGCUUCAGCCUGAAAAGCUGGAACUAAAAGCGGAAAAGUGUGUCUUCAUAGGUUACCCAAAGGAGACAGUUGGGUAUGCCUUCUAUCUCAAAUCCGAAGGCAAAGUGUUUGUUGCUAAGAACGGAGCUUUUCUCGAGAAAGAGUUUCUCUCGAGAGAAUUGAGUGGGAGGAAGAUAGAACUUGAUGAGGUUGUCGAACCUCUCAUCCCUCUGGAUGGUGGCGCAGGGCAAGGGGAAACCCCUGUCGUUGCAACGCCGGUUGAGGAGGAAGUUAAUGAUGAUGAUCAUGAAACUCUGGAUCAAGUUCCUAUCAGACCUCGUAGGUAGAUGAGACCACGUACUGCUCCAGAGUGGUACGGUAAUCCCAUCUUAUCAAUUAUGUUGUUAGACAACAAUGAGCCUGCGAAUUAAGAAGAAGCAAUGGUGGGCCUGGAUUCCAACAAAUGGCUGGAGGCCAUGAAGUCCGGGAUAGGAUCUAUGUAUGAAAACAAAGUGUGGACUUUGGAAGUCCAACCUGAAGGCCGCACGGCUAUUGAGAACAAAUGGAUCUUUAAGAAGAAGACGGACGGUGACGGUAAUGUGACCGUUUAUAAAGCUUGACUUAUGGCAAAGGGUUUUUCACAAGUUCAAGGAGUUGACUACGAUGAGACGUUCUCACCCGUAGCGAUGCUUAAGUCCGUUCGAAUCAUGUUAGCAAUAGCUGCAUUUUUUGAUUAUGAAAUCUGGCAGAUGGAUGUCAAAACGGCGUUCCUUAAAGGAUUCCUUAAGGAAGAGCUGUAUAUGAUGCAACCCGAAGGUUUUAUCGAUCCUAAAAAUGCUAACAAAGUAUGCAAGCUCCAGCGAUCCAUUUAUGGACUGGUGCAAGCAUCUCGGAGUUGGAAUAAGCGCUUUGAUGAGGUCAUCAAAACAUUUGGGUUUAUACAGGUGCUUGGAGAUUCCUGUAUUUACAAAAAAGUGAGUGGGAGCUCUGUGGCGUUCCUAAUAUUAUAUGUGGAUGACAUAUUCCUGAUUGGAAACGGCGUGGAGCUUUUGGAGAGCAUAAAGGAUUACUUGAAUAAAAGUUUCUCAAUGAAGGACCUAGGAGAAGCUGCUUACAUUCUAGGCAUAAAGAUCUAUAGGGAUAGAUCGAGACGCCUGAUAGGACUUUCACAAAGCACGUACCUUGAUAAGCUUUUGAAGAGGUUCAAAACGGAACAGUCCAAGAAGGGGUUCUUGCCAGUUUUACAAGGUACAAGAUUGAGUAAGACUCAGUGCCCAGCAAUUCAUAAAGAUGGAGAGUAUAUGAGUACCGUCCCCUAUGCUUCAGCCAUAGGUUCUAUCAUGUAUGCAAUGUUGUGCACUAGACCGGAUGUUAGCCUGGCCAUAAGUAUGGCGGGAAGGUUCCAUAGUAAUCCAGGAGUGGAUCACUGGACGGCGGUCAAGAAUAUCCUGAAGUACCUGAAAAGGACUAAGGAGAUGUUUCUCGUGUAUGGAGGUGACGAAGAGCUCGCCGUAAAAGGUUACGUCGAUGCAAGCUUUGACACAGAUCCGGACGACUCUAAGUCACAAACCGGAUACGUAUUUAUUAUUAAUGGAGGUGCGUAAGCUAGUGCAGCUCCAAGCAAAGCGUCGUGACUGAUUCUACAUGUGUAGCGGAGUACAUGGCUGCCUCGGAGGCAGCUAAGGAGGGUGUCUGGAUGAAGCAGUUCAUGAUGGAUCUUGGAGUUGUACCGAGCGCACUAAAUCCAAUAACUCUGUUCUGUGACAACACGGGUGCCAUUGCCUUAGCAAAGGAACCACAGUUUCACAAGAAGACCAGACACAUCAAGCGACGCUUCAGCCUCAUUUGCGACUACGUCGAGGAGGAGGACGUGAAUAUCUACAAACUACACACGGAUCUAAAUGUGGCAGACCCGCUGACUAAGCCUCUUCCAUGGGCAAAGCAUGAUCAACACCAGAACUGUAUGGGUGUUAGAUUUAUUACAAUGUAAUUCUCAUGUCGAUGUGAGGACUAGAUUAUUGACUCUAGUGCAAGUGCGAGACUGUUGGAAUUAUGCCCUAGAGGCAAUGAUAAAUAAGUUAUUAUUAUAAUUCCUGUAUCAAGAUAAUCGUUUAUUAUCCAUGCUAUAAUUGUAUUGGAUGAAGACAUGGAUACAUGUGUGGAUACAUAGACAAAACACUAUCCCUAGCAAGCCUCUAGUUGGCUAGCCAGUUGAUCAAGGAUAGUCAAGGUCUUCUGGCUAUAUGCAAGGUGUUGUUGCUUGAUAACUGGAUCACAUCAUUAAGUGAAUCAUGUGAUGGACUAGACCCAAACUAAUGAACGUAGCAUGUUGAUCGUCUCAUUUUGUUGCUACUUUUUUCUGCGUGUCAAGUAUUUAUUCCUAUGACCAUGAGAUCAUAUAACUCACUCGCACCGGAGGAGUGCCUUGUGUGUAUCAAACUUCACAACGUUACUGGGUAACUAUAAAGAUGCUCUACACGUAUCUCCGAAGGUGUCCGUUGAGUUAGUAUGUAUCAAGACUGGGAUUUGUCACUCGGUGUGACGGAGAGGUAUCUCGGGGCCCACUCGGUAAUACAACAUCACACACAAGCCUUGCAAGCAAUGUGACUUAGUGUGAGUCACAUGAUCUUGUAUUACGGAACGAGUAAAGAGACUUGCCGGUUAACGAGAUUGAAAUAGGUAUGCGGAUACCGAUGAUCGAAUCUCGGGAAAGUAACAUACCGAAGGACAAAGGGAAUGACAUACGGGAUUAUAUGAAUCCUUGGCACUGAGGUUCAACCGAUAAGAUCUUCGGAGAAUACGUAGGAUCCAAUAUGGGCAUCCAGGUCCCGCUAUUGGAUAUUGACCGAGGAGUCCCUCAGGUCAUGUCUACAUAAUUCUCGAACCCGCAGGGUCUGCACACUUAAGGUUCAGCGAUGUUUUAUGCGUAUUUGAGUUAUAUGGUUGGUUACCGAAUGUUGUUCGGAGUCCUGGAUGGGAUCACGAACGUCACGAGGGUUUCCGGAAUGGUCCAGAAACGAAGAUUGAUAUAUAGGUUUGUCUCAUUUGGUUACCGGAAGGUUUUCACACAUUACCGGCAUCAUACCGGGAGUGACGAAUGGGUACCGGGUAUUUACCGGGAGGGGGGCAACCCACCCGGGAGUGGCCUAAGGCCUUAGGGGUGGCGCACUAGCCCUUAGUGGGCUGGUGGGACAGCCCAAGAGGGCCUAUGGCGCCACAAGUGGAAAACCAAAGAGAAAAUAAAAAAAGGAAGUGGGAAGGUGGAGAAGGAUUCCACUUUCCAAUCCUAGUAAGACUAGGAUUGGAGGUGGACUCCUCCACCUCCUUGGCUAGCGCACCAAGGGAGGCUUGGCCCUCAGGGCAAGCCUCCCCACCUCUUCCCCUAUAUAUAGUGAAGUUUAGGGCUGAUUUGAGACAACUUUGUCAUGGCAGCCCGACCACAAAGUCCACCGUUUUUCCUCUAGAUCGUAUUUCUGCGGAGCUCGGGCGGAGCCCUACUGGAAUAGAUCAUCACCAACCUCCGGAGCACCGUCACGCUGCCGGAGAACUCAUCUACCUCUCCGUCUCUCUUGCUGGAUCAAGAAGGCCGAGAUCAUCGUCGCGUUGUACGUGUGCUGAACGCGGAGGUGUCGUUUGUUCGGCACUAGAUCGAAUCGUGGGACGAAGAGUAUGACUACGGUGAUUUGAAUCACGCAAGCUGUUCCACUACAUCGUCCGUGUUUCUUAACGCUUACCGCUGUGCGAUCAACAAGGCUACGUAGAUCAGAAAUCUACUCUCGUAGAUGAACAUCACCAUGAUAGGUAUUGCGUGUGCAUAGGAAAUUUUUUGUUUCCCAUGCAACGUUCCCCAACAGUGGCAUCAUGAGCUAGGUUCAUGCGUAGAUGUUAUCUCGAGUAGAACACAAAAGUUUUUGUGGGUGGUGAUGUGCGAUUUGCUGCCCUCCUUAGUCUUUUCUUGAUUCCGCUGUAUUGUUGGAUCAAAGCGGCUCGGACCGACAUUACUCGUAUGCUUACGAGAGACUGGAUUCAUCGUUACGAGCAACCCCGUUGCUCAAAGAUGACUGGCGAGUGUCGGUUUCUCCAACUUUAGUUGAAUCGGAUUUGACCGAGGAGGUCCUUCGAGAGAGGUUAAAUAGCAAUUCAUACAUCUCUAUUGUGGUGAUUGCGUAAGUAAGAUGCGAUCCUACUAGAUACCCAUGGCCACCAUGUAAGACAUGCAACAACAAUUAAAGGACGUUGAUGACCCACAAGGAUAGGGGAUCAAUCGUAGUCCUUUCGAUAAGUAAGAGUGUCUAACCCAACGAGGAGCAGAAGGCCCUGAUAAACGGUUUUCAGCAAGGUAAUAACUACAAGCACUGAAAGUAGCGGUAACAAGUGAUGGUGUAGUGAGGUGAAACAUAGCAAGCGAAAAGUAACAAGUAACAAGUAGUAGCAAUGGUGCAGCAAGGGGCCCAAUCCCUUUUGUAGCAAGGGACAAGCCUGAACAAAGUCUUAUAGGAGGAAAAAUGCUCCCGAGGACACACGGGAAUUUCUGUCAUGCUAGUUUCAUCAUGUUCAUAUGAUUCGCGUUCGUUACUUUGAUAGUUUGAUAUGUGGGUGGACCGCUUGGGUACUGCCCUUACUUGGACAAGCAUCCCACUUAUGAUUAACCUCUCUCGCAAGCAUCCGCAAGUACAAAAGAACAAUUAAGACAACGUCUAACCAUAGCAUUAAACUAGUGGAUCCAAAUCAGCCCCUUACGAAGCAACGCAUAGACUGGGGUUUAAGCUUGUGUCACUCCAGCAACCCAUCAUCUACUUACUACUCCCCAAUGCCUUCCUCUAGGCCCAAAUAUGGUGAAGUGUUAUGUAGUCGACGUCCACAUAACACCACUAGAGGAAAAACAACAUACAACAUAUCAAAAUGCCGAACGAAUAUCAAACUCACAUGACUAUUAUCAGCAUGACUUAUCCCAUGUCCUCAGGAACAGAAGUAACUACUCACAAAGCAUAAUCAUAAUCAUGAUCAGAGGUGUAAUGAAUAGCAUCAAGGAUCUGAACAUAAACUCUUCCACCAAGUAAUCCAACUAGCAUCAACUACAAAGAGUAAUCAACACUACUAGCAACCUUACAAGUACCAAUCGGAGUCGUGAGACGGAGAUUGGUUACAAGAGAUGAACUAGGGACUGGAGAGGAGAUGGUGCUGAUGAAGAUGUUGAUGAAGAUGUCUCCCCUCUGACGAGAGGAGUGUUGGUGAUAACGAUGGCGACGAUUUCCCCCUCCGGGAGGGAAGUUUCCCCGGCAGGAUNNNNNNNNNNNNNNNNNNNNNNNNNNNNNNNNNNNNNNNNNNNNNNNNNNNNNNNNNNNNNNNNNNNNNNNNNNNNNNNNNNNNNNNNNNNNNNNNNNNNGUGGAACGUCCUCACGUCCCUCGAUCCGCCCCGCGAACAAUCCCGCGAUCAGUCCCACGAUCUAGUACCGAACGGACGGCACCUCCGCGUUCAGCACACGUACAGCUCGACGAUGAUCUCGGCCUUCUUGAUCCAGCAAGAGAGACGGAGAGGUAGAAGAGUUCUCCGGCAGCGUGACGGCGCUCCGGAGGUUGGUGAUGACCUUGGGCAGCGUGAUGUCGCUCCGGAGGUUGGUGAUGACCUUGUCUCAGCAGGGCUCCGCCCGAGCUCCGCAGAAACGCGAUCUGGAGGAAAAACCGUGGAGGUAUGUGGUCGGGCUGCCGUGGAAAAGUCGUCUCAAAUCAGCCCUAAAACCUCCAUAUAUAUAGGUGGGAGGGAGGGGACCUUGCCUUGGGGCUCAAGGAGCCCCAAGGGGGUCGGCCGAGUCCAAGGGGGAAGGCUCCCCCCCCCAAACCGAGUUGGACUUGGUUUGGUGGGUGGGAGUCCUUCCUUCCCUUCCCACCUCCUCCUUUUCUUUUCUCUUUGAUUUUCUUUCCUAGGCGCAUAGGGCCCUUUUGGGCUGUCCCACCAGCCCACUAAGGGCUGGUGUGCCACCCUCAAGGCCUAUGGGCUUCCCCGGGGUGGGUUGCCCCCCCCCCCCGUNNNNNNNNNNNNNNNNNNNNNNNNNNNNNNNNNNNNNNNNNNNNNNNNNNNNNNNNNNNNNNNNNNNNNNNNNNNNNNNNNNNNNNNNNNNNNNNNNNNNNNNNNNNNNNNNNNNNNNNNNNNNNNNNNNNNNNNNNNNNNNNNNNNNNNNNNNNNNNNNNNNNNNNNNNNNNNNNNNNNNNNNNNNNNUUCGGUAUGUUACUUGCCCGAGAUUCUAUCGUCAGUAUCCGUAUACCUAUUUCAAUCUCGUUUACCGGCAAGUCUCUUUACUCGUUCCGUAAUACAAGAUCCCGCAACUUACAUUAAGUCACAUUGCUUGCAAGGCUUGUGUGUGAUGUUGUAUUACCGAGUGGGCCCCGAGAUACCUCUCCGUCACACGAAGUGACAAAUCCCAGUCUCGAUCCAUACUAACUGAACGAACACCUUCGGAGAUACCUGUAGAGCAUCUUUAUAGUCACCCAGUUACGUUGCGACGUUUGAUACACACAAAGCAUUCCUCCGGUGUCAGUGAGUUAUAUGAUCUCAUGGUCAUAGGAAUAAAUACUUGACACGCAGAAAACAGUAGCAACAAAAUGACACGAUCAACAUGCUACGUCUAUUAGUUUGGGUCUAGUCCAUCACGUGAUUCUCCUAAUGACGUGAUCCAGUUAUCAAGCAACAACACCUUGUUCAUAAUCAGAAGACCCUGACUAUCUUUGAUCAACUCACUAGCCAACUACAGGCUUGCUAGGGACAGUGUUUUGUCUAUGUAUUCACACAUGUAUAUAAGUCUACAUUCAAUACAAUUAUAGCAUGGAUAAUAAACGAUUAUCAUGAACUAAGAAAUAUAAUAAUAACGAAUUUAUUAUUGCCUCUAUGGCAUAAUUCCAAUAGUCUCCCACUUGCACUAGAGUCAAUAAUCUAGCCCUCACAUCAUCAUGUGAAUUACAUUGUAAUAAAUCUAACACCCAUACAGUUCUGGUGUUGAUCAUGCUUUGGUCGUGGAAGAGGUUUAGUCAGCGGGUCUGCUACAUUCAGAUCCGUGUGCACUUUGCAUAUAUUUACGUCAUCUCCCUCGACGUAGUCGCGGAUGAGGUUGAAGCGUCGUUUGAUGUGUCUGGUCUUCUUGUGAAACCGUGGUUCCUUUGCUAAGGCAAUGGCACCAGUGUUGUCACAGAACAAGGUUAUUGGAUCCAGUGCACUUGGCACCACUCCAAGAUCCGUCAUGAACUGCUUCAUCCAGACACCCUCCUUAGCUGCCUCCGAGGCAACCAUGUACUCCGCUUCACAUGUAGAAUCAGCCGCCUCCGAGGCAGCCAUGUACUCCGCUUCACAUGUAGAAUCUGCUACGACGCUUUGCUUGGAACUGCACCAGCUUAUCGCACCCCCAUUAAGAAUAAAUACGUAUCCGGUUUGCGACUUAGAGUCGUCCGGAUCUGUUUCAAAGCUUGCAUCGACGUAACCUUUUACGGCGAGCUCUUCGUCACCUCCAUACACGAGAAACAUCUCCUUAGUCCUUUUCAGGUACUUUAGGAUAUUCUUGACCGCUGUCCAGUGAUCCACUCCUGGAUUACUCUGGAACCUACCUGCCAUACUUAUGGCCACGCUAACAUCCGGUCUAGUGCACAGCAUUGCAUACAUGAUAGAACCUAUGGCUGAAGCAUAGGGGACGGAGCGCAUAUGCUCUCUAUCUUCAUCAGUUGCUGGGCACUGAGUCUUACUCAAUCUCGUACCUUGUAAAACUGGCAAGAACCCUUUCUUGGACUGUUCCAUUUUGAACCUCUUCAAAACUUUAUCAAGGUAUGUGCUUUGUGAAAGUCCUAUCAGGCGUUUUGAUCUAUCCCUAUAGAUAUUAAUGGCUAGAAUGUAAGCAGCUUCUCCUAGGUCCUUCAUAGAGAAACUCUUAUUCAAGUAAUCCUUUAUGAUCUCUAAAAACUCCACGUUGUUUCCAAUCAGCAAUAUGUCAUCCACAUAUAAUAUUAGAAACGCCACAGAGCUCCCACUCACUUUCUUGUAAAUACAAGAUUCUCCAACCACUUGUAUAAACCCAAAUGCUUUGAUCACCUCAUCAAAGCGUUUGUUCCAACUCCGAGAUGCUUGCACCAGUCCAUAAAUGGAUCGCUGGAGCUUGCACACCUUGUUAGCAUUCUUAGGAUUGACAAAACCUUCGGGUUGUAUCAUUUACAACUCUUCCUUAAGGAAACCGUUAAGGAACGCCGUUUUGACAUCCAUCUGCCAGAUUUCAUAAUCGAAAAAUGCAGCUAUUGCUAACAUGAUUCUGACGGACUUAAGCAUCGCUACGGGUGAGAAUGUCUCAUCGUAGUCAACUCCUUGAACUUGUGAAAAACCCUUUGCCACAAGUCGAGCUUUAUAAACGGUCACAUUGCCGUCAGCGUCCGUCUUCCUCUUAAAGAUCCAUUUGUUCUGAAUAGCCUUGCGGCCCUCAGGUAGUACCUCCAAAGUCCACACUUUGUUCUCAUACAUGGAUCCUAUCUCGGACUUCAUGGCUUCUAGCCAUUUGUUGGAAUCUGGGUCCACCAUUGCUUCUUCAUAAUUUGCAGGUUCAUUGUUGUCUAACAACAUGAUUGAUAAGACGUGAUUACCGUACCACUCUGGAGCAGCACGUGGUCUCGUCGACCUGCGUGGUUCGACAGAAACUUGAACUGGAGUUUCAUGAUCAUCAUCAUUAACUUCCUCCUCAACCGGUGUCGCAACGACAGAGGUUUCCCCUUGCCCUGCGCCACCAUCCAGAGGGAUGAGAGGGUCGACAACCUCAUCAAGUUCUAUCUUCCUCCCACUCAAUUCUCUCGAGAGAAACUCCUUCUCGAGAAAAGCUCCGUUUUUAGCAACAAACACUUUGCCCUCGGAUUUGAGAUAGAAGGUGUACCCAACUGUCUCUUUUGGGUAACCUAUGAAGACGCACUUUUCCGCUUUGGGUUCCAGCUUUUCAGGCUGAAUCUUUUUUACAUAAGCAUCACAUCCCCAAACUUUAAGAAGCGACAACUUUGGCCUUUUGCCAUACCACAGUUCGUAUGGUGUCGUCUCAACGGAUUUUGAUGGUGCCCUAUUUAAAGUGAAUGCAGCUGUUUCUAAUGCAUAACCCCAAAACGAUAACGGCAGAUCAGUAAGAGACAUCAUAGAUCGCACCAUCUCUAAUAGAGUACGAUUACGACGUUCGGACACACCAUUACGCUGUGGUGUUCCAGGCGGUGUUAACUGUGAAACAAUUCCACAUUGUCUUAAGUGAGUAACAAACUCGAAACUCAGAUAUUCACCCCCACGAUCAGACCGUAGGAACUUGAUCUUCUUGUUACGAUGAUUUUCCACUUCACUCUGAAAUUGCUUGAACUUUUCAAAUGUUUCAGACUUGUGCUUCAUCUAGUAGACAUAACCAUAUCUACUCAAAUCGUUGGUGAAGGUGAGAAAAUAACGAUAUCCGCCACGUGCCUCCACGCUCAUCGGACCACACACAUCGGUAUGUAUGAUUUCCAACAAGUCACUUGCACGCUCCGUUGUUCCGGAGAACGGAGUCUUAGUCAUCUUGCCCAUGAGGCAUGGUUCGCAUGUGUCAAGUGAAUCAAAGUCAAGUGACUCCAAAAGUCCAUCAGCAUGGAGUUCCUUCAUGCGCUUUACACCAAUAUGACCUAAGCGGCAGUGCCACAAAAAUAUGGCGCUAUCAUUGUUAACUCUAACUCUUUUGGUCUCAAUGUUAUGUAUAUGCGUAUCGCUAUCAAGAUUCAAUAUGAACAAUCCUCUCACAUUAGGUGCAUGACCAUAAAAGAUGUUACUCAUAGAAAUAGAACAACCAUUAUUCUCUGACUUAAAAGAGUAACCGUCUCGCAAUAAACAAGAUCCAGAUAUAAUGUUCAUGCUCAACGCAGGCACUAAAUAACAAUGAUCUAAGUUCAUCACUAAUACUGAUGGUAACUGAAGUGAAACUGUGCCGACGGCGAUUGCAUCAACCUUGGAACCAUUUCCUACGUGCAUCGUCAAUUCAUCUUUCGCCAGCCUUCGUCUAUUCCGCAGUUCCUGUUUCGAGUUGCAAAUAUGAGCAACAGAACCGGUAUCGAAUACCCAGGCACUACUACGAGAGCCGGUUAAGUACACAUCAAUAACAUGUAUAUCAAAUAUACCUGAUUUUUCUUUGGCCGCCUUCUUAUCUGCCAGAUACUUGGGGCAAUUGCGCUUCCAGUGACCCAUACCCUUGCAAUAGUAACACUCCGUUUCAGGCUUAGGUCCAGCUUUGGGUUUCUUCGUUGGAUUGGCAACAGGCUUGCCGCUCUUCUUCGAAUUACCCUUCUUGCCUUUGCCGUUUCUCUUGAAACUAGUGGUCUUAUUCACCAUCAACACUUGAUGCUCUUUACGGAGUUCAGACUCUGCGACUUUCAGCAUCGCAAACAACUCGCCGGGAGACUUGUUCAUCCCUUGCAUGUUGUAGUUCAACACAAAGCCUUUAUAGCUUGGCGGCAGUGAUUGAAGGAUUCUGUCAGUGAUAGCCUCUUGCGGGAGUUCAAUCCCCAGCCCAGCUAGACGGUUUGAGUACCCCAGACAUUUUGAGCACAUGUUCACUGACAGACGAGUUUUCCUCCAUCUUGCAAGCAUAGAAUUUAUCGGAGGUCUCAUACCUCUCGAUCCGGGCGUUCUUCUGAAAGAUAAACUUCAACUCCUGGAACAUCUCAAAUGCUCCAUGACGCUCAAAGCGACGUUGAAAUCCCGGUUCUAAGCCAUACAAGACUGCACAUUGAACUAUUGAGUAGUCCUCCUUACGUGCUAACCAAGCGUUCUUAACAUCCUGAUCAGCCGUAGCGGGUGGUUCAUCUCCUAGCGCAGCAUUAAGGACAUAAUCCUUCUUCCCAGCUUGUAAUAUUAGCUUAAGAUUACGAGCCUAGUCUACAAAGUUGCUUCCAUCAUCUUUCAACUUAGCUUUCUCUAGGAACGUAUUAAAAUUCAGGAUGACUGUAGCGUGAGCCAUGAUCUACAACACAAAUAUAUUCAAAGUGGACUUAGACUAUGUUCAAGAUAAUUAGAGUUUAACUUAAUCAAAUUAUUCGCUAAACUCCCACUCAAAAAGUACAUCUCUCUAGUCAUUUGAGUGGUUCAUGAUCCACUUAUACUAGCUCAAGUCCGAUCAUCACGUGAGUUGAGUAUAGUUUCAGUGGUAAGCAUCCCUAUGCUAAUCAUAUCAUCUAUAUGAUUCAUGAUCGACCUUUCGGUCUCAUGUGUUCCGAGGCCAUGUCUGCACAUGCUAGGCUCGUCAAGCUUAACCCGAGUGUUCCGCGUGCGCAACUGUUUUGCACCCGUUGUAUGUGAACGUUGAGUCUAUCAUACCCGAUCAUCACGUGGUGUCUGGAAACGACGAACUGUAGCAACGGUGCACAGUCGGGGAGAACACACUUUCAUCGUGAAAUUUUAGUGAGAGAUCACCUCAUAAUGCUACCGUCGUUCUAAGAAAAAUAAGGUGCAUGAAAGGAUUAACAUCACAUGCAAUUCAUAAGUGACAUGAUAUGGCCAUCAUCACGUGCUUCUUGAUCUCCAUCACCAAAGCACCGGCACGAUCUUCUUGUCACCAGUGCCACACCAUGAUCUCCAUCAACGUGUUGCCAUCGGGGUUGUCGUGCUACUCAUGCUAUUACUACUAAAGCUACAUCCUAGCAAAAUAGUAAACGCAUCUGCAAGCACAAACGUUAAUAUAAAGACAACCCUAUGGCUCCUGCCGGUUGCCGUACCAUCGACGUGCAAGUCGAUAUUUACUAUUACAAUAUGAUCAUCUCAUACAUCCAAUAUAUCACAUCACAUCGUUGGCCAUAUCACAUCACAAGCAUACCCUGCAAAAACAAGUUAGACGUCCUCUAAUUUUGUUGUUGCAUGUUUUACGUGGUGACCAUGGGUAUCUAGUAGGAUCGCAUCUUACUUACGCAAGCACCACAACGGAGAUAUAUUAGUUGCUAUUUAACCUCAUCCAAGGACCUCCUCGGUCAAAUCCGAUUCAACUAAAGUUGGAGAAACCGACACUUGCCAGUCAUCUUUGAGCAACGGGGUUACUCGUAGCGAUGAAACCAGUCUCUCGUAAGCGUACGAGUAAUGUCGGUCCAAGCCGCUUCAAUCCAACAAUACCGCGGAAUCAAGAAAAGACUAAGGAGGGCAGCAAAACGCACAUCACCGCCCACAAAAACUUUUGUGUUCUACUCGAGAAGACAUCUACGCAUGAACCUAGCUCAUGAUGCCACUGUUGGGGAACGUCGCAUGGGAAACAAAAAAUUUCCUACGCGCACGAAGACCUAUCAUGGUGAUGUCCAUCUACGAGAGGGGAUGAGUGAUCUACGUACCCUUGUAGAUCGUAUAGCAGAAGCGUUGGUGAACGCGGUUGAUGUAGUGGAACGUCCUCACGUCCCUCGAUCCGCCCCGCGAACAAUCCCGCGAUCAGUCCCACGAUCUAGUACCGAACGGACGGCACCUCCGCGUUCAGCACACGUACAGCUCGACGAUGAUCUUGGCCUUCUUGAUCCAGCAAGAGAGACGGAGAGGUAGAAGAGUUCUCCGGCAGCGUGACGGCGCUCCGGAGGUUGGUGAUGACCUUGUCUCAGCAGGGCUCCGCCCGAGCUCCGCAGAAACGCGAUCUGGAGGAAAAACCGUGGAGGUAUGUGGUCGGGCUGCCGUGGAAAAGUCGUCUCAAAUCAGCCCUAAAACCUCCAUAUAUAUAGGUGGGAGGGAGGGGACCUUGCCUUGGGGCUCAAGGAGCCCCAAGGGGGUCGGCCGAGCCAAGGGGGGAAGGUCUCCCCCCCCAAACNNNNNNNNNNNNNNNNNNNNNNNNNNNNNNNNNNNNNNNNNNNNNNNNNNNNNNNNNNNNNNNNNNNNNNNNNNNNNNNNNNNNNNNNNNNNNNNNNNNNNNNNNNNNNNNNNNNNNNNNNNNNNNNNNNNNNNNNNNNNNNNNNNNNNNNNNNNNNNNNNNNNNNNNNNNNNNNNNNNNNNNNNNNNNNNNNNNNNNNNNNNNNNNNNNNNNNNNNNNNNNNNNNNNNNNNNNNNNNNNNNNNNNNNNNNNNNNNNNNNNNNNNNNNNNNNNNNNNNNNNNNNNNNNNNNNNNNNNNNNNNNNCUCCCGGUACACUAUCGAUGAGCCCAAAACUUUUCCGGUAAUGCCCGAAAACUUUCCGGUAACCAAAUGAGGUCAUCCUAUAUAUCAAUCUUCGUUUCCGGGCCAUUCCGGAAACCCUCGUGACGUCCGUGAUCUCAUCCGGGACUCCGAACAACAUUCGGUAACCAACCAUAUAACUCAAAUACGCAUAAAACAACGUCGAACCUUAAGUGUUCAGACCCUGCGGGUUCGAGAACUAUGUAGACAUGACCCGAGAGACUCCUCGGUCAAUAUCCAAUAGCGGGACCUGGAUGCCCAUAUUGGAUCCUACAUAUUCUAUGAAGAUCUUAUCGUUUGAACCUCAGUGCCAAGGAUUCAUAUAAUCCCGUAUGUCAUUCCCUUUGUCCUUCGGUAUGUUACUUGCCCGAGAUUCGAUCGUCAGUAUCCGCAUACCUAUUUCAAUCUCGUUCACCGGCAAGUCUCUUUACUCGUUCCGUAAUACAAGAUCCCGCAACUUUCACUAAGUCACACUGCUUGCAAGGCUUGUGUGUGAUGUUGUAUUACCGAGUGGGCCCCGAGAUACCUCUCCGUCACACGGAGUGACAAAUCCCAGUCUUGAUCCAUACUAACUCAACUAACACCUUCGGAGAUACCUGUAGAGCAUCUUUAUAGUCACCCAGUUACGUUGCGACGUUUGAUACACACAAAGCAUUCCUCCGGUGUCACUGAGUUAUAUGAUCUCAUGGUCAUAGGAAUAAAUACUUGACACGCAGAAAACAGUAGCAACAAAAUGACACGAUCAACAUGCUACGUCUAUUAGUUUGGGUCUAGUCCAUCACGUGAUUCUCCUAAUGACGUGAUCCAGUUAUCAAGCAACAACACUUUGUUCAUAAUCAGAAGACACUGACUAUCUUUGAUCAACUGGCUAGCCAACUAGAGGCUUGCUAGGGACGGGGUUUUGUCUAUGUAUCCACAAAUGUAAAUGAGUCUUCAUUCAAUACAAUUAUAGCAUGGAUAAUAAACGAUUAUCUUGAUACAGGAAUUAUAAUAAUAACUAUAUNNNNNNNNNNNNNNNNNNNNNNNNNNNNNNNNNNNNNNNNNNNNNNNNNNNNNNNNNNNNNNNNNNNNNNNNNNNNNNNNNNNNNNNNNNNNNNNNNNNNAGAGAGACGGAGAGGUAGAUGAGUUCUCCGGCAGCGUGACGGCGCUCCGGAGGUUGGUGAUGAUCUAUUCCAGCAAGGCUCCGCCCGAGCUCCGCGGAAAUACGAUCUAGAGGAAAAAACGGUGGAGUUUGUGGUCGGGCUGCCAUGGCAUAGUUGUCUCAAAUCAGCCCAAAACUCCACUAUAUAUAGGGGAAGAGGUGGGGAUGCUUGCCUUGAGGGCCAAGCCUCCCUUGGUGCACCGGCCAAGGAGGUGGAGGAGUCCACCUCCAAUCCUAGUCUUACUAGGAUUGGAAAGUUGAGUCCUUCUCCACCUGCCCACUUCCUUUUUUUUCUUUUCUCUUUGGUUUUCCACUUGUGGCACCAUAGGCCCUCUUGGGCUGUCCCACCAGCCCACUAAGGGCUGGUGCGCCACCCCUAAAGCCUUGGGCCACUCCCGGGUGGGUUGCCCCCCUCUUGGUAAAUACCCGGAGCCCAUUCGUCACUCCCGGUACGAUGCGAGUAAUGCGCGAAAACCUUCCGGUAACCAAAUGAGACAAACCUAUAUAUCAAUCUUCGUUUCCAGACCAUUCCGGAAACCCUCAUGACGUCCAUGAUCCCAUCUGGGACUCCGAACAACAUUCGUUAACCAACCAUAUAACUCAAAUACGCAUAAAACAUCGCCGAACUUUAAGUGUGCAGACCCUGCGGGAUCGAGAACUAUGUAGACAUGACCCGAGGGACUCCUCGGUCAAUAGCCAAUAUUCGGACCUGGAUGUCCAUAUUGGAUCCUACAUAUUCUCCGAAGAUCUUAUCGGCUGAACCUCAGUGCCAAGGAUUCAUAUAAUCCCGUAUGGCAUUCCCUUUGUCCUUCGGUAUGUUACUUGCCCGAGAUUCGGUCGUCGGUAUCCGCACACCUAUUUCAAUCUCGUUAACCGGAAAGUCUCUUUACUCGUUCCGCAAUACAAGAUCCCGUGACUUACACUAAGUGACAUUGCUUGCAAGGCUUGUGUGUGAUGUUGUAUUACCGAGUGGGCCCCGAGAUACCUCUCCGUCACAUGGAGUGACAAAUCCCAAACUUGAUCCAUACUAACUCAACGGGCACCUUCGGAGAUACCUAUAGAGCAUCUUUAUAGUCACCCAGUAAGGUUUUGACGUUUGAUACACACAAGGCACUCCUCCGGUGCCAGUGAGUUAUAUGAUCUCAUGGUCAUAGGAAUAAAUACUUGACACGCACAAAACAGUAGCAGCAAAAUGACACUAUAAACAUGCUACGUUCAUUAGUUUGGGUCUAGUCCAUCACAUGAUUCACUNNNNNNNNNNNNNNNNNNNNNNNNNNNNNNNNNNNNNNNNNNNNNNNNNNNNNNNNNNNNNNNNNNNNNNNNNNNNNNNNNNNNNNNNNNNNNNNNNNNNAGUGAAUCAUGUGAUGGACUAGACCCAAACUAAUGAACGUAGCAUGUUGAUCGUCUCAUUUUGUUGCUACUUUUUUCUGCGUGUCAAGUAUUUAUUCCUAUGACCAUGAGAUCAUAUAACUCACUCGCACCGGAGGAGUGCCUUGUGUGUAUCAAACUUCACAACGUUACUGGGUAACUAUAAAGAUGCUCUACACGUAUCUCCGAAGGUGUCCGUUGAGUUAGUAUGUAUCAAGACUGGGAUUUGUCACUCGGUGUGACGGAGAGGUAUCUCGGGGCCCACUCGGUAAUACAACAUCACACACAAGCCUUGCAAGCAAUGUGACUUAGUGUGAGUCACAUGAUCUUGUAUUACGGAACGAGUAAAGAGACUUGCCGGUUAACGAGAUUGAAAUAGGUAUGCGGAUACCGAUGAUCGAAUCUCGGGAAAGUAACAUACCGAAGGACAAAGGGAAUGACAUACGGGAUUAUAUGAAUCCUUGGCACUGAGGUUCAACCGAUAAGAUCUUCGGAGAAUACGUAGGAUCCAAUAUGGGCAUCCAGGUCCCGCUAUUGGAUAUUGACCGANNNNNNNNNNCCUCAGGUCAUGUCUACAUAAUUCUCGAACCCGCAGGGUCUGCACACUUAAGGUUCAGCGAUGUUUUAUGCGUAUUUGAGUUAUAUGGUUGGUUACCGAAUGUUGUUCGGAGUCCUGGAUGGGAUCACGAACGUCACGAGGGUUUCCGGAAUGGUCCAGAAACGAAGAUUGAUAUAUAGGUUUGUCUCAUUUGGUUACCGGAAGGUNNNNNNNNNNACACAUUACCGGCAUCAUACCGGGAGUGACGAAUGGGUACCGGGUAUUUACCGGGAGGGGGGCAACCCACCCGGGAGUGGCCUAAGGCCUUAGGGGUGGCGCACUAGCCCUUAGUGGGCUGGUGGGACAGCCCAAGAGGGCCUAUGGCGCCACAAGUGGAAAACCAAAGAGAAAAUAAAAAAAGGAAGUGGGAAGGUGGAGAAGGAUUCCACUUUCCAAUCCUAGUAAGACUAGGAUUGGAGGUGGACUCCUCCACCUCCUUGGCUAGCGCACCAAGGGAGGCUUGGCCCUCAGGGCAAGCCUCCCCACCUCUUCCCCUAUAUAUAGUGAAGUUUAGGGCUGAUUUGAGACAACUUUGUCAUGGCAGCCCGACCACAAAGUCCACCGUUUUUCCUCUAGAUCGUAUUUCUGCGGAGCUCGGGCGGAGCCCUACUGGAAUAGAUCAUCACCAACCUCCGGAGCACCGUCACGCUGCCGGAGAACUCAUCUACCUCUCCGUCUCUCUUGCUGGAUCAAGAAGGCCGAGAUCAUCGUCGCGUUGUACGUGUGCUGAACGCGGAGGUGUCGUUUGUUCGGCACUAGAUCGAAUCGUGGGACGAAGAGUAUGACUACGGUGAUUUGAAUCACGCAAGCUGUUCCACUACAUCGUCCGUGUUUCUUAACGCUUACCGCUGUGCGAUCAACAAGGCUACGUAGAUCAGAAAUCUACUCUCGUAGAUGAACAUCACCAUGAUAGGUAUUGCGUGUGCAUAGGAAAUUUUUUGUUUCCCAUGCAACGUUCCCCAACAGUGGCAUCAUGAGCUAGGUUCAUGCGUAGAUGUUAUCUCGAGUAGAACACAAAAGUUUUUGUGGGUGGUGAUGUGCGAUUUGCUGCCCUCCUUAGUCUUUUCUUGAUUCCGCUGUAUUGUUGGAUCAAAGCGGCUCGGACCGACAUUACUCGUAUGCUUACGAGAGACUGGAUUCAUCGUUACGAGCAACCCCGUUGCUCAAAGAUGACUGGCGAGUGUCGGUUUCUCCAACUUUAGUUGAAUCGGAUUUGACCGAGGAGGUCCUUCGAGAGAGGUUAAAUAGCAAUUCAUACAUCUCUAUUGUGGUGAUUGCGUAAGUAAGAUGCGAUCCUACUAGAUACCCAUGGCCACCAUGUAAGACAUGCAACAACAAUUAAAGGACGUUGAUGACCCACAAGGAUAGGGGAUCAAUCGUAGUCCUUUCGAUAAGUAAGAGUGUCUAACCCAACGAGGAGCAGAAGGCCCUGAUAAACGGUUUUCAGCAAGGUAAUAACUACAAGCACUGAAAGUAGCGGUAACAAGUGAUGGUGUAGUGAGGUGAAACAUAGCAAGCGAAAAGUAACAAGUAACAAGUAGUAGCAAUGGUGCAGCAAGGGGCCCAAUCCCUUUUGUAGCAAGGGACAAGCCUGAACAAAGUCUUAUAGGAGGAAAAAUGCUCCCGAGGACACACGGGAAUUUCUGUCAUGCUAGUUUCAUCAUGUUCAUAUGAUUCGCGUUCGUUACUUUGAUAGUUUGAUAUGUGGGUGGACCGCUUGGGUACUGCCCUUACUUGGACAAGCAUCCCACUUAUGAUUAACCUCUCUCGCAAGCAUCCGCAAGUACAAAAGAACAAUUAAGACAACGUCUAACCAUAGCAUUAAACUAGUGGAUCCAAAUCAGCCCCUUACGAAGCAACGCAUAGACUGGGGUUUAAGCUUGUGUCACUCCAGCAACCCAUCAUCUACUUACUACUCCCCAAUGCCUUCCUCUAGGCCCAAAUAUGGUGAAGUGUUAUGUAGUCGACGUCCACAUAACACCACUAGAGGAAAAACAACAUACAACAUAUCAAAAUGCCGAACGAAUAUCAAACUCACAUGACUAUUAUCAGCAUGACUUAUCCCAUGUCCUCAGGAACAGAAGUAACUACUCACAAAGCAUAAUCAUAAUCAUGAUCAGAGGUGUAAUGAAUAGCAUCAAGGAUCUGAACAUAAACUCUUCCACCAAGUAAUCCAACUAGCAUCAACUACAAAGAGUAAUCAACACUACUAGCAACCUUACAAGUACCAAUCGGAGUCGUGAGACGGAGAUUGGUUACAAGAGAUGAACUAGGGACUGGAGAGGAGAUGGUGCUGAUGAAGAUGUUGAUGAAGAUGUCUCCCCUCUGACGAGAGGAGUGUUGGUGAUAACGAUGGCGACGAUUUCCCCCUCCGGGAGGGAAGUUUCCCCGGCAGGAUCGUCCUGCCGGAGCUCUAGAUUGGAUCUGCUCAAGUUCCGCCUCGUGGCGGCGGCGAAACCACGAAAAAGCUCCCGACUGAUUUUUUCUGGAACGAAACCCUUCAUAUAGCAAAAGAGGGGGGCCAGUGGGCCGUNNNNNNNNNNNNNNNNNNNNNNNNNNNNNNNNNNNNNNNNNNNNNNNNNNNNNNNNNNNNNNNNNNNNNNNNNNNNNNNNNNNNNNNNNNNNNNNNNNNNUAUGGAGUCUCACCAAUUUUGAGCUCCAAAGGACAAGUUUAAGUUUGCAAACUUGAAAAUACUCCAGUAUGACCAUAUCGGUCCCUUCGAAAGGGAGUGUGGUCAAACUAAGUCCCACAAAUCCCAUUUUUGAUGUGGAACCCUCAUUUGAGGUAUUCAGUAGCAGUGGGACAAACUCGUAGGCAAUGGAUCGGUGAUUUGUUGGAUGAGAUUCAUCAUGCAAUAGUUAUAACACAGAGAGAUAUGUGGCUAGCUCCCGAUCGUCAAUGUGAUGUAGGCAUGCAUUCCGUGUGUAGUCAUACGUGCUUAGGGAAAAGAACUUGCAUGACAUCUAUUGUCCAUCCCUCCCGUGGCAGCGGGGUCCAAAUGGAUACUACGGGAUAUUAAGGUUCUCCUUUUAAUAAAGAACCAGACCAACACAUUAGCACUUGGUGAACACAUGAACUCCUCAAACUAUGGUCAUCACCGGGAGUGGUUCCGGUUAUUGUCACUCCGGGGUUGCCGAAUCAUAACACAUAGUAGGUAACUACAACUUGCAAGAUCGGAUCUAAAANNNNNNNNNNGGACUAACGCAUUAGCACUUGGUGAACACAUGAACUCCUCAAACUAUGGUCAUCAUCGGGAGUGGUUCCGGUUAUUGUCACUCCGGGGUUGCCGGAUCAUAACACAUAGUAGGUAACUACAACUUGCAAGAUCGGAUCUAAAACACACAUAUAUUAGAGACAACAUAAUAAGUUCAGAUCUGAAAUCAUGGCACUCGGGCCCUAGUGACAAGCAUUAAGCAUGGCAAAGUAGUAGNNNNNNNNNNNNNNNNNNAAUUGGUGACAACAUAAAAAGUUCAGAUCUGAAAUUAUGGCACUCGGGCCCUAGUGACAAGCAUUAAGCAUGGCAAAGUAGUAGCAACAUCAAUCUCAGAACAUAGUGGAUACUAGGGAUCAAUCCCCGUCAAAACUAACUCGAUUACAUGAUAGAUCUCAUCCUACUCAUCACCGCCCAGCGAGCCUACGAAUAGAUUACUCACGAACGAUGAAGAGCUUCUUGGAAUUGGAGAGGGAAGAAGGUUGGUGAUGAUGAUGGCGACAAACUCCUUGAUCCGGAGCCCAAAACGGACUCCAGAUCUGCCCUCCAGGGCAAGAACGGGAUGUGGCGGCGCCUCUGGAUCGUGAAACGCGAUGAACUCUNNNNNNNNNNAUGGAAUUGGAGAGGGAAGAAGGUUGGUGAUGACGAUGGCGACGAUCUCCUUGAUCCGGAGCCCAAAACGGACUCCAGAUCUGCCCUCCAGGGCGAGAACGGGAUGUGGCGGCGCCUCUGGAUCGUGAAACGCGAUGAACUCUUCUCUCUUUAUUUUUUCCGGGACGAAAGGGAAUAAAUAGUGCUGGAAUUGGGGGCGGCAGAGCCACGUGGGCUCCACAAGCCUGGUAGCCGCGGCCAGGGGGAGGCCGCGGCUACAGGGCUUGUGGCCCACUGGCCCGUCCCCUCCGGUGGAUCUUUGCGCAGGUAUUUUUCAUAUUUUCCAAAAAUAUUCUCCGUAAAUUUUCAGGAUGUUCCGAGAACUUUCAUUUCUGCACAAAAACAACACCAUGGCAAUUGUGCUGAAAACACCGUCAGUCCGGGUUAGUUCCAUUCAAAUCAUGCAAAUUAGAGUCCAAAACAAGGGCAAAAGAGUUUGGAAAAGUAGAUACAAUGGAGACGUAUCAAUGUCCUACUAGAAGUAGGAUUGGAGGAGGACUCCUCCUCUCCACCCACUUCGGCCGACCCAAAGGUGCAACCCUACGGCCAGUGGCCUCCCUCCUCUCCUCCUAUAUAUACUAGAGAUUUUGAGGGUUUUGAGACACAACAAUAAUCAGCCACGUGCGGCCCUCGAUCUAGAUCCGUUUAUCCUUUAGUCUAGUUUUCAGCGGUGCUUAGGCGAAGCCUUGCUAGACUAGCUCCACCACCAUCGCCGUCAUGCCGCCACGCUGUCGGAGAACUCACACUACAGGAAUCAGAAAUUUUGCCGUCUACCAUAACAGACGGCAAAGAGGUGUUCCACCAAGGGCAAAGGUCUUUGCCGUCUGCCUCCUGUCGGCAAAGUUCCUACGACAACUUUCGACGGCAAAUUACCUUCUUUGCCGUCUGUUUGCACUAAGCGGAUGGCAGAGAUCUUUUGAGUCUGCCUUUGACACAUAGCAGAUAGCAAAGAUCUUUAGACGGCAGCCGACAGGCAACUCCUCCGUUAGGGGCUAACGAAGGCUCUUUUCCGUCUGCCUCGCUCAUCUUCUUUGUCGUCUGCUCCCUCACGCUUUGUGUUGUCUGCUCUAUUUCUUUGCCUGUCUGCCUCCCUCAAGCUCUGUGUCGUCCGCCAGUGCGGGGUAGCAGACGACAAAGAGCCUAUAUGGGCCAGCUACUGCUUCCCCAGGUUGCACAGCUGGGUGCCACGUGGCACCUUUACCGUGUGCUGGCUGAUGGCAAAGGCCUUUGCCAUCAGCCAACAGACGACAAAGAGCCCAUAUUGUCACAAUUUUGUUUAUUUUUUGUUAUUUCACAACACACACACACAUAUAUAUAUAUAUAAUUAUAUAUAAUUCAUAUCACAUAUAUGAUAUAUAGGUCACAACACAUAUAUGAUAUACAUAUAAAGUUCAUCAAUGCCAUUUGUUCAUCAAUGUACAUCCCAUAUAUCGAAAGAACCAACAUAUACAAAGUUUCAUCCAUAUAUACAUGUACAUAUAGUUCCAUAUAUAUUGUUCAUCCAUAUAUACAUAUACAUAUAGUUCCACAUUGUUCAUCAACUCAAAUGAAAACUAGAACUAAAGCACUCCAUCAAUGCCAGCUUCCAUGCAUGUAGUAUAUCCAAUCUGCAAAAUUGGAAUAAGAAAGUCAAAAGAAGAAGAACAACAACAUAUGAUGUUUUUAGCUUAUUAUGUUAUUGUGGAGGAAAAUAAGCUAAGUAUAUGACCUUUUUGAGCUAACCAAGGUUAUUAUGCCAUUUUUGAUAUAACUAAGCUAAUUACGUCAAUUUGGAUGGAAAUAAGCUAACUAUGUGACAUUUAUGAGGUAACAAAGGUUCUUAUGCGAUUUUUGACCUAACUAAGCUAAUUAUGUCAUUUUAUAGGAAAACAAGCUAAGUAUAUAAUAUUCAUGAGCUAACCAUGGUUCUUAUGCCAUUUUGAGCUUAUUAUGUCAUUUUGGAGCUAAAUUNNNNNNNNNNNNNNNNNNNNNNNNNNNNNNNNNNNNNNNNNNNNNNNNNNNNNNNNNNNNNNNNNNNNNNNNNNNNNNNNNNNNNNNNNNNNNNNNNNNNUUUUCUCUUUGAUUUUCUUCCUAUGGCGCAUAGGGCCUUCUUGGGCUGUCCCACCAGCCCACUAAGGGCUGGUGCGCCACCCCCAAGGCCUAUGGGCUUCCCCGGGGUGGGUUGCCCCCCCGGUGAACACCCGGAACCCAUUCCUCAUUCCCGGUACAUUCCCGGUAACUCCGAAAACCUUCCGGUAAUCAAAUGAGGUCAUCCUAUAUAUCAAUCUUCGUUUCCGGGCCAUUCCGGAAACCCUCGUGACGUCCGUGAUCUCAUCCGGGACUCCGAACAACAUUCGGUAACCAACCAUAUAACUCAAAUNNNNNNNNNNUCUCUUUGAUUUUCUUCCAAUGGCGCAUAGGGCCUUCUUGGGCUGUCCCACCAGCCCACUAAGGGUUGGUGCGCCACCCCCAAGGCCUAUGGGCUUCCCCGGGGUGGGUUGCCCNNNNNNNNNNUGUCGAACCUUAAGUGUGUAGACCCUUCGGGUUCGAGAACUAUGUAGACAUGACCCGAGUGACUCCUCGGUCAAUAUCCAAUAGCGGGACCUGGAUGCCCAUAUUGGAUCCUACAUAUUCUACGGAGAUCUUAUCGUUUGAACCUCAGUGCCAAGGAUUCAUAUAAUCCCGUAUGUCAUUCCCUUNNNNNNNNNNNNNNNNNNNNNNNNNNNNNNNNNNNNNNNNNNNACAUUCCCGGUAACUCCGAAAACCUUCCUGUAAUCAAAUGAGGUCAUCCUAUAUAUCAAUCUUCAUUUCUGGAGCAUUCCGGAAACCCUCGUGACGUCCGUGAUCUCAUCCAGGACUCCGAACAACAUUCGGUAACCAACCAUAUAACUCAAAUACGCAUAAAACAACGUCGAACCUUAAGUGUGCAGACCCUGCGGGUUCGAGAACUAUGUAAACAUAACCCGAGUGACUCCUCGGUCAAUAUCCAAUAGCGGGACCUGGAUGCCCNNNNNNNNNNNNNNNNNNNNNNNNNNNNNNNNNNNNNNNNNNNNNNNNNNNNNNNNNNNNNNNNNNNNNNNNNNNNNNNNNNNNNNNNNNNNNNNNNNNNNNNNNNNNNNNNNNNNNNNNNNNNNNNNNNNNNNNNNNNNNNNNNNNNNNNNNNNNNNNNNNNNNNNNNNNNNNNNNNNNNNNNNNNNNNNNNNNNNNNNNNNNNNNNNNNNGCCCGAGAUUCGAUCGUCAGUAUCCGUAUACCUAUUUCAAUAUCGUUUACCGGCAAGUCUCUUUACUCGUUCCGUAAUACAAGAUCCCGCAACUUACAUUAAGUCACAUUGCUUGCAAGGCUUGUGUGUGAUGUUGUAUUACCGAGUGGGCCCCGAGAUACCUCUCCGUCACACGAAGUGACAAAUCCCAGUCUCGAUCCAUACUAACUGAACGAACACCUUCGGAGAUACCUGUAGAGCAUCUUUACAGUCACCUAGUUACGUUGCGACGUUUGAUACACACAAAGCAUUCCUCCGGUGUCAGNNNNNNNNNNNNNNNNNNNNNNNNNNNNNNNNNNNNNNNNNNNNNNNNNNNNNNNNNNNNNNNNNNNNNNNNNNNNNNNNNNNNNNNNNNNNNNNNNNNNAUAGUAAGCCUUCAUGGAGUUCCCAAGGAGAUUGUAUCUGACCGAGGCACGCAAUUCACCUCAAGGUUUUGGAGGAAACUUCAAGAGGCCCUCGGUACCAAGCUCUGUUUUAGCACCGCCUUCCACCCGCAAACGGGAGGACAGACGGAAAGGGUGAAUCAGAUACUCGAAGAUAUGCUCCGCGCAUGCGUCCUAGCGCACGGAGCCAAAUGGGAAGACUGUCUGCCGUUUGCUGAGUUUUCGUACAACAACAGCUACCAGUCCAGUCUCUAGAUGGCCCCGUUCGAAGUACUGUACGGAAGGAAAUGCCGCACCCCGCUCAACUGGUCUGAAACCGGAGACAGGCUGAUUUUUGGACCAGAAGUUUUGCAAGGGCAGAAGAGAAGGUGCAACUAGUCCAAGAAAAUCUGAAGGCAGCCAAGUCACGACAAAAGAGUUAUGCGGACUCUUGCCGCAGUGAUGUGGAGUUCAAUCUCGGAGACCUAGUGUACCUCCAUGUCACACCUCUCAAGGGAGCCAAGUGUUUCCGCGUUAAGGGGAAACUCGCUCCAAGGUUCAUUGGGCCAUUUAAGAUCACGGCAAGGCGCGGAGAGGUCGCUUAUCAGUUGGAGUUACAUACGGAACUUUCGGGUGUGCACAAUGUUUUCCACGUGUCACAACUUCGGAAGUGUCUCCAAGCGCCAAGUCGUUCUGAUCCUUGCAAGGACAUUGAUCAGUAGGCCAUUGACCUUCAGUCUGAUCUCACCUACCGCGAGAGGCCCAUUCGCAUACCGGACGAAGCAGAAAGAUGCACCAGGAGGCGCACUAUCAAGUAUUUCAAGGUUCAAUGGAGCAACCACACCGAAGCCGAAGCUACAUGGGAACGUGAAGACUAUCUCCGAUCUGAGUUUCCAGACCUUUUUAGCACCUAGCUUAGGAAUCUCGGGGAUGAGAGUCUUAUAAGGGGGAUAGGCCUGUCACACCCUAUUUUUGCUAUCACUUGUUUGUAUUGUGAAAUUCUGAGCUUGUUAAAACUUUUUCGAAACUAAUGUUGUGAGUGCCAUGAUUGACAUGUUAUGCUUGUAUGCAUGAUCAUGUGAGGAUUAAAACCCUAAAGUCUUUGGUAUUAUACUGAUUUCCAAAAACCCUUGCUUAUUUCUGACCAAGGUAAAACCACCUUGAGUUACACUACAUGUCCUUGAUAGCAAGCAGUGCUUCUACUCAUAUUUGGUAAUCUAAUUUUUACCUAUCUUUAUAUUUCAAAACCACAAAAAUAAUUAUUUUUGUGAUUAUUUUCCUAAUUAAAUAACCUGUCCAUUUCUAAGGCCAGAAUUGGUAUUCCAUCAUGGAAAAAUACUUUUCUGCUUUAGAAAAAUCUGAUUAAAUUUAGAGAGGAUCAGAAGGACAUAUAUUUUCCAUACAUAGGAUUUUAAACCCCAUUUUAUAUUAUAUUUUUUUGAAUAAAAGUAUGAAAGCUAUUUUUGUCUGUUUUGGCAUUUUCAAAUAUUUCCAAAGGAAAUAUUCUCAAUAAAUUCCAAGAAAAUUCGAGUGAUAUCCCUAAGCCUUGUUUGCUAUACACAUAAAGUUUCUCCUUGAUCAAAGGUGAAUAAGGACCCCAAAUAACCCUAAAACCCUGUCUUUCCAGAAUCAAGUUAGAGCAACUCUACAUAGCAAAGUUUGUCCAAUGAUGCUGAAACUUUGCACGAGUGCCUAAUACCUCAAAUGAGGGUUCCACACCAAAAAUGGGAUUUGUGGGACUGAGUUUGCCCACACUCCCUUUGGAAGGGACAGAUAUGGUCAUAUUGGAGUAUUUUCAAGUUUACAAAGCUAAACUUGUCCUUUGGAGCUCAAAAUUCGUGAGACUCCAUGGUUUACCACCAAACCCAAACCUGUUAAGUUGCAGCACCAGUGGUGGGGUGCAACCCCCUUAAGCCACUGUCGAACACAUUCUGACAGAUAUGAAAAAGCCACCUUAGCCACAGCUAAACCAAACCCCUUUGCUUCAAACUCACAGAUUAAGUGUCCAGCACCUGUGUCUAACCCCAGUCAAUUGGCCCCUCACUGGUUCAAAGUAGAAAGGCCAAAAAUACCAAUUUAGAUCUCAGUUCAUGACUGACAGCACCAGUAUGUCUUGCCCCCUUUGACCAGCUGGAGCUCCCACAAGAACCAAACGGCUAGCCACACCCCCAGCCAGUGCCAGGACACGCUAGACGCGUCCAAAGUGCCUCAGGGCGCACCAGUUAGCAUGCCCUCUGGGCGCGCUACAGGGAGUCACCGAGGUGGGGGCGACGCCCUCGGCCAGUUCCAGCCUCCCCCGAGAUGUCCAACCUCUUCCCCGACAACCCCUCUGCGUCGAGAAAACCUCAGGGCCCCUCCUCCCGUGCUAGAGCUCGCGCGACGCGUGCCUGCGCGCACCAGAACCGACCAAGGUUGCGCGGCCACGAAUGCUCGACUCCUCUCUCUCUCUCUCUCUCUCUCUCUCUCUCUCUCUCUCUCUCUCUNNNNNNNNNNNNNNNNNNNNNNNNNNNNNNNNNNNNNNNNNNNNNNNNNNNNNNNNNNNNNNNNNNNNNNNNNNNNNNNNNNNNNNNNNNNNNNNNNNNNUAGAUUAAGUGGCCAGCACCUGUGUCUAACCCCAGUCAACUGGCCCCUCACUCGUUCAAAGUAGAAAGGCCAAAAACCCCAAUUUAGAUCUCAGUUCAUGACUGACAGCACCAGUAUUUCUAGCCUCCUUUGACCAGCUGAAGCUCCCACAAGAACCAAACGGCUAGCCACACCCCCAGCCAGUGCCAGGACAUGCUAGACGCGUCCAAAGUGCCUCAGAGCACACCAGCAUGCCGUGGCAUGCCAAAACUGCGCUCUGGGCGUGCUACAGGGAGUUACCGAGGUGGGGGCGACGCCCUAAGCCAGUUCCAGCCUCCCCCGAGAUGUCCAACCUCUUCCCCGACAACCCCUCUGCGUCGAGCAAGCCUCAGGGCCCCUCCUCCCCCGCGCUAGAGCUCGCGCGACGCGUGCCCGCGCGCACCACAACCGGCCAAGGUUGCGCGGCCACGAAUGCUUGACUCCCCUCUCUCUCUCUACUUCAGAUGGUUCGGGCAGUCCAAAACCACGUCCUGAGACCGUGGUUUUGAACCUAGCCUCUCUCUGUACCCCCAUGCACAGCACGGUGAGUCAUCAGCGCUCUCGAAUCUGCUCACCGUCGCGGGCCUAUAAAUAGCCACCCCCCUCGCUCCAGCACCCCUCAGAUAGAUUCACCACAAUCACUAGUACCUCCCUAGCCACCCCAGCAAACUAGCAGAGCCCCGGUGCUCGAGAUCGACUGAGGCCCCUCCACCUCGGAGCUCCGGUCGAUCUCCGGCUACACGACGAAUCUUGCGCCCCUCGAACCACCAAACUAACCCCCUCGAUCCCAGGAAGCUUUCCCCCAACUCGCCCGAGCUUUUCUGUGUCUCUAGCCACCCCCUCAACCACCUCCUGAAGCUCCUCCGCCACGGCCUCCUCGUCGCUGGCGAACCCAUGCCUCCCCGUCGUUGUUUCGACCACCAACAGGUAGGCGGCAACAAGGUGAACCCAUUCCAGUGCUCGUUGGGGCAUGAGCGCGUUGGCAACCUCGUCGACGUCCUCCUCCUAUUUGGCCAGAGGUAGGAGACGACCCCGACAGGCUAUGCCCCACCUGUCGGUGGCCUAGCCUCCCCCCCCCCCGUGCUGACCUCGGNNNNNNNNNNNNNNNNNNNNNNNNNNNNNNNNNNNNNNNNNNNNNNNNNNNNNNNNNNNNNNNNNNNNNNNNNNNNNNNNNNNNNNNNNNNNNNNNNNNNNNNNNNNNNNNNNNNNNNNNNNNNNNNNNNUCAGGUUCAAACCUGACGGCGCGCGCGCGUCGGCUGGCCAUGGCCAGCCCAGCUCUGGGCCGAGCCAGGCCGGGAGUUAGCCUGUGUUUUCUUUUCUUUUUAAACCCUGGUUUCUAAGAUGUUUAUAAAAACAAUUAACCAGUAUAAAAAUAUAAUUCUUCCACUAUUAUUUUUCUAAAAAUGUGUAGCAUUUAAUAAUAUGUUUGGGAGAAUUUUUCCAACAACUAUUCUAUUUUAUAUUAAUAAAAAGGACUAGNNNNNNNNNNNNNNNNNNNNNNNNNNNNNNNNNNNNNNNNNNNNNNNNNNNNNNNNNNNNNNNNNNNNNNNNNNNNNNNNNNNNNNNNNNNNNNNNNNNNNNNNNNNNNNNNNNNNNNNNNNNNNNNNNNNNNNNNNNNNNNNNNNNNNNNNNNNNNNNNNNNNNNNNNNNNNNNNNNNNNNUAAAUGAUACCUUAGAUUUAUCAGUAAUAGUUUUGCUUCUGUUUGGUCUGUUUCUGUGUGAGCUAUUUCUUAUUUACUGUUUUAUUGACGAUAGAAAAUCCGUGUGACGAGGGAAUCGGAGCGGAAGACCUCGAAGACCCCGGAUACUUAGCUGACCAAGGCAAGCAGCCCUUUGACCAUGACUGAGCAUAUGUUACUUUGCAUGUUAAAAUAGCAAGUAUUCCUGUUGCAUAUGAUCAUAAAUGCCGGUAAUCAUUUGAUAUGAUUAUACCGAAGGCUCCCCCGGAGCACCUGCAUUGAGCUNNNNNNNNNNNNNNNNNNNNNNNNNNNNNNNNNNNNNNNNNNNNNNNNNNNNNNNNNNNNNNNNNNNNNNNNNNNNNNNNNNNNNNNNNNNNNNNNNNNNAGUUUAUGAAAACCCCGUCGGGUGCCACUAAUGCUCGAGGGUGAUGAUGAGUUAGGUGGUCACUUUUUCUGAAGUGAUGCACCCGGUAUUUGUGUGAGUAUGGUUUUGGAAAUGGGAAUAGAUUUGUGAUGUGUCGACCGUCCCAACCUUACCAGUACGACCACCUUAACCCUUAUGGGACGGGGCUAUGUUAAUUACUCUGGUCGGUGCUAGCAAAGAGCCACAUUACUAGUGGCGGGAGUGAUGUGUGGUCACUCUCGUGAUGGGGUCGUCCCGGGUAGGACGACUAUGCCAUUUUUAUGAGUUCCAGUCACACUAUUGGUCCCCGCAUGGUUGGUACAGUCCAGAGUUGGUGCUCGUAAGAUGUACAACAUGUGGGUUGGGUACCAAUCGAGUGGACCUCUUUGUCUAGUAUCGUCAGGGGAAAGGCAUUGAUCGGGUACUUACCUCGGGUAUGUGAUAUACCGCGAGUCGUGGAUGACACAGAAGUUUCCCGGAUCUCGUGGGUCCAGCGUACUACCUGUGUAGAGUGUAAACUAUUCGAAUAGCCGUGUCCACGGUCAAGGACAGUUGGGUAAUCCUUCUUAAACUACGUCCAGUUGUUUCCGCCUAAACCAAGUGUUUGUGUGUGUGGUGUUGAGAAAGGUAGUGCUAUGAUAGCAAUGAUAUGACCAAGUUCGGUGACUUGGCAUAUAGGGUGAACCCGGAUGGUUCAGCCCUUGACAGAUAUAUUGAUAUAUGUAACCUAUUCUUGAAAAGUAAUUCUUUAACUUGAUGCAUAUUCAUGAUCGUUCCACCCAAAUGAGUUACACUAAAGAUGCAUGAUAUUGUUAUCCUUCACUUUCGUUGAUUAUAUCAUGGGCUGUUUGCGAGUACAUUCAAAGUACUCAGUGGCUUGCCACUGGUUAUGUUAUUGACCAGACAUGGAAGGACCGGAGUUUGGAGAUGAGUAUGUCUCCGAAGACUCCCCUCGAACUAUGACGCUUCCAAGUCAGAAUGUCUGUCGGUGUAGGCUUGAUGCCAUGGGCACCCGUUUAGCCCUUUGCUUUCCGCUAUUAGUGUAUCCGAGUGAUUUGGACUUAAGCCCUGUCUUGUGAACCUGACCUUUCGGUCAUGUGUUGUAAUAAUCGGUACUUGGAUGUAAGACUCUAUUAUUCGGUACGUAUCUAUGUUCGGUGAGCAUUGAUCUCUGGGAUCACUGAGCACGGUGAUUCUCGACUAGUAAGUCGCAGUCCCCAUAGAGCUGGUAUCAGAGCCAUCCUGACUAUAGGAAGCCUUUGUUGGGGAACGUUGCAUGGGAAACAAAAAUUUUCCUACGCACACGAAGACCUAUCAUGGUGAUGUCCAUCUACGAGAAAGGAUGUUCGAUCUACAUACCCUUGUAGACCGCACAGCAGAAGCGUUAGUGAACGCGGUUGAUGUACUGGAACAUCCUCACGUCCCUCGAUCCGCCCCGCGAACCGUCCCGCGAUCAGUCCCACGAUCUAGUGCCGAACGGACGGCACCUCCGCGUUCNNNNNNNNNNNNNNNNNNNNNNNNNNNNNNNNNNNNNNNNNNNNNNNNNNNNNNNNNNNNNNNNNNNNNNNNNNNNNNNNNNNNNNNNNNNNNNNNNNNNUAAGCAAAUGGUCCCUGAGCGGUAGUACCGCUGUGCCUAGCGUUAGUACCGCUAGCCCUAGCGGUAGUACCGCUUUCCCUAGCGGUAGUACCGCUGCAGCCAGCGGUAGUACCGCUAGCUGGCGGUAGUACCGCCCCUGGUCAGCGGUAGUACCGCUCCAGGAGCUUAGUACCGCCCGCCUAGCGGUUGUUCGUGGACGGACCUUUUUGCGAAGACUUUCUUGGCGGUGGUAGUGCCUUUGCACUACCAGGGGCCCAGCGGUAGUACCGCUGGAGUGCCAGCGGUAGUACCGCUAGCUGGCGGUAGUACCGCUGGAGUGACAGCGGUAGUACCGCUGGAGUGCCAGCGGUAGUACCGCUACAGCCAGCGGUAGUACCACUGGAGCUCGGGCAGAGAGUGGGGGUAACGGUCUGAUUCUUUCCCCCACUAUAUAAAGGGGGUCUUCUUCCCCCUUGGUCUUAUCCAUCCGUUGAGCUCUUGUUCUAUCUCCAUUGUUGUCAUUCUUAGAGCUUGAUUACUCUCUAUCCCUCCAAUCACUUUCUCCUCUAUGUGAGGGGAACCCCUUGGAUCUUGAUCUUGGAGUUCUUUGUGAGCUCCUUNNNNNNNNNNNNNNNNNNNNNNNNNNNNNNNNNNNNNNNNNNNNNNNNNNNNNNNNNNNNNNNNNNNNNNNNNNNNNNNNNNNNNNNNNNNNNNNNNNNNUUCUCUCAUAUGGAAGAAAGGAUACAAAAUGACAAGUCAGUAUAUCUUGCUGGUGCUAUCUUCUUAUUUUCACUAACUUGUCAUUUGCCCACGUAUUUCUCAUCUCCUAUGUCUGUGUGUGACAUUUGCAGCGGUACUACCGCCAGGGGUAGCGGNNNNNNNNNNNNNNNNNNNNNNNNNNNNNNNNNNNNNNNNNNNNNNNNNNNNNNNNNNNNNNNNNNNNNNNNNNNNNNNNNNNNNNNNNNNNNNNNNNNNNNNNNUACUACCGCCAGGACCCCAGCGGUACUACCGCCAGGGGUAGCGGUACUACCGCCAGGAUCCCAGUCUACCACGACCUAACUAGGACUUUUUAGGGCUGUCUCAAGGGAGAGCGGUACUACCGCUAGGACCCCAGCGGUACUACCGCUGCAGGCAGCGGUACUACCGCCAGGUAGCGGUACUACCGCCAGGACAAAAGCGGUACUACCGCUGGCCCGUACCCCUUGGGCUAUAUAAAGGAGGGGGAGCCCGUUUUUUCUUGCCUCUUUCUUCUUCCUCGUGGCUCCUCCCUCCCCAACCCGGAACUCCCCCUAUUUGGAUAUCUAUCUAUGGAGCCCCUUCUCUCCGUUGAGUUGGAGGGUUNNNNNNNNNNNNNNNNNNNNNNNNNNNNNNNNNNNNNNNNNNNNNNNNNNNNNNNNNNNNNNNNNNNNNNNNNNNNNNNNNNNNNNNNNNNNNNNNNNNNCAUCAAACCACUAGGCUAAGAAGCAUCUGCUCGACAGCAAAGUGCAAGAGGGCAAGGAAUACUCUCCGAUGGCUAGUGUCCCGAAGGAAAAUAACCCCAAAAAGGGUGCUGAGGGGGGAUCGAACCCGCCACCUCCUGCUAGGAGGCAAAACCCAUGCACUACUGCGCCAGUCUUUCGGAGAUUAACAAUGUAGAGAAGGCGCACCUCANNNNNNNNNNNNNNNNNNNNNNNNNNNNNNNNNNNNNNNNNNNNNNNNNNNNNNNNNNNNCACACCACUGCUCCAGUCUUUCGGAGAUUAACAAUGUAGAGAAGGCGCACCUCAUAUACAUGCGCCAUUACUAUAUAUAUAAAAAAAAUUCUAAUGGCGCACCGCUCGGGGUGCGCCAUUCCUAAUUCGUCUGUCCUCGCGCGCCUCUACUCCAUAUGCGCUCGCGCGCCCUCGUCCCCGCCCACCCCUUCCCCCACCUUCGUCCACGCAGAGAGCUCUCACGGCGCUAGGGUUUGGCAGUGAGAUCGCUCGCUGUCGGCCUCGGCUUCCGCGCCGGCCAGGCUCCCUUCCUUCGUCCCCCCGGAGCCGGCAGCCCCUAAUCCCCGUCCUGUAACCACCGCCUGAUCCCAUUUCUCUUCUUUCCCCCACACGACAACGACGACGACGCCACCCAGCUUCUUCCCCGCCGGUUCUUCAUCUUCAUCGCGCUCCGGCUCUCCUCCGCCCCCGCGUCGCAGGUGCGCCGUCCAUCCACGACACCUCCCCCCCGCGCGCGCGUUCCCUCCCUCUUUGUGUCCGCCGUGCCUGCUAGGGGGUUCUUUCUAGGGUUUGUCGACUCGCGUUGCCGACUUUAUCGCUGGAUUUUUCGGUAGCCUAAUAAUAAGUAAAUAAAUCAGUAGCUGGUACGAACCGNNNNNNNNNNAACGACGCCGCCCAGCUUCUUCCCCGCCGGUCCUUCGUCUUCGUCGCGCUCCGGCUCUCCUCCGCCCCCGCGUCGUAGGUGCGCCGUCCAUCCACGACACCUCCCCCCCGCGCGCGUUCCCUCCCUCUCUGUGUACGCCGUGCCUGCCGGGGGGUUCUUUCUAGGAUUCGUCGACUCGCGCUGCCGACGUUAUCGCUGGAUUAUUCGGUAGCCUAAUAAUAAGUAAAUAAAUCAGUAGCUGGUACGAACCGAGUUCAUUUUGAUUCUCCUUGUUUGCGCUCAUGCAUGUUCUUGCCUUAGUUGGCCAUGGCCCUACAAACGGCAAACCUUUGUCCUUGCAUCUUUAUUGAUCCUCUGUAUCCGCUGCGGUGGUUGGGUGCAUGCGUCACAUUGAAAUUUCCCGGCGGCGAUGGUUGCCAAUUGUUGUUGUUGUUCAACACAAUUAGUUGUGAAAGAUUGUNNNNNNNNNNNNNNNNNNNNNNNNNNNNNNNNNNNNNNNNNNNNNNNNNNNNNNNNNNNNNNNNNNNNNNNNNNNNNNNNNNNNNNNNNNNNNNNNNNNNAUGAUGCCGCUAGAAAAGAAAACUUCAAAAUGCAUGUGUGGUACAUGUACUUGGUGCAUGACUUGCCGGCGUUGGCACUAUUCUCUAGAUGGUGUGUGCAUGGAAGGUUCCCGUUCCCCAUAUGCAAGGCAACUCUUCAGUUUCAUUGGUUGCAGGCGGAUAGGAAGUAUUCUUGCUUUGACUUGCAUAGACAGUUCACGGAUCCUGACCAUCAGUUCAGAAAAGACAAGAAGAACUUUACCAAAGGUAAAGUUGUCAAAAACAUGGCACCACUUGCGUUGACAGGCCAACAGAUCAUGGAUCAGUUAAACGCCCUCGAGCCUGAUCCAGAGCGUCCAGGGUAUUUCAAGGGGUAUAAUUCAAAACACGCCUGGACUCACAAGCCAUGCUUGUGGGAUCUGCCUUACUUCAAAGACCUCCUUCUUCCACACAAUAUCGACAUGAUGCACACUGAAAAGAAUAUCGGAGAGUCUAUUUUUGGUACAUUGUUCGACAUAGAUGGGAAGACAAAGGAUAAUACUAAGGCUAGAGUCGAUCAAGAGAUACUAUGUCAUAGAANNNNNNNNNNNNNNNNNNNNNNNNNNNNNNNNNNNNNNNNNNNNNNNNNNNNNNNNNNNNNNNNNNNNNNNNNNNNNNNNNNNNNNNNNNNNNNNNNNNNAAAUAUAUGCAAAUGCAUGCAUAUUUAUAACUGUAACCCUUUCGAACAAGAGACGCAUACUGGUCACGCAUACUGAUAAAUUAAUUUAAUUACCUAUAUCUAGCAAGUUUCAUCCGAAGAACGACCCACAACAAAUGAAGGGGCGAGGAGGAGAUGACAUUCGUACUCACCCACGAAUGCAGGGGCGGAGCUCGUAGAACUCAUAGGGAGGUCUUCGCACAACAGACCUCACAGCGACGAGACAACUGUCACAUGUAAACCCACCCGACCAACACAAAUAUUUUGUGUUCAUUAAUAAAAUCGAAAAUUAUAUGACCUAACACAAAUAUAUGACCUAUAUAGAUGUCAUCUAGGGUUCCAUAAAAAAUAUAUUUCGUGUCGGGGUGUCAUCGAGAUGUUGUGUCGGGGCAUCGGGUCGGGGUUUUGGGGCAUCGUGUCGGGUGUCGUUGUGUCAGGGUUUAUUUUCUUCUGCUUUAUCUUGUUUUUUCCUCUUCUUUCUUCUUCUUCUUCUUCUUCUUCUUCUUCUUCUUCUUCCUUCGUUCCUUUUCUUCUUCUUCUACUUAUUCUUCUUCUUCUUAUUCUUCUUCUUCUUCUUCUUCUUCUUCUUCUCUUCUUCUUCUUCUUCUNNNNNNNNNNNNNNNNNNNNNNNNNNNNNNNNNNNNNNNNNNNNNNNNNNNNNNNNNNNNNNNNNNNNNNNNNNNNNNNNNNNNNNNNNNNNNNNNNNNNAUAACAUACGGAAAUCAAAAUCAGCUCAACUUAGAUGACUAGCUAACUUAUUUUUUAGAUAGCAAUAUCUGUUGUCCCCCCAUUGUACCUAAAGAACUAGCGGUUGUUGCUCCUCUGCCUUUGCUGCUGAUGCUCCUCUUCCGCUGAUCCAAGUGACUGUGUUGUGCUGCUGCUGAAUAGAACAAUUUUGCUCCUCUGCACUCUGAAGCAGGUAACUCCGUCAGAGUACUGUACCUGAAAACUAAUGAAGUUGAUUUAGUGUUAAAAUUAGGCAUGUGUUAAGUAUGACAACGCAUGUAAAAUUGAUAAGUACUAGGACAGACUAAGUUAAGAGUUACAGAUUACAAUUAGACGUUUUUGCAAGCUUACAAAGUAAACUAAACAUUACUUACGAAGUAAACUAAACUUUGAAUGGAAGGGAAGAUCCCACCUUGAAAGUAUCUAUCAUAAGCAUCUCUUAGAUUUUUUCAUAAAGAAUAAGCCACCGUUAUCAAGCCAUUAGACAUUAACNNNNNNNNNNNNNNNNNNNNNNNNNNNNNNNNNNNNNNNNNNNNNNNNNNNNNNNNNNNNNNNNNNNNNNNNNNNNNNNNNNNNNNNNNNNNNNNNNNNNAAUUCAUCCUUAAGGGGCUGCAUGUACACAUUCAUAUUCUUCCCCGGAUAAUUGGGCCCUGGAAUUAUCAGCAUCAGAAAUAUGUUCUUUCUUUGCAUAAUCUGCCCGGGGGGAGAUUGUGUGGAUUGACAAAUCCAGCCAACAACUGUAUUGGGUUGCCGUCAUGCCGAAGGGAUGAAAACCAUCCGUGGCGACACGGACUCGAGGAUUCCUUGGAUCUGCCGCUUUAUCCUGAUAUAAUCUAUCGAACUCUUUCCAUGCUUCCCCAUCUGAUGUGUGUACCGCCAUCUUAUUCCCAUCCACAUCUAGUUUGGUUAUUUUGCCCAAUUUGUGCCAUGGCAUUUGUCUCGCUAUCUCUUCGACCAUGAAAAGACGUUGAAGCCUUGGUAUGAUUGGCAUAUACCGAAGAACAUUAACUGCAAUUUUGGUCUGCCUCUUCUCACCCAUAUCAUUGUCUACCACAAGAUACCUGCAAGACUUGCAAAUGGGACAAUAGUCCAACUGUGCAUACUCCUUCCUAAAUAAGGCACAUCCAUUCUCANNNNNNNNNNNNNNNNNNNNNNNNNNNNNNNNNNNNNNNNNNNNNNNNNNNNNNNNNNNNNNNNNNNNNNNNNNNNNNNNNNNNNNNNNNNNNNNNNNNNAAGUUGGUAUUUCUCUCCUUUCGCCCACCAGCGUUAUAGUAUGACGACCAUUUCGUGGACAAGCCUUUGCCGGCCAAACGACCAGCUGACAACAGCUUACUGGACUUAUCCUUGUUUUUCAUUAUGUUAAACGCCCUAUUUAAAUUGGUGUCCCAAUGGGAGCUGUGAGACGACCCCGCGCUACUGCUUUCAGUGUCCUGCGGAAGGAAUGAACCAUUUAGAAAUUUGGCUUCAUUAAUUAGAAUGCAACCAUAUGGAGCAACGUGGGGUGUAUUCCUUACCAGAACACGCUCAAGCGCCCUGGUCUUCGCAUCCGUGGUAAGCUCCUUUGUUACUGGGUCCACCUUGUACCGGGCCCUGACAUAGUUCCUGGUCUGCUUGUCACCGUAUUUCUCGAAGCGGGGUGGUAGGCCUUGCUUGGCACGCUCCGUGUCCUCCUUGUCCCAUAUAGGUUCCACCACUCUGUAACCGCCGGGACCGAGUUGGUGGACCCCUAAGUUCAACUCCCGCAUUUCUUUCCCCCACUGACUUGAUUNNNNNNNNNNNNNNNNNNNNNNNNNNNNNNNNNNNNNNNNNNNNNNNNNNNNNNNNNNNNNNNNNNNNNNNNNNNNNNNNNNNNNNNNNNNNNNNNNNNNACACAAUCUUUCACAACUAAUUGUGUUGAACAACAACAACAAUUGGCAGCCAUCGCCGCUGGGAAAUUUCAAUGUGACGCAUGCACCCAACCACCGCAGCUGAUACACAGGAUCAAUAAAGAUGCAAGGACAAAGGUUUGCCGUUUGUAGGGCCAUGGCCAACUAAGGCAAGAACAUGCAUGAGCGCAAACAAGGAGAAUCAAAAUGAACUCGGUUCGUACCAGCUACUGAUUUAUUUACUUAUUAUUAGGCUACCGAAUAAUCCAACGAUAACGUCGGCAGCGCGAGUCGAAAAACCCUAGAAAGAACCCCCCGGCAGGCACGGCGGACACAGAGGGGGAGGGAACGCGCGCGCGGGGGGCAGGUCUCGUGGAUGGACGGCGCACCUGCGACGCGGGGGCGGAGGAGAGCCGGANNNNNNNNNNCGAAGACGAAGAACCGGCGGGGAAGAAGCUGGGCGGCGUCGUCGUCGUCGUCGUGUGGGGGAAAGAAGAGAAAGGGGAUCAGGCGGUGGUUACAGGACGGGGAUUAGGGGCUGCCGGCUCCGGGGGGACGAAGGAAGGGAGCCUGGCCGGCGCGGAAGCCGAGGCCGACAGCGAGCGAUCUCACUGCCAAACCCUAGCGCCGCGAGAGCUCUCUGCAUGGACGAAGGUGGGGGAAGGGGUGGGCGGGGACGAGGGCGCGUGAGGGCAGAUGGAGUAGAGGCGCGCGAGGACAGACGACUUAGGAAUGGCGCACCCUGAGUGGUGCGCCCUUAGAAUUUUUUAUAUAUAUAUAGUAAUGGCGCAUGUAUAUGAGGUGCGCCUUCUCUACAUNNNNNNNNNNGGUGCGUGGGAUUUGCCUCCUAGCAGGAGGUGGCGGGUUCGAUCCCCCUCAGCACCCUUUUUGGGGUUAUUUUCCUUUGGGACACUAGCCAUCGGAGAGUAUUCCUUGCCCUCUUGCACUUUGCUAUCGAGCAGAUGCUUCUUAGCCUAGUGGUUUGAUGCAGGAUUGAGUACCNNNNNNNNNNNNNNNNNNNNNNNNNNNNNNNNNNNNNNNNNNNNNNNNNNNNNNNNNNNNNNNNNNNNNNNNNNNNNNNNNNNNNNNNNNNNNNNNNNNNCACAAGUAUAGGGGAUCAAUCAUAGUCCUUUCGAUAAGUAAGAGUGUCGAACCCAAUGAGGAGCACAAGGCUCUGAUAAACGGUUUUCAGCAAGGUAAUAACUGCAAGCACUGAAAGUAGCGGUAACAAAUGAUGGUGUAGUGAGGUGAAAGGUAGCAAGCGAAAAGUAACAAGUAGUAGCAAUGGUGCAGCAAGUGGCCCAAUCCCAUUUGCAGCAAGGGACAAGCCUGAACAAAGUCUUAUAGGAGGAAAAACACUCCCGAGGACACACGGGAACUUCUGUCAUGCUAGUUUCAUCAUGUUCAAGUGAUUCGCGUUCGUUACUUUGAUAGUUUGAUAUGUGGGUGGACCGGCGCUUGGGUACUGCCCUUACUUGGAAAAGAAUCCCACUUAGGAUUAACCCCUCUCGCAAGUAUCCGCAACUACGAAAGAAGAAUUAAGACAACGUCUAACCAUAGCAUUACACUAGUGGAUCCAAAUCAGCCCCUUACGAAGCAACACAUAGACUGGGGUUUAAGCUUCUGUCACUCCAACAACCCAUCAUCUACUUACUACUCCCCAAUGCCUUCCUCUAGGCCCAAAUUGGUGAAGUGUUAUGUAGUUGAUGUUCACAUAACACCACUAGAGGGAAAAUAUAACAUACAACAUACCAAAAUACCGAACGAAUACCAAACUCACAUGACUAUUAUUAGCAUGACUUAUCCCAUGUCCUCAGGAACAAAAGUAACUAGUCACAAAGCAUAAUCAUAAUCAUGAUCAGAGGUGUAAUGAAUAGCAUCAAGGAUCUGAACAUAAACUCUUCCACCAAGUAAUCCAACUAGCAUCAACUACAAAGAGUAAUCAACACUACUAGUAACCUUGCAAGUACCAAUUAGAGUCGUGAGACGGAGAUUGGUUACAAGAGAUGAACUAGGGAUUGGAGUGGAGAUGGUGCUGAUGAACAUGUUUAUGAAGAUGCCUCCCCUCCGACGAGAGGAGUGUUGGUGAUGAUGAUGGCGACGAUUUCCCCCUCCGGGAGGGAAGUUUCCCCGNNNNNNNNNNNNNNNNNNNNNNNNNNNNNNNNNNNNNNNNNNNNNNNNNNNNNNNNNNNNNNNNNNNNNNNNNNNNNNNNNNNNNNNNNNNNNNNNNNNNNNNNNNNNNNNNNNNNNNNNNNNNNNNNNNNNNNNNNNNCUUCAUAUAGCAAAAGAGGGGGCCAGUGGGCCGUCAGGGAGCCCACAAGCUUGCUAGCCGCCACUAGGGGGGGUGGCGGUGGCAGGGCUUGUGGCGCCGUGGUAGCUCCACUCUGGUACUUCUUUAGCCCAGUAUUUUUUAUAUAAUCCCAAAAAAUUNNNNNNNNNNGCAGGAUCGUCCUGCCGGAGCUCUAGAUUGGAUCUACUCAAGUUCCGCCUCGUGGCGGCGGCGAAACCACGAAAAAGCUCCCAAUUGAUUUUUUCUGGAACAAAACCNNNNNNNNNNNNNNNNNNNNNNNNNNNNNNNNNNNNNNNNNNNNNNNNNNNNNNNNNNNNNNNNNNNNNNNNNNNNNNNNNNNNNNNNNNNNNNNNNNNNNNNNNNNNNNNNNNNNNNNNNNNNNNNNNNNNNNNNNNNNNNNNNNNNNNNNNNNNNNNNNNNNNNAGCCGCCACUAGGGGGGUGGCGGUGGCAGGGCUUGUGGCGCCCUGGUAGCUCCCCUCUGGUACUUCUUUAGCCCAGUAUUUUUUAUAUAAUCCCAAAAAAUUCCACGUAAAUUUUCAGGGCAUUCGGAGAUGUGCACAAUUGUGAACUAAGAUUUUCUCCUUUUCCAGUCUAGAAUUGCAGCUGCCUGAAUUCUCCCUCUUCAAAUAACCUUGCAAAAUAAGAGAGNNNNNNNNNNNNNNNNNNNNNNNNNNNNNNNNNNNNNNNNNUUUUCCAGUCCAGAAUUCCAGCUGCCUGAAUUCUCCCUCUUCAAAUAACCUUGCAAAAUAAGAGAGAAAAGGCAUAAAUAUGGUACCACAAAGUAAUAUAAUAGCCCAUAAAGCAAUAAAUAUCAACAUGAAAGCAUGAUGCAAAAUGGACGUAUCAACUCCCUCAAGCUUAGACCUCGCUUGUCCUCAAGCGAAAACCAAGUUCCAUAAACAUGUCCACAUGUUUAGGGACGGAGGUGUCGAUAAAACAUAAUACGGACAUGAGGGCAUCAUGAUCACACAUANNNNNNNNNNNNNNNNNNNNNNNNNNNNNNNNNNNNNNNNNNNNNNNNNNNNNNNNNNNNNNNNNNNNNNNNNNNNNNNNNNNNNNNNNNNNNNNNNNNNUGCGCCAUUAGUGUCCACCACACUAAUGGCACGCCUCACAUGGUGCGCCACUACUAUAUAGUAGUGGCGCACUGCUUGUGUGGUGCGCCAUUGGUAUCUAUAUCAUCUAUAGCCCUUUUCCUAGUAGUGUCUUUUGCUUUUACCUUUGUUUUAGUUCUUUCCUUCUCAGCUUUUAUUUCUUCUCAUAGUGGAAUAAGUCUUUAGUUUUUAGUUUGAGACUUUUUCUUUUCUCUCGCCCCCGAUAUAUUCGAGCUCGUGAGCUAUAUAAUAAAGAGUAUCUUAGUCAAGGGCUUUGCUUUGUGCCAUGAUCAAAAGUAUAAAAAGAACGAUAGCAUGAAAUAUCAUGAGACGAUCUUAUGGAAAUUGAUAGCUUCACAUAUGACACGUAUGAUGAUUGAAACUUGAUGAGAAUAAAUUAACAUAGACCUCAGUCAUUGUUGCAAUUAAUAAGAAGUAUUGAGAAAAGAGAGGUUCACAUAUAAAUAUAUCAUCUUAGACACUUUUUACAAUUGUGAGCACUCACCAAACUAUUACAUGCUUAGGAGUAGAUGUUGGACAAGGAAGACAACAUAAUGAAUUGUGUUUGCUCGGUUCCAAACAAUGUUAUAUGAUUAGAGAUCCCUUAGCAUGUGACGAUUGCUUCCACCUCAUAUUAGCCAAAACUCCCGCACCAAGUAGAGAUACUACUUGUGCAUCCAUAAACCUUCAACCCAGUUUUGCCAUGGGAGUCCACCAUAACUACUUAUGGAUUGAAUAAGAUCCUUCAAGUAAGUUGUAAUCGGUGCAAGCAAUAAAAAUUGCUCUCUAAUAUCUAUGAUCUAUUAGUGCGUGGAAAAUAAGCUUUGUACGAAACUGUGAUGAGGAAGACAUAAAAGUGACAAACUGCAUAAUAAAGUUCUUUAUCACACGAGGCAAUAUAGAGUGACGUUCCUCCGCACUAAGAGGACACGCAUUCAAACCUCAAAAGCGCAUGACAACCUCUGCUUCCCUCUACGAAGGUCCUAUCUUGUACCUUUACUUUUUUNNNNNNNNNNNNNNNNNNNNNNNNNNNNNNNNNNNNNNNNNNNNNNNNNNNNNNNNNNNNNNNNNNNNNNNNNNNNNNNNNNNNNNNNNNNNNNNNNNNNAAAUAUAUGCAAAUGCAUGCAUAUUUAUAACUGUAACCCUUUCGAACAGGAGACGCAUAUUGGUCACGCAUACUGAUAAAUUAAUUAAAUUACCUAUAUCUAGCAAGUUUCAUCCGAAGACCGACCCACAACAAAUGAAGGGGCGAGGAGGNNNNNNNNNNNNNNNNNNNCUGGUAACGCAUACUGAUAAAUUAAUUUAAUUACCUAUAUCUAACAAGUUUCAUCCGAAGACCGACCCACAACAAAUGAAGGGGCGAGGAGGAGAUGACAUUCGUACUCACCCACGAAUGCAGGGGCGGAGCUCGUAGAACUCAUGGGGAGGUCUUCGCACAGCAGACCUCAGAGCGACGAGACAACUGUCACAUGUAAACCCACCCGAUCAACACAAAUAUUUUGUGUUCAUUAAUAAAAUCGAAAAUUAUAUGACCNNNNNNNNNNNNNNNNNNNNNNNNNNNNNNNNNNNNNNNNNNNNNNNNNNNNNNNNNNNNNNNNNNNNNNNNNNNNNNNNNNNNNNNNNNNNNNNNNNNNNNNNNNNNNNNNNNNNNNNNNNNNNNNNNNNNNNNAUGGUGUCAGGGUUUAUUUUUCUUCUGCUUCAUCUUGUUUUUUCCUCUUCUUUCUUUUCUUCUUCUUCUUCCUUCCUUUUCUUCUUCUUCUACUUAUUCUUCUUCUUCUUCUUCGUCUUUUCUUCUCUUCUUCUUCUUCUUCUUCUUCUUCUUCCUACUUUUCCUUUUUCCUCUUCNNNNNNNNNNGUGGUGUCAGGGUUUAUUUUCCUUCUGCUUCAUCUUCUUUUUUCCUCUUCUUUCUUUUCUUCUUCUUCUUCUUCUUCUUCUUCUUCCUUCCUUUUCUUCUUCUUCUACUUAUUCUUCUUCUUCUUCUUCUUCUUCUUCUUCUUCUUCUUCUUCUUCUUCUUCUCUUCUUCUUCUUCUUCUUCUUGUUGUUGUUCUUCUUCUUCCUACUUUUCCUUUUUCCUCUUCUUCUUCUUCUUCUUCUUCUUCUUCUUCUUCCUUCUUUUCCUUUUUCCUCUUCUUUAUUAUUCUCCUCUCUCCUCUUUUUCUUUUUCUUCUUUUUUGUCUUCUCCUCCUUCUCCUCUUCUUCUUCUUCCCUUAUCUACUUAACCUAGCANNNNNNNNNNNNNNNNNNNNNNNNNNNNNNNNNNNNNNNNNNNNNNNNNNNNNNNNNNNNNNNNNNNNNNNNNNNNNNNNNNNNNNNNNNNNNNNNNNNNAAUCUACUAUUUAACUAAAUCAACUAACUAAACUACCACUAAAUCUACCACUUAACUAACCCAUCAACUAAACUUUAUACACCACUAAAUCUAUUAAUUAGCAAAAAAAUAAAAAAACACCUUGCACGGGCAGUGAUCAGCCGGGGCGAUGGGCGGUCGGGGCAAUGGGUGACCUGGCCGGUGCUGGUGGAGGAGGGGGUCCGCGGUGAGGAGAGGGCAGUGGCGGAUUAGGGGUGGCGCAGUGGUGGAAGAGAGGUGAGUCAAGGGGAGGAGGGCACCGGGGCAAUGGUGGAGCAGGGGGCACGGAGAGGAGGGGCGGUGGUGGAGGAGGGGACGGUGGUGGNNNNNNNNNNACACCUUGCACGGGCAGUGGGCAGCCGGGGCGAUGGGCGGUCGGGGCAAUGGGUGACCUGGCCGGUGCUGGUGGAGGAGGGGGUCUGGGGCAAGGAGAGGGCAGUGGCGGACGAGGGGUGGCGCAGUGGUGGAAGAGAGGUGGGUCAAGGGGAGGAGGGCACCGGGGCAAUGUUUGAGGAGGGGGCACGGAGAGGAGGGGCGGUGGUGGAGGAGGGGACGGUGGUGGAGUAGGGGGUCGCAGGGAGGAGGAGGGGCGAGCUUCGGCGGCGGGUGAUACGUCUCCAUCGUAUCUACUUUUCUAAACUCUAUUGCCCUUGUUUUGGACUCUAAUUUGCAUGAUUUGAAUGGAACUAACCCGGACUGGCGCUGUUUUCAGCAAAAUUGCCCUUGUUUUGGACUCUAAUUUGCAAGAAUUACCCGAAGACACGGAGCCAGGAGCCCACGAGCCCAGGAGGGGCGCCCCCCUAGGCCGCGCCUGGCAAGCUCCUGGGGCCCACAUGGCUCCGCAGCCUCCAACUCCAACUCUAUAUAGUCUCUUUCCUCCCAGAAAAAAUCAGGAGAGAGCUUUUGGGAAGAAACGCCGCCGCCANNNNNNNNNNNNNNNNNNNNNNNNNNNNNNNNNNNNNNNNNNNNNNNNNNNNNNNNNNNNNNNNNNNNNNNNNNNNNNNNNNNNNNNNNNNNNNNNNNNNUUGUAUGUUGUCUUUCCUCUAGUGGUGUUAUGUGAACGUUGACUACAUAAAAGUUCACCAUUAUUUGGGCCUAGAGGAAGGCAUUGGGAAGUAAUAAGUAGAUGAUGGGUUGCUAGAGUGACAGAAGCUUAAACCCUACUUUAUGGGUUGUUUCGUAAGGGGCUGAUUUGGAUCCACUAGUUUAAUGCUAUGGUUAGUGAUGACCCACAAGUAUAGGGGAUCAAUCGUGGUCCUUUCGAUAAGUAAGAGUGUCGAACCCAAUGAGGAGCAGAAGGCUCUGAUAAACGGUUUUUAGCAAGGUAAUAACUGCAAGCACUAAAAGUAGCGGUAACAAAUGAUGGUGUAGUGAGGUGAAAGGUAGCAAGCGAAAAGUAACAAGUAGUAGCAAUGGUGCAGCAAGUUGCCCAAUCCCAUUUGCAUCAAGGGACAAGCCUGAACAAAGUCUUAUAGGAGGAAAAACACCCCCGAGGACACACGGGAAUUUCUGUCAUGCUAGUUUCAUCAUGUUCAAGUGAUUCGCGUUCGUUACUUUGAUAUUGAUAUGUGGGUGGACCGGCGCUUGGGUACUGCCCUUAAUUGGAAAAGAAUUCCACUUAGGAUUAACCCCUCUCGCAAGUAUCGGCAACUACGAAAGAAGAAUUAAGACAACGUCUAACCAUAGCAUUAAACUAGUGGAUCCAAAUNNNNNNNNNNNNNNNNNNNNNNNNNNNNNNNNNNNNNNNNNNNNNNNNNNNNNNNNNNNNNNNNNNNNNNNNNNNNNNNNNNNNNNNNNNNNNNNNNNNNGUCUCAAGAGUCAUGACUCGCACAUAUGGCUUGAGCGGGUAAUUAAUGUCGGUGAUGUUACGUGGCCUUAUUCCUGAGGAUGAAUGGCUAGUACUGGCGGAGCUGAGCUAUUUCUUCCAUGUUCUUUGUGCGAAAGAAUUGUCGCCUAGAGUGGUAGAUGACAUGGAGGAGUUUGCUCCGGAGUUUCUGUGCAAGUUANNNNNNNNNNUAGUACUGGCGAAGCUGACCUAUUUCUUCCGUGUUCUUUGUGCGAAAGAAUUGUCACCUAGCGUGGUAGAUGACAUGGAGGAGUUUGCUCCGGAGUUUCUGUGCAAGUUAGAGAAGAUCUUUUUGCCGGGCUUAUUUAAUCCAAGUCAGCAUUUGAUUUUACAUCUACCGACCGAGGCAAGAUUGGGUGGGCCCAUGCAAAAUCAUUGGUGCUAUGCAACUGAGAGGAUGCAGAAGACGCUUCUAGCUAAAUGUAAAAAUAAGCGUAUAAUUGAAGCAUCGAUUAUGAGGCAGUCAUUACUAAGGAGGUGGCAAACUUUGUGACAACACACUACAAGCCAAAAAUCAUCAUUUGCAUAAUCCGAAGCCUCGGUACAAUGAUGCAAACCCUAAAAAAGGUGGAUCCAACCUUAGCCUAUUCAAAGGGAAGCUCGCACCAGUCGGUGCUUCGAAACCAAUAACGUUGGAUGUCGAAGAAUGGUGGAACAUUUCGUUGUAUAUCUUCAACAACCUAACAGAAGUCCGGCAGUACAUCGAGUAAGUUCUCGGCAAAUUUUUCCGUAACUUCUAAUUCCNNNNNNNNNNAGUGCUUCGAAACCAAUAAUGUUGGAUGUCGAAUAAUGGUGGAACAUUUCGUUGUAUAUCUUCAACAACCUAACAGAAGUGCGGUAGUACAUCGAGUAAGUUCUCGGCAAAUUUUUCCGUAACUUCUAAUUCCUUUGAACACUCUUAUUCCCGGAUAUUUCAUGCAGCCGAUAUGUCGCCAAAUUCUCGGAUGGAGCGGUGAUCCAAAAUGAUUCCGUCGAAGAGUAUGAGCUUCUCGCAAAGCAUGGAGGCGGCUAUCUCGGUUUCAUCUCUUGGUUCAAACAAACGGUAAUUAUCAAUAAUGGACUAUUUCAUUUCUUGAUCUAACUUGCAGCUAAUGCAACAAUCGUUUCGUAUUAAACUUGUAGGCUACUUCAGAGUCUAUGGACGCCGAAUUGAGACAAGCCCCUAACGGUUUUGACUAAUGAUCCGUUCAUUUGAGAAAUACAACAUCAACGGGUAUCUCUUUCAUACCUUUGGCAAAGAGCUAUCUAUGCCCGACCGGAAAUCUACAAAUUGUUGUGUCUCUACUAUCGGUGAAGGUGGUAUCGGGUAUUAUGGAAGAGUUGAAGCAAUUUAUGAACUUCAAUUCUAUGGUGAAAACCCACCGAACGUCGUAGUGUUCAAAUGUUAUUGGUUCAAGCCGAAGAAGACUAGAAGGACUCAUGAACAUAUAGGACUAGUCGAAAUCAAUCCAAACACCCAUUUAGAUGUUCCCAAUGUCUAUAUUACAGCUCAACAGGCGACCCAAGUUUUCUAUCUACCGUGGCCAUGCCAAACUGAUAAGAAUUUGGAAGGUUGGUAUGUUGUUUAUGAAGUGCCGCCACGUGUUAGACCACCUCCCCCAAAUGAAUAGGAUUAUGAACCUCACAUUAACCCACACACAUACGAUGGAGAAUUCUACCAAGAAACGCGUCUUUCCAAGAAACAUUUCAAGAACCGUCGUGCUUCACCCCAGAACAUGGAAGUAGACAGCGACAAUGAAUCUGACUUCACCCCUGAGCCGGAACCAGCUGAGCUGGAACUAGAAGAUGUUACUCAUGUGGAUGACCUGUCAAUGCUUGACCGAUUACAGAAAGGCCUUCCCCAACUUCAUGCCGUUGAACCUGAUGAACACGGCAUUCAUGAAGACAUGUGUGAUAGUGAUGAUGAUGAUGCAUUCAUUGAUGAUAAUUAUUAGUUUGUAUGCAUCCCAACUUAAACUAUAUGUGUACAUAUUAUUAUUCAUGUCAGUUAUUCAAUUUUUUAUGUUGUAGUAGUUUCUUUUAAUCUGUAUCAUGGCAGGUUAGCAUGUGUUGAAAGAUGGUGGGCGCGGGUCCAGAUCCCUCAACGGGUUCUUCUUCGACCGCCCGCACGAGGGGUGGUACUUCCAUUCCACCCCUAUCUCUCCAUAGAGCCUUGGCAGACAGUCCGACAACACCACCCGCAGGUGCUUCUUCGUCGGCGGCAUUGCCCACUAGGAGAGGUGUUGCUCAGGUAAGGAAGAAGGGGAAGGGUACAGGGAGAGUUGGUGGCCGCGGAAGAUGUAGGCGGACUGCUACGCCUUCCUCGCCACCACCACCAGCUCAUUCGCACGAGCACAAGACUACUAUGGUGGACCCGUUUGCGGAGGAGGCUACGGGGACUCCGGUCCAGGAUCCUCGGGUGGACGGGCAUUCGACCCAUGAGACUCCGGUCCAGGAUCAACCUCGGGUCAAGGUGCGUUCGGAUCACGAGACUCCAGUUCCUAGGGCUACGUCCCAGGAGACUCCUGCCACAGAGGCUUCAGCAGACAUGGAGACGUCCGGAUGGGGUGUCUGGCCAGAUCAGACCGAGGUGCUGGAUUGGACAGAGGGUCCGGGUGGCUAUUCUGUUGAUGGAGGGGAUGAGUCUACGGAUAGUCAGGGCGGCGUGUAGGUGGACGGGGCCACCNNNNNNNNNNAAUGGGGUGUCUGGCCGGAUCAGACCGAGGUGCUGGAUUUGACAGAGGGUCCGGGUGGCUAUUCUAUUGAUGGCGGGGAUGAGUCUACGGAUAGUGAGGGCGGCGUGUAGGUGGACGGGGCCACCAUCUACAAGUGUGGUAGUACACAUCUUUCGGUCGUGCCGGCUACCCGCGAGNNNNNNNNNNCGCUACGUCCUAGGAGACUCCUGCCACAGAGGCUUCAGCAGACUUGGAGACGUCCGGAUGGGGUGCCUGGCCGGAUCAGACCGAGGUGCUGGAUUGGACAGAGGGUCCGGGUGGCUAUUCUNNNNNNNNNNAUGUACAAGCGUGCUAGUACACAUCUUUCAGUCGUGCCGGCUACCCGCGAGCAGAGGCCGGUGAUUAAGCCUGAAGGGNNNNNNNNNNGUGUACAAGUGUGGUAGUACACAUCUUUCGGUCGUGCCGGCUACCCGCGAGCAGAGGCCGGUGAUUAAGCCUGAAGGGGAUAGGUAAGUACAUUUACUCUUUUUUUAGCUUUUGCCUUCAAGUUUCUUCAAAUAUAUAAUGCGUUGACCUUAUCAUACUGCAGGGGAUGGAAACACCCUGUUGGACUCCGCAAGCCAAACACCGUCCUUGGUGUGCUUUGCCGGACAAAUUUCCCGGGGUUUCUCACGUUGCCUGGUGAGGGUUAGGUUCCUACACUAGGAUUUACCUGGGAGCACUACCAGGCUGCACAGGCCCUGCCGGAGGAGAUUAUAGAUGGUGUCUUGUGCCACACGAGGGCUGAGAUGGUGAUCAACAUAUUUUGGGUAAAUUAUCAUUUUACACAUUCUAAUAUUAAUAAUAUAGCUAAUUAUUGUACUAAUCGGUGGUGUCUCGUUUGAUUGCAGACCUUCUAUAGGUGUGAGGAGGGAUAUGAGGGCGAAGGUUCUUGAGGCCGAGUGUAGGCGGUUAUUACAGAACUUACGCCACGAGGCUCGGCCACAGGCUAUUCGAGNNNNNNNNNNCUUUUGGGUAAAUUAUCAUUUUACACAAUCUAAUAUUAAUAAUAUAGCUAAUUAUUGUACUAAUUGGUGUUGUCUCGUUUGAUUGCAGACCUUCUAUAGGUGUGAGGAGGGAUAUGAUGGCGAAGGUUCUCGAGGCCGAGUGUAGGUGGUUAUUACAGAACUUACGCCACGAGGCUCGGCCACAGGCUAUUCGAGNNNNNNNNNNNNNNNNNNNNNNNNNNNNNNNNNNNNNNNNNNNNNNNNNNNNNNNNNNNUAAUUACCUAUUCUUAAGGCCUUGUAUGUAGUUUUCUUGAUUUGAUUCAUAGGCGUAGCGCUCAAAAUUCUUUUUAAUAACUUAUAGGUGCGCCCGAGAUGGUGUGCGGAUAAGAUGGAUUGUUAGGAGGCAUUGGUGGAUGAGUGGUGCACAAGCAACUAGCGAGCAGUCCACGACAAUGCGAAGGAUCGGCGUAGCCAAAUGGUUGGUGUGCCACACCAUGAAGGCAGCGCCAACUUACUUCAUUUCAAACGAAACUGGGUAUGUGGUUUGCUUCAUGAUUCGUGCAAUUCAUUCUUCAUGCUAGCUUGAGCCCCUUACUAAUACUUUCUUCCUCUCUUUUAGGCACAUCACAAUAAGACGGAGAUGCCAGAGUUGUACGACCUUUAUGGCAUGGCCCAUACUACCUCCUACAAGAAGGCAAAGGCAUUCUCUGAGUCUAGCCUGGAUGAUCUAAAUAACUUCACCAACAUCAUCCCACCACAAGCUCAUGAAAUACAGGGACGUGGGGAAGGCUUGGAAUGGGGAGGACUGUAACCCGAGCCAGGAACCUUUGGAUCCAGAGUUGGUGAUGAUAUCUGGUGGCGGGAGGCUACAUGGCUUGAUAGCCAUUGNNNNNNNNNNNNNNNNNNNNNNNNNNNNNNNNNNNNNNNNNNNNNNNNNNNNNNNNNNNNNNNNNNNNNNNNNNNNNNNNNNNNNNNNNNNNNNNNNNNNNNNNNNNNNNNNNNNNNNNNNNNNNNNNNNNNNNNNNNNNNNNNNNNNNNNNNNNNGCCUCGUCCACGGCUAGUCGAUCUUGCCAUCGAGGUUAGUUGUACGGACUCAAAAAACUUUCAUCCAUUUCAUUGUGUGUGUGGCCAUCGAUCAUUACUGUGGUAACGAGGAAUGGUGUUGCAUCACGCCACUAGCAUCACGCCAUUAGAUUUUUUUACUAAUGGCGCACCACANNNNNNNNNNNNNNNNNNNNNNNNNNNNNNNNNNNNNNNNNNNNNNNNNNNNNNNNNNNNNNNNNNNNNNNNNNNNNNNNNNNNNNNNUAGAUCCUGGUGCGCCAUUAGUAUAGCUUAUGGUGUGCCAUUAGUAUGCCUCCCAGGGCCAUAUUUACCCAUAUGCUCUGGCUUACUAAUGGCGCACUAGUGUGCUGAGUGAUGUGCCACUAGUGUGCUGAGUGAUGCGCCACUAGUAAGAAUAUGAGGUAUUUAUUUUAUUUUUUCUGAUAUUUGCACAGAAUAGAGAUAGCACAACAUAUAAACAACAGAUUUAUCGAAUACAUUAGAAGAUUAGUCUCCGAAUACAAUUCAUCAUAUUAUUCUCCGAAUUUAAAAUACCGAACAAAGUUAGAACAUUACAAGUCUCGANNNNNNNNNNUGAAUAUGAGGUAUUUAUUUUAUUUUUUCUGAUAUUUGCACAGAAUAUAGAUAGCACAACAUAUAAACAACAGAUUUAUCGAAUACAAUAGAAGAUUAGUCUCUGAAUACAAUUCAUCAUAUUAGUCUCCGAAUUUAAAAUACCGAACAAAGUUAGAACAUUACAAGUCUCGAGACCGCGAGUAGCGAGUUUGUCUUCACAUUACAAGUCGAUAUCGAUCAUCUAAACUACCAUCACAUAGAAGAGAGUUGCGGUCAUCACGAUUAGCAUAAUCGCAAUGAAACUGGUCUUCAUCCGGUUCCUCCAACGGUCCCUCCUGUCUCCCGCUAGAUAGCGCGUGUAUCUAACUUCCGCCUCCGCCCUUGUGGUGUACCCUUUGUAACUGUUAUCGCUGAAUCGGUGAACCUGUCUCCGACACUCCUCCCAGUCGUCGUAGACUCCGGGAACCUUACCCUUGUACACGACAUACGACGGCAUCUCUAUGCACUAGCCAAACAAAACGUUAGUAGCAAUUCACAGAGACAUACAAGUUCAUUAAAGUUUAAUAUUACAACUAUAACAGCACGAUUCAUGGGCCUACUAAUAAAUAGCAUCGAUUAUAUAUAAGUUGAACGACUGUCCAAACCAAAGAGAGAUACCAGUUCAUUAAAGUUUAAUAUUGCAACAUGAAUUAGUAGCGAUUCACGGGAACGUGGAUGAAGCCGCCGUCUUUCGUGAUGGUCAUGAAAUUGCAGUCGUUGUCAGCCUGCAUUUGUAGCAUUGUAUCUAUCUCACUAUUGGACAGCGGAGAUCUAAGGUAGAACUGCCCCGAGGUACGAAGGACAUCUUCAUGGAUGAUUUCCGCAAACCCCGACUGGAUGCUAAAGAAUUCUUGUAUGAUGUCCGCAUCCUGGAUUGCCGACAAGCGUGCGGCCCAAUCUUUGAGAUUAUUUGGUANNNNNNNNNNUCCGACUGGAUGCGAAAGAAUUCUUGUCUGAUGUGCGCACCCUGGAUUGCCGACAAGCGUGCGGCCCAAUCUUUGAGAUUAUUUGGUAGCUGGAGGUGAUUACUGUCCCGUAUGAUCGCCCGCAUGUGAUGGAGGGCGUAGUAGGCAUCCUUCUGACUGCCAGGCGGCUGCUUGACGCAGGCGAACGUCGUAUUGUGGGUGAACACGUGCUUCCGGUGCCUGAGACUUGUCCUGCUGAAUGUGCCUCCAGAUAUGGCGUAGCCGGGAAGAGCUUCAUCAAGAACUUUCUUGAUAUUUGUGUAGUCUUUUUUUGACUGACGGUCCGAGUCGAAAUACGUGGCCGUGGAAUAUUUCAGGCUUAANNNNNNNNNNACUGCUUGACGCAGGCGAACGUCGUAUUGUGGGUGAACACGUGCUUCCCGUGCCUGAGACUUGUCCUGCUGAAGGUGCCUCCAGAUAUGGCGUAGCCAGGAAGAGCUUCAUCAAGAACUUUCUUGAUAUUUGUGUAGUCUUUUUUUUUCCUGACGGUCCGAGUCGAAAUACGUGGCCGUGGAAUAUUUCAGGCUUAAGAGGAUGAGUGUGCAACGUGUGUCACUUCACAAAACACGGAAUGUUAGAAAAAAAAAGGACGAUCAAAAUCUAAGAAAUCAUAUGUUACGUGGCGAUGAGGGGAUAACUUACCAGGGAAAGUAAGGCACGAGGAAGUUAUCCUUUUCUGAGUUUGCCAGAAUGACGCCUUCGAGGUAUGAACUCGCGACUUGCCGGUCCCCAGCGCUGCCCAAGAUCUUGGCACGCAUAUAGAAGGGGUCGACUACCACUAGGUCCGGGGUCUUGUCUCUAAUGAUCCGCAUCUCCAUACUCAGCGAAAAUAGCCGAACGAAGGUGUAGUGCAGCGGAUGAAGGUUAAACAUAGCGAAGAUGUCAGCAAACCGCAGAACGAUCAUACCCCCGAUGGCGCUAUCGACAAAGCCCUUGCCCUUUGGCACCUUGGCCACGAAAACCGGGUAUGCACAUUAUUCUCGGAGAGACGCCACUUCUCCAAACAAAGAACAGUGUCAUGCAGACUCCGCAUAGCAACGGUUGCAGCAUUGAGCAGAUUAGUCGGUAGCAUCGGCCUACCCGCCANNNNNNNNNNCACAUUAUUCUCGGAGAGACGCGGCUUCUCCAAGCAAAGAACACUGUCAUGCAGACUCCGCAUAGCACCGGUUGCAGCAUUGAGCAGAUUAGUCGGUAGCAUCGGCCUACCCGCCACAUGCACCCUCCUCGAGAUAUCCUUAGGUGAAGGUGGCCCAUCCACAGCACGGAUCGUACUCAGUGCCGGCUAGCUCGCACCCUUGUUAGUCUUUCUUUUCCGUCCCUUCUUCUGCUGAUGUAAUGGGAUCGAGUUCAUCUGCUCAGAGACCACCUUCUUGAGUGUGUUGGGGCUAAUAAUAUUUCGCACCUCGGCUAUCUGAGGCUCGGUGAAGGCGGCAGCUGGAGGCGUCUCCUCAAAACUAAACGCCACACCACGCCUGUUGCAAUUGGGUUUCUCCGCGGUACCAGCUAGAUCGCGGUCGUCUUUUGCAGGGUUGGGUUCUUGAGAAGGAGGCCCCAAGAAUUNNNNNNNNNNGACAACGCCUGUUGCAAUUGGAUUUCUCCGCGGUACCAGCUAGAUCGUGGUCGUCUUUUGCAGGGUUGGGUUCUUGAGAAGGAGGCCCCAAGAAUUNNNNNNNNNNNNNNNNNNNNNNNNNNNNNNNNNNNNNNNNNNNNNNNNNNNNNNNNNNNNNNNNNNNNNNNNNNNNNNNNNNNNNNNNNNNNNNNNNNNNNNNNNNNNNNNNNNNNNNNNNNNNNNNNNNNNNNNNNNNNNNNNNNNNNNNNNNNNNNNNNNNNNNNNNNNNNNNNNUUCCGGAACCUGUGCCAUAUGCAUCUCCGGAUCCUGUGCCAUAUGCAUGUCCAGUAGUGUUGCGGCGGUCUUGCCAUGGCUUGGCGCCAACACGACUGGCGGUGUUGUCUGUGGGGUGGUGUCCCCCGCCCCCAAACGAAUCUGGCUCUUCGGCCAAAGCAAGGUCCAGCUUAAGCAGGCGUUGAGGGUCAUCACAUCAUCUCUGUCGGCCCCACCGGGGUGGAACGGAGGUAACAAGUCAUCGCAGCCUGGCAGCACCCGAANNNNNNNNNNGUCCGGAACCUGUGCCAUAUGCAUGUCCGGAUCCUGUGCCAUAUGCAUGUCCGGUAGCGUUCGGCGGUCUUGCCAUGGCUUGGCGCCAGCACGACUGGCGGUGUUGUCUGUGGGGUGGUUUCCCCCGCCCCCAAAUGAAUCUGGCUCUUCGGCCAAAGCAAGGGCCAGCUUAAGCAGGCGCUGANNNNNNNNNNNNNNNNNNNNNNNNNNNNNNNNNNNNNNNNNNNNNNNNNNNNNNNNNNNNNNNNNNNNNNNUGGAGGUAACAAGUCAUUGCAGCCUGGCAGCACCCGAACCAGUUGAACCCUAUACGUGGUGGGUGGCAUCGGUUUACCGUGGAACAUGGGGUUUCCCGGUUGAACGAUUCUGCCCUUGGCGACAUCGAUCAACUCGCCGCCCAUGAAGUGCAGGAGNNNNNNNNNNNNNNNNNNNNNNNNNNNNNNNNNNNNNNNNNNNNNNNNNNNNNNNNNNNNNNNNNNNNNNNNNNNNNNNNNNNNNNNNNNNNNNNNNNNNAGCCGGCGCCGGAGACACCAAUGGCGCUGGCGCCGAAGACACCAAUGACGUCGCCUGCGCGUUGUGCGAGUUGCUGGCCAUGAAGCUGGGAAUCGGGGGCGGCCCCUGUGGGCUGCCCGCAAUCCACACAUGCAGCCCCUCAAUCAAGGUAGGCACAAUGGCGGUGAUCACCCUUCCCACUUGGUGUUGCACUAGAUCUUGGACCAUCUCCGGAAUCCGCACCACUUUUGCCUUGAGUUCUUCAACCUCGCGCGACUGGCUUUCGAAGUUGGUAUUUCUCUCCUUUCGCCCACCAGCGUUAUAGUAUGACGACCAUUUCGUGGACAAGCCUUUGUCGGCCACACAACCAGCUGACGACAGCUUACUAGACUUAUCCUUGUUUUUCAUUAUGUUAAACGCCCUAUUUAAAUUGGUGNNNNNNNNNNNNNNNNNNNNNNNNNNNNNNNNNNNNNNNNNNNNNNNNNNNNNNNNNNNNNNNNNNNNNNNNNNNNNNNNNNNNNNNNNNNNNNNNNNNNNNNNNNNNNNNNNNNNNNNNNNNNNNNNNNNNNNNNNNNNNNNNNNNNNNNNNNNNNNNNNNNNNNNNNNNNNNNNNNNNNNNNNNNNNUAAUUACGUGGGCUGUAUUCCUUACUAGAACACGCUCAAGCGCCCUGGUCUUCGCAUCCAUGGUAAGCUCCUUUGUUACUGGGUCCACCUUGUACCGGGCUCUGACAUAGUUCAUGGUCUGCUUGUCACCGUAUUUCUCGAAGCAGGGUGGUAGGCCUUGCUCGGCACGCUCCGCGUCCUCCUUGUGCCAUAUAGGUUCCGCCACUCUGUAACCGCCGGGACCGAGUUGGCGGACCCCUAAGUUCAACUCCCGCAUUUCUUUCCCCCACUGACUUGAUUCCGCGGUUGCCUUGCUCUCGCACUUGAUCUUGAACUCCUUGUAGUCAUCUUCGCUGAUCGAAGGAUUUUUCGCCUUGAUCUUCUCAUAACUAUCACCUUUGUCAAUCAUUCUCUUCACCGCGCUUCUCCAAGUAGACAGGGCCUUGCUCAUAUUCGUGAGGGCGGCACUGUUCACUUUAUUCCUUGAGAGGCGUGUGUUUGCGACGUCACCGGGGAACUUGUAUCGUUCGUGGAGCUUCGUGAAGAGGAGGUUGCGCAAAUUCCCUCGGUCCUUAUGCCUUAGGUUCUCGGUGUUGAUCGAGACCGUGCUGCGGAGAAUGCACCGAAGUUGAACCGCGUACCCCUUGACUAUUUCUUUGGGCGCCGUUGGAUACCCGNNNNNNNNNNAUUCGUGCAGCUUCGUGAAGAGGAGGUUGCGCAAAUUCCCUCGGUCCUUAUGCCUUAGGUUCUCGGUGUUUAUCGAGACAGUGCUCCGGAGAAUGCACCCGAGCUGAACCGCGUACCCCUUGACUAUUUCUUUGGGCGCCGUUGGAUACCCGUCGGAGUUCACUUCAGUAAAUUCCUCCUUUACGGUCCACGUUCGGGCGCCGGUCCUUCCGUUGCCUCUUCGAUUGGCUGCCAUCUGUGCGUGCGCUGCCAUCAUCAGAGGUGGCUUCCUCGGCGGCACCAUCAGUGGUGUCAUCCCCGACGCCACUAGGGGUUGUGUACUCGAGAUCAGUGUCUUCCGCGACGUCCUCAUAGCGGUGAGGUUCUUCCUCCAUCUCCUGCGACAGCUCCCAGAAUGGCUUGCCCGAACAGCCGGCCUCAUCGUUGUGGGCCAUGUUUCGCUCUAAAUAGGAAAAAAGUUUUGUCAAAAAGUUGGUUAUUGUCAAGGAANNNNNNNNNNNNNNNNNNNNNNNNNNNNNNNNNNNNNNNNNNNNNNNNNNNNNNNNNNNNNNNNNNNNNNNNNNNNNNNNNNNNNNNNNNNNNNNNNNNNUCGGAGAGUGUCUCGGUCAUGUCUGCAUAGUUCUCGAAUCCGCAGGGUCUGCACACUUAAGGUUCAAUGACGUUUCGGUAUAGUUGAGUUAUAGGUGUUGGUGACCGAAGGUUGUUCAGAGUCCCGGAUGAGAUCCUGGACAUCACGAGGAGCUCCGGAAUGGUCCGAAGGUAAAGAUUGAUAUAUAGUAAGUCAUGUUUUGNNNNNNNNNNNNNNNNNNNNNNNNNNNNNNNNNNNNNNNNNNNNNNNNNNNNNNNNNNNNNNNNNNNNNNNNNNNNNNNNNNNNNNNNNNNNNNNNNNNNNNNNNNNNNNACCUGAAAGGUUUCGGGCUCAUCGAUAGUGUACUGGAAGUGCCAGGAGGGUGCCGGGGGACCACCGGGAGGGGUGUGAUGACCCUAGGGUUUCAUGGGCCAAGAGAGGAGGAAAACUAUCCCCUGCUGGUCUGGCCGAAUCCACCUCUAAGGGCCCAUGCGGCUAGAGUGGAAAAUAAGGGAAAAAUACAAAAGGUGGAAAAAGUUUCCAAGUGGAAGGGGUAUCUGAUGUCAACUGUUCUUCCCCUUGCAACGACACCAGAAGAAUGCUGCUAGCACCCUCCGGCAAUCGAAACUAGAAGAAUGUUGUUGACGGCCCACCAGCGCGUGGGAUCGUAGCAGUUUUCGAGGGUAGAGUAUUCAACCCAAAUUUGUUGGUACGCCUAUAGGAGGUGACAGGAUACUCUCAAGUAUNNNNNNNNNNNNNNNNNNNNNNNNNNNNNNNNNNNNNNNNNNNNNNNNNNNNNNNNNNNNNNNNNNNNNNNNNNNNNNNNNNNNNNNNNNNNNNNNNNNNCCACAGAAGCAACUUUCACACUACAGUAAAAGUAUUGUUACUGCAACAGAGCCAAGCCAAUUUUGGGGGAUCGCAGUCGCGGGCAUCACGGUGGUACUGGUAAUCAAAGAAAGAAAGGUUGACGACAUGACGGCACCUUGGAGACGGCCUGGCGGAGGUCGUCGGCGGUGACGGGCUGGUCGGAGAUGACCCAGUCCCCGGAGGGGAACCGCGCGAGCGGGCGGCGGCCGAGGUCCAUGACGACCUCCACCAGGUCCCAGACCUCCGGGUGCAGCGCGAGCUCCCGCCGCAUCCUCGCCGGCACCACCUCGAGGAACGCCUCCAUCUCACCCCUGGCCCCGGCCCGCGCCUCGGGCGCCGGGGUGGCGACUGCCGGGGACACGGACGGCGAGGCGGGGCCCG